AGUGGAGUAAGGGUAUUAGGGUAAGUUUCAAGAAAGAUAUUCAACAGCUGAAACAAAAUAUGGAGGUAGCUCGUGCUAGAGAGGAUCAAGGAGCAGCAGAGUGUUGUGAGAAAAAUAGAGAGGACCUCAUGGGUGUUUUACAGCGGGAGGAAACUUACUGGCAACAGCGAGCCAAACAUUUUUGGAGAGAGGAACACACGAUAUUUUCAUCAUGUUGUGAAUGGUAGAAGGAAGAGAAAGAAGGUGGAUAGGCUGCGAAACGACAUAGGGGUGGGCUGAAACGCAGGAAGAUAUGGCGACAGUAGCGCACGAUUAUUUCCACAAUUUAUUUCAGUCGUAAGAUACCGACAAUCAACUGGUUCAGAGGGUGGUGAUGCGGAGAGUGUUAGAGGCGGAUAACAGAGCUCUGCUUGCACCGUUUAGUGACGAAGAAAUUCGAAAAGCGCUUUUUGAUAUGCACCCGGAUAAGGCGCCCGGAUCGGACAGUUUUAACCCGGAUUUUUAUCAAAAGCUGUUGGGAGAAGUUGGACCAGAGAUAGCAGCGACGUGUAGGGCUUGGCUGGAUCGAGGGGAAUUACCGGUGGAAGUCCAAGCGACGACGAUAGUUUUGCUCCCUAAAGUUGCAGUUCCGGAGCGGAUGACAGAGCUACGUCCCAUCUCUCUAUGUAAUGUGUUGUAUCCUGUGGUUGCGAAAGCUUUGGCGAAUAGAUUGCUACACACAUUACCGCAUAUUAUAGGGGAUGAACAGUCGGCUUUCAUUCGAGGUAGGAGUAUUUUUGGUAAUAUUAUGGUUGCUUUCGAGUCGUUGCAUUACAUGAAGACGAAACAACGAACAACUCAGGAGUUUGCAGCUCUAAAGGUUGAUAUUUCCAAAGCAUAUAAUCGAGUCUAAUGGAAUUAUAUGGAGGAAUUGAUGAGUAGACUGGGGUUUGCUCCAAAAUGGAUCAAGUGGAUGAUGAUGUGUAUUAAGUCGGUGGAGUAUAGGGUGCAGUUAAAUAAUGAGAUAGGGGAGGUGGUACGUUAGGGUUGAGGUCCUCGACAAGAAUGUCCGCUCUCCCCGUUCUUAUUUCUAAUAUGUGCGGAAGGUUUAUCGGCGUUACAGUGGAGGGAGGUGAAGUGUGGUCGAUUGCAAGGAGUGAGAGUGAGUCGAUCAACGCCGCUUCUUACUCAUUUAUUAUUCGCGGACGAUAGCUUCUUUUUGUUUCGAGUUGGUAUUCGAGAGGCGAGGUCUUUGAAACGGGUUUUUUUAUGUAUAUGCAGCGGCUUCGGGUGAGAUAAUCAAUUAUGAUAAGUCUGGAAUUUUCUUUACCAAGACAAUUGAUCCGAUGUUGGAAGAUGGGGUGUCAGCGGUGCUAGGAGUGAGACAGCCGUUGGACACUAGCAGGUACUUGGGGCUCCCAUCUAUGGUGGGACGAAAAAAGAAAGCUACUCUCCAGUAUUUGCGAGAGAGACUUUGGACAAAAAUACAAGGGUGGAGGAGCCAAUUUACUAUGGCUAGCGGGAAGGAGAUUCUAUUAAAGACCGUGGCACAAGCCAUUCCUACGUUCUGCAUGAAUGUAUUUAUGUUUCCGGUCACUUUUGCGGAAGAACUGGAGCGUAUGCUCAAUAGCUUUUGGUGGGGUACAAAAUCGAAUGAUAAAUCUGGUAUUGCUUGGAUGAGGUGGGAGAGGUUGUGUGAGUAAGAGCAGAGAAGGUAUGGGAUUUAGAAGUCUAACAGAGUUCAAUCUUGCAAUGUCGGGAAAGCAUGGGUUUCGUUUCUUGCAAGAACCCAAUGAUCUAGUUUCUCGUAUGAUCAAAGUUAGAUAAUUUCCCAAAGGGGAUUUUUUUGUCAGCUAAAGUCGGCUAUAGACCUAGAUAUGUUUGAAGGAGCAUGUUUGCAGCCUAGGAUUCGAUUCGAGAUUGAGCCUUGUUGGAGAAUUGAGGAUGGCUCGAAAGUUAAUGUUUGGUCGGAACCGUGGUUGAGGGAUGAUAUUAAUUGUUACACUCUAACAGCCCCUAGUCCGCAACUCAAUGAAUUGACGGUCAAUGAGUUAGUGGUGCUAGAGUGGAUGAAGGACAUGGGAUAUGAGCGUGUAAUACUGGAGACUGAUUGUCAGAAGAUUACCACGACGUUAUGCAAUCCAGUAGCAGAUGUUUCGGAGUUUGGCCAAAUUUUUUGCCGGUGCCGAGCCAUUAUUGAUAGCAAACCUAUGUUCAAGGUCGAUUGAGUUAGGAGAUGUAGGAAUGUGAGUGCUCACGAGUUUGCUCGUUGAUCUCAUUUUCUAGUGUCGCCCAUUUACGGGAUGACACCUCUUGAUUGGUGUAUGGUUUUAUGAACCCUAUUUGUCCAGAGAUGGGUCAUUAAUUUCAAUAAAUUGACUUUGAGUUCCAAAAAAAAUAAACAUGAUUAUUUUGUCAAAUUUUCAUCUAAAAACUCUAUUAAAUGAUUACCCGGCAGUAAAAUUAGUCAUCAUACUCAUAUAUAGCUUGAUAAAAAUAAUUUCGGAAUAAAUUUUAACUCUCAAUCAAUACAAAAUAGAAAAUAAGAAGGUAUUUAUUUUUUAGGAGUAUUCUCGAUAAAUUUUAAAAAAAUAAAAAAUAUAAAGUAUCUUAUCAUUCAAAAUUCAAACUAACUCAUUUGUUAUUCGAACUGAUCUGUUUAAACUUUAAACAGCUACAUAUGAGAAUUGAGAAUGUACAAUUUUAUUUACAUUGGGCCAAAAAGUAGAAAGCCCAAUGUUAUCUACGGGUAAAAUACCUAUUAUUUCUUGAUUUAGAGUUGGGUGCGGGUCCAAAUAGUGGGCCGAUAUCUGCCUCACAAUUACGAUUUGCCGGUUCAUCCCCGGCAGGCCUGGUCCCUCUUCCUUCGUUGCCGGCUUGCCGCCUCGCCGGUCUUCAUUUACCGACUCUUCUCUCCGCAACAAAAGUAAAACUCUUUCUUCUCAUUUCUACAACACUUGCCACUUCACUUCUCAGGCCAGACUUUCUUCUACUCCCCUCCGUUCCUCCCGUUUGCCGACUGGUGCUGGAAGCAAUGGAGGACGACGGUUGGGUCCACGUCCGUCGCCCCGCCGAGAAAGACUACUGGAGUCCAACUUCCGUCCAGGUGGACACCGACGGAGAGCCUUCUCCUUCUUCUUCCCAGCCGUUGAAGUUGAUCUUCACCGCUCCGUCCAAGUACUGGACCGACGCCAUUCCCAUCGGCAAUGGCCGCCUCGGUGCUAUGAUUUGGGGCAAUGCUUCCUAGGAUACUCUCCAACUCAACGGUAUGUCCUUGCCUAAUCCCUGCGUGAGGCAAUCAACUUCAAGUAAUGUGUUGAAAUUUAGCUGAUUACUGCUUGUUUUUUUGUUCUUUAGCAGAGGAUACACUCUGGACAGGUGUUCCCGGAAAUUACACUGAUCCAGAUGAUCCAGCGGCUCUUUCCAAGGUCAGAAAGCUUGUUGACGAUGGUCAAUUCACUGAAGCUACUAAAGAAGCCGUCAAAUUGUCCGAUCGUCCUUCUGAGGUGAAAUUAGUUUUAUGUUGAUGAAGGCUGAUUGAUCCUCCUGAGAAACGAGGAGUCCUCUUCUCUAAUAUUUUAGGUAUUUCUUUUGGUUGAAGGUUUACCAAUUGCUUGGGGAUAUGAUACUUGAAUUUGACACUUUGCACCUCAAAUAUGACGAGCGGACUUAUCACAGAGAACUGGAUUUGGAUACUGCUACUGCAACAGUCAAAUAUUCCAAUAAUUUGCUCUUCCCUACAUUGCCAUGUCUUUCCCUGUGCAGAUUCUCGGCAGCAAUAGCCGAAAUGCUAGUCCAGAGCACCGUGAAGGACCUCUAUUUACUCCCCGCUCUUCCUCGCGACAAGUGGGCAAAUGGAUGCGUGAAAGGACUCAAAGCGCGUGGCGGGGUAACGGUAAAUGUAUGCUGGAAAGAAGGCGACCUUCACGAAGUCGGUCUUUGGUCAACAGGUCGGAACUCUAUCCAGCAGCGCUUGCAUUACAGAGGAAGGACUGUGAACGCAAGCCUAUCGUCCGGUAAAGCAUACACUUUCAACAUGGAGCUCAGGUGUAUAAGAACCUACUCCCUCUCACUACUAGCUUCUUGUUGAAUACACGAACUAUGGUUAUGAACUCUUUAACUCCUAUUCUAGUUGAAUGGACCGUAGUUAGUGAUCAUGAAUUAGGAUUUAGGAGUAGUAACCGAGAUCCACGAUAAAAGUUGGGUUACUAGCUAGGGGGAUGUUGUUGUAACUUUGUAAGUGUAACUGAGAUACUGUAAUUAUAGUAAAGCUUGUGAUGUAGUAAACCUUGCUCCUUGACUGCUGCUAUCUUAUCAACGUACGUAAAAUGUGGUUUAUCCAUUCUAGCUAAGUGAGAACCAGAGAAAAGAAAGAAACAAACUUUUUUCAACUCUUUCUUCCCAGUUCUUACUGUAUUGUAUUUUUUUUUGUACGGAAAAUCUACUAUAUCAAAUCCGAGAAUCGUUACAGAUUGCGGACCCAGCCAGGAGCGAGACUACCCGCUCUGGCCGAACAAGCGACCCCGUCAGCCAUUUUGUUCCUGGUCCGGGGGAUAAAAUUAAGUUCAAGAUUGGGAGCCGCUAGUAGGUUUGCUCUAAUUCUCUAAAGGAGACUGCGGCACUGCCAAGGCCAUGAAGAAUCUGGUUUCGUAAUGGACGUGACAAGUUCCUGGCAGUCCGGCAGGAUUAGAUGGCAUUUCGGGGAGAGUAGGGCGUACUUCGAGGCUUCCAGGAUAGCAUGGGCUUCCGCAACUAUGGGAGAUAGAACAAUAGAACGACCCUGCCCUCCCAUCCGAUACUAGUCCAUUGGAAUCAUAGAUGACAAUUCCGUAUGUCGCCUUUUGGGAGUCACAAAUAAAGGAUCCGUCACAAUGUAUUAUCUUGCCAUAGUACUUGGCGGAGGACCCGUACCAGAACGGGGUGGACGGGUGGGGCCACGUGGGUUGCAGCGACGGUGGGGCCUGUUUUGACUGUAUUGUAUUAAUACAUUCAUGGCUGGAUUUGUCUGCGUCGUAGAAGAUGGAGGGUCGACUGGUGGCGGUGCGGCGGGCCCAGCAAGAAGAGCUUUUUGGGGGUUCGAUGCUGAAGUUGUUUGGACUUUGUAAGGAAGGGUCCGGUAGGCGGUGCGAGACAGACAAAGACACAAAGUGCGUCUAGCUAGCUAGCUUGAUAGAGUAGUAGUUGUCUGAUUUAAUGACUCAACAUUCAACAAAUCUAUUUAUAUAAACGCGUCAUCCAACGACUCUUUCAUCCAUCCAUCUAUCUCCAUCUCCGAGUCUCACAAGUGGACGACCCCUGCUAGCUGCGAUCUCAUGGAAGCGGUAAUGGAUUUUGGUUUCCCAUUCUAUUAUAGAGUUAUACUUACAACACGUUUCGAUAGUUGAUAUCCGAAAGACAUGUGCCUUUUACGAACCAUAAUUUAAUUAUCAAACAAAGAUUUAUUGGUCUUAUUGAGGAUUCUGAUUCCUAGUAAUCUCAAUUUCUGUAUCCAAACAAACCCGAAUAGUUGUUAUAAUGGCCACACGAUGAUCGCGAAAAGUCAUCAAAGUUUGUAGUAAGUAAGCAAUAAUGUGUAUCCCGGGGACUUGGAUGCUCAUGAUCUUACCACCUUCUGCAGUAGUGGAAUAAUUACGAGAAGAUGCUUGAUUUUGGAGCUAGGUAAUGAUCCUGCCACAUAUUUUUAUGGCCUUAAUUAUGAAAGCAUGCGUACUAAAAAGGGUUGAGAAAGAUACGUAUGUAAGAAAGUAUAGUGGGGGUUGGACCGUUGACAUUAAUUGUAUUACUAUCCCAUAAAUUAUAUCCUGCAAUAUUUGAUAUUGCAGUGUAGAUGUAGAUAGAUCUCUGUAUCUUCUGGACAUGCAGCGAGCAUAUCAUCUUUACGUACAAGCUACCGAUAAGAAUUUAUUUGACUUUGUGACUUGUGAGUAUCAAAUCAAAUUCCAAACAUGAUACUAUAUGGGUCUGGAUUACACGUUAAGGAUCACAAUAGUAUGGCCUCUUAAUUAAGUUAUUCUCACCAUGCAUGUGAGUAUGUGACGUCGCUCUGAAAUACAACUAUUCCCAAUUGUGGCCUAGCUGGCUCCCAUCCUAAUUCCCUCACCCUGAGUUUGGUUCACCGAAAUUUAAAUUCGGCCUACUAAUUAUUCUGACUGAUCGUAUCGGAACUAUAGAGAGUUAGAGGGAAUCACAACUCUCGUAUUCCCUGGCCUUAAGGUCUAAAUUAUACGUAAAUGUUUUGAUAAUUUUGUAAUUUAGCUAAUGUUAUUUUAAGUUUUGCUUGUCUGCUUAUUUGUUUACACUAAGUAUCAAUCAAAUUUUAACUCAUAAUCAAUCCAAAUAUAUGGAAGAUAAUAUUGUCGGUGGCACAUUCAUUUUUAUUUUAAAUAAAAACAGUAUAAAGAAUGAUUUUUUAAAAAAAUUAACUUAAUAUUAGGUUUAAAUAAUGGCUGAUCAGGAUAAACAUAUUUGAAUUAAAAUAUCUGUAUUAAAUAAUCAAUUUAUGAAUAUAUUUUUGUAANNNNNNNNNNNNNNNNNNNNNNNNNNNNNNNNNNNNNNNNNNNNNNNNNNNNNNNNNNNNNNNNNNNNNNNNNNNNNNNNNNNNNNNNNNNNNNNNNNNNNNNNNNNNNNNNNNNNNNNNNNNNNNNNNNNNNNNNNNNNNNNNNNNNNNNNNNNNNNNNNNNNNNNNNNNNNNNNNNNNNNNNNNNNNNNNNNNNNNNNNNNNNNNNNNNNNNNNNNNNNNNNNNNNNNNNNNNNNNNNNNNNNNNNNNNNNNNNNNNNNNNNNNNNNNNNNNNNNNNNNNNNNNNNNNNNNNNNNNNNNNNNNNNNNNNNNNNNNNNNNNNNNNNNNNNNNNNNNNNNNNNNNNNNNNNNNNNNNNNNNNNNNNNNNNNNNNNNNNNNNNNNNNNNNNNNNNNNNNNNNNNNNNNNNNNNNNNNNNNNNNNNNNNNNNNNNNNNNNNNNNNNNNNNNNNNNNNNNNNNNNNNNNNNNNNNNNNNNNNNNNNNNNNNNNNNNNNNNNNNNNNNNNNNNNNNNNNNNNNNNNNNNNNNNNNNNNNNNNNNNNNNNNNNNNNNNNNNNNNNNNNNNNNNNNNNNNNNNNNNNNNNNNNNNNNNNUAAUAAUUCGUCUGAACUCAAACCAAGUCAAAAAAGAUAAAAUUUGAAUUGACCAUAUAUUUUUAUCGUAUAAUUAAACCUAAAAGGUGUUAUGUGAGGUUAUGGUAUGUAUUUUAACUCACCCGGCCAACGGCCCGAGAAUAAUUUAGUUAUUAAUAUGUAUUGAGUACUGAGUCGAAACAACCUAACAUUGAGCCGGAUCUAAAAUUGCCCUUAUUUGAAUUCAAAAAAAUCAUAAAUUUAAAUAUAAAUUUACAACUCAAAGCUGAAAUUGCCCAUAAAUUUAAAAAUAUAUAUUCAUCAAUUAAUAACUCAACGAACAAAAUUUCACUGAGCUAUCCAUUUUAUUACAAGUCCACGUGGGGAAUUAACCAAUUCAUAAUAUGACUUCUUCAGACUUCAAGUCUGAUAUUCUCUUUUUAUCUUUCGAUUAAUCAUUACUUGUUUCCAUGUCUAAACUUACGCUUACAAUAAACUCGUUAAUAUCGUAAUUAACUAUUAAUUAUAUAUUUAGCAAGUGAUAUGGUCCCUUGUGGGCAACCCUUUGUACAGCGAUAUGUCUGCUCGUCAAGACAAUGUCUUCCCUCUAAUUUUUCCGCGUAUUAGUUACAUCCGUAUCACAGCCGAUCCAGAUCACAUUGCCAACUGGACAUUGCUAAAACCAGUAACUAUUUUUGGCAGGGUCCGCCGCCGAUGAGGUUUCUUUUGGCAGGGUCCGCCGGUUACUUUUUACUUCUUUUCUCAGUCAACCCAUCUCACAUUGUUGGAACCCUGGUCUUUUCCUUUUCUUUGCUUCCUAUAACGACACAGGACAGUGGCUUUUGUUUAGUCACCGCCACCAAUUUGCAGAAUAGUUGCACGUUGAUCUUUAUCUUAAUGGCUCGCUGACCGAGAUGUAUAUUUGAUAUUCGCGUUACCGUUUGCUGUCGAUCGAUUGAUUUCCUAGUGACGCUAAGCUCGGUAGUGCGCUACUUAGCGUCGGUUUUUUACUAACUGACGGCGAGUACUCUCGCACUAAGCCAUGUCUCGUUUUUUGUGUGGUGAACAGUGAAUGUACCCGUUGAAAUUGUGAUUAACAUGGUCAUCUAAUUUUUACGUGACCUUAAUUUUUUGGGGAUUUUAUAAGUUUGUUGACAUAAACUUGGACCUCAUUUCCUCCAAUUUCAUACUGUGAUCACUUACCUUUUUAAAAUAUAAAUAAUUAGUCGAUAACAAAUAAAAAAAAGGGUGAUUCGAACCAUAUACUUUAAAAUCUUAAACCAUACAACAAUCAACUACACUAUUUCACAAAAACAUUCUUUUCAUCAAUUUAUAAAAAAGAAUUACUUUUCGUUGAAUUUAGAAUUUAGUUGUUAUCAUAUCUUCACUUGCAAGACAUACAUCAUUAUAUUCCCAUGCACUUCGAUAACAAAAUCACUCACGUAUAUGUCCGAUAGGUCAUCAUCAUGGACGUAAAUCUAAGUUAUAAAAUGCUAUAGUAAAAUUCAAUCAUGUUCUCCACACAUCGCAAUCAUCAUCUAUCACAUAGCCAGUUUGGGGUGCUAGAUUUAUAUAAUUUUAAUAUUUUUUAUAUACAACCCAAAAUUAUUAUAUUGCUAUGUUUUAUUAGUCUAAUACAUUGAACCAUAAUAAAUCUAAAAUGUAAAAGUAUAAGAUAAUUAAUACAUCACAAUAUCAAAAAUUUAUAUACAAUGAAAUUCUAUUCAAAAAUUUCCGAAGUCUCCAUAAUCGUAAUUUGUAUUGUUCAAUACAGUGAGCUCUUCAAAUAUUCUUUCAAAUCUUAGACCAUCAAACCAAUUGAAACUUCAAGAAUCAUACCCCUAAUGUUAUUGUUUGAUAUGCAAAUAGGCGUCAUAAUCAGAUCAAGUAACCGUAAUGCGUGAAGAAAAGCUGAAUUCUUUGGUUUCCGAGAUCUGCAGAAAACAGAACCGACACCGCCAUUUUUUGAUUUUACAUGCCAUAAACCAAUCUCCACGUAUACACAUUGCUUGCUUCACUCUCCCCUUGCAGUAUUAUGGCGGUAAACUCUUGUCACUCACUCAUCCUAAAUUUGUACACAUUUGACACCAUGAUUAACAAUCUUGAUUAAUACAUUUCAAUCCCAACUACACAUAGUUAAACAUACACCUAACAAAUAUUAGGGAGCAGCUUAAUCAAAUUUGCCACCACCAGCAUAUCUCGAAGGCAGUAGUCAUUAAUAUUGAUAGGAAGAUCGAUACUUGCUAACAAUUAAUAAUCAGAAGAGAGGAUCUGUACUCUGCAAUAUCUGUAUUAGUAUAUAGUUUCUGGCGUCCCCACCUGCUCUCUGUUCAUCUACACCUCUGUUUUUUCCUCUCGACCUCCAGAAACUUUUAUUUAAUAAGCAAACAAAAAAACUAAAAUAAAUACAUAAAAAUACAGCUCCACCUCCUCGGCUCUGCAGCAGUACCUUAAAUCCAGACGUAUAUAAUGGCGGGUAAGGGCUCCAGCAGCUGACAGACACCAUUUAAUUUCACUGCUACAGUCAUGGCUUCUCCUUCUCUCUGCAGCCACCAUCACCAUCACCGCCCUCGUUUAUCUUCUUUCCUCUUCCUCUUUUCCUCCCUUUCCCUCUUCCUCAUUUCCUCCCUUUCUUUUCUCCUCUUAACCGCCGCUGCAGAUUCUUCUUCCUCCUCCUCCUCCUCCUCCUCAGGCGAUGGCGGUGACCCUCUGAAGCUGACAUUCACCGCCCCUGCAAAAUACUGGACCGACGCUAUCCCCAUUGGCAAUGGCCGCCUCGGCGCCGUUGUAUGGGGCGGCGUCGUUAACGAAACUCUCCAGCUCAACGGUAUUCAGGCCAUCCAUUGGAUUUUUUUUUUACUCAUUAUAAUGGGCGCCGUUGCUGGAUUGGCUAAUUAGUUUCAUUGUUUUUUUUUAAAUGUAGAUGAUACGUUGUGGACCGGAGUUCCCGGGACCUACACAGAUUCCAAUGCACCGGCGGCUCUCGUGGUGGUCAGAAAGCUCGUCAGUUCCGGCCAAUACGCUGAAGCUUCCGCCGAGGCUAUUAAACUCUCAGGAACUCCCUCUCAGGUUUGUUGUUUCUCCAUUUCUCUGCCGCCAAGCUUCAAACAAUUUUCUAUUCUUGGAAACUAUGAUAAAGUUAAGUUUAUAGUAAAUUAGUAAUGGUGCCGCCAAUCGUCAGAUCUUCUACUUUUUAUUCCGGUAUGAAUGUCUUGCCUUGCUAAUUUCUUUUACAGAUUUACCAAUUGCUGGGAGACAUAGUGCUUGAAUUCGACGGUUCACACAAGAACUACGACCCCAAAACCUACCACAGAGAGCUGGAUUUGGACACCGCUACAGCAACCGUCAAAUACACAGUCGGGGGAAUCGAAUACACGAGGGAGCAUUUCGCUUCCAAUCCGAAUCAAGCAAUCGUGACCAAGAUUUCAGCGAGCAAGCCUGGGUUUGUAUCCUUUACUGUUCAUAUGGACAGUAAGAUGAAUCACACUUCUUCACACGUAGAAGGGAAGCACCAGAUUGUAUUGACAGGGAGUUGUAGAGGGAUUCCGAAGGGAAUUCAAUUCACCGCAAUGCUGGAUCUGCAGAUCGGAGGAGGCAAUGGAUCAGCAGUUAUCCGAGAAGGUGGGAAGUUGAAGGUUGUUGGUGCGGAUUGGGCGGUUCUGGUUCUUGUGGCUUCAUCUUCAUUUGAUGGACCGUUCGUUAAACCGGUUGAUUCGAAGAAGAAUCCGACUUCGGAUUGCGAAAAGGGGCUGAACUCGUUAGUUGGUGUGGCGUAUGCUGAUCUGAGAGCUCGGCAUUUGGAGGAUUAUCAGAGUUUGUUCCACCGCGUUUCACUGCAGCUUUCUUCCGGAGGUUCAUCAAGCAGUGUGUUGUCAACUGCGGAGAGAGUGAAGUCGUUUAAAACUGAUGAAGAUCCGUCUUUGGUGGCGUUGAUGUUCCAGUACGGUCGGUAUUUGUUGAUUUCGUGUUCCAGGCCUGGAACUCAGGUUGCGAAUCUGCAGGGGAUUUGGAAUAAGGAUAUCAACCCGCCAUGGGAGUAUGUUUCUUCAUGUCCUUCAUGUUUUAAACUUUAUACAUGAAGAAAGACAGCUUAAUAUUGAUUUUAUCUGGUUUUCUCUAUCACAGUGGUGCUCAACAUUUGAACAUCAACCUGCAAAUGAACUAUUGGCCAGCACUGUCCUGCAAUCUUAAGGAGUGUCAAGAGCCAUUGUUUGACUACAUGUCUUCCCUCUCAGUCAAUGGGAAGAAGACCGCUACGGUAAGUCAGACAAGAGUUUUCCACGUAAAAUCGUUGUGGCAUCCAUUUUCGAUCUAUUUUCAUUACUUUUAUCGUCUGACCUUCCUUUCUUGUGUGAAUUCGGAUUAUGACAGGUGAACUAUGGAGCAAAUGGCUGGGUUGCGCAUCAGGUGAGCGACGUAUGGGCGAAAACGUCUCCUGAUUUUGGAGAUGCGAUAUGGGCUAUGUAUCCGCUGGGUGGAUCUUGGCUUUGUACACACUUGUGGGAGCAUUAUAGUUAUACAAUGGACAAAGUAAGUAAAGCUCAGUAAUUUUCUCUUCUAGAUCUUUCCCCUCUGGUUAAUCUAUAUGCAAAAUGAGUGAUAAAAUAAAAUGCUAUGUUGUUCAUCAGGACUUCCUUGGGAAAAAGGCUUACCCUUUGUUGGAAGGAUGUGCUGAGUUUCUACUAGACUGGUUGGUCGAAGGACCUGGAGGAUAUCUCGAAACCAAUCCGUCAACUUCCCCGGAACAUAAAUUCAUCGCUCCAGACGGGAAGCAAGCCAGUGUUAGCAACUCAACUACCAUGGACAUGUCAAUCAUAAGACAAGUCUUCUCAGACAUUGUCUCUGCUGCUGAAGUUUUAGGAAGAAAGGGUGAUGAGCUCAUUCAGAAAGUUAGCCACGCCACAUCUCGCCUUCCGCCCACUAAAAUCGCGAAGCAGGGUACUGUCAUGGAAUGGGUAAGUGCUGUAACCAUUGACCGAUGUUCAGAAGCGUAAUCCCGGCUGAUAACUGACUCGACUUGUUCGCUUUGGCAUGAUUUUCUAACAGGCGUUUGAUUUCAAAGACCCGGAGCCUCAGCACAGACACCUGUCCCAUCUCUUUGGGUUGUACCCUGGCCAUACCAUUACUCCACGGGAUACUCCAGAGCUCUGCAAUGCUUCAGAAAGCACUCUGAUCAAGAGAGGUACCGUAAAAGAAAGUUCUGUCGAUACUCUUCGAAGAUCGAAAAAUCCUAAUAACCGUUCUUUGCUUUCAAACAGGUGUUGAAGGCCCAGGAUGGUCGACUGUGUGGAAAGCUGCAUUAUGGGCAAGGCUACACAAGAGUGACAAGGCUUAUCAGAUGGUCAAGCAUUUGUUUAACCUGGUGGAUCCUGCACAUGAAGGAGACUACGAAGGAGGAGUUUUUAGUAACUUGUUUACUGCUCACCCGCCGUUCCAGAUCGAUGCGAACUUGGGGUGAGCCAAAACACAUGCAUAUACUAAUGCUGUUAUAAUACGGACUGCAUAUAGCAGCACCGCACCCUAAAUUAUUCAUCAACUUGACUUGACAUUUCCGCGAUCUUUGCUCGAUUGCAGGUUCUCCGCAGCCAUAGCGGAGAUGUUAGUACAGGGGACAGGAACUGAUCUCUUCCUACUCCCUGCUCAUCCAGGCGGUAAAUGGCCAGAUGGGUGCGCGAAGGGGUUAAGAGCGAGAGGAGGGGUGGCGGUCAACCUGUGCUGGAAAAACGGCGAGCUUGAAGAAGCUGUCCUUUGGUCGACACAAGGAAACUCGAUCCAACAGCUGCAUUAUGGAGAAAAGAUGGUGAACGCAAGUAUACUGUCAUGUAAUAUGUACACAUUCAAUAGGGAGCUAACACUUACUAGAACAGAAUCACUUUCGCAAGUAGAUUCUUCUUGCUGAAAAGAUUUGAGUCGGGGAGAGAUGGGUAUAGAUAUCUUCAGAAAAGGAGCAUUCUUUUUUAUUGUUAGAACUUGGUAGCUAGCUAGAGAUCUCUCUUGCAAUAAUAAAAGUUUCAACCAACUUGUUGGAUUUUUUACCAGAUGUCCUGCCUCUGUAAUUACAAAAUCAUUCGUUCGGAGUUCAGAUUUGCUUUUUCCUGCUUCCUUUACCGUUAUUUUGUGCAUGGUAACUGGAGAAAUAUUCAAAUUGAAUCAAUAAUGGCCGUUGAACUUCUGGUACUGUGGGAUUUCAUAUUGUAUCAGAACUCACAGUCCAAUGUGAUAACUGAUUCCAGAACCUACCACAGAUUGAUUGUACGCCCAAUUGCUUGCAAAAAACUGUAACGGAUACCUAUUUCUGAAACGAUCAUCUCAAAUCUGAACAUCUACGCUGUAGAUUUUAAAGAACAGAACUGUUUAUAGUUUCCUCCCAGCAGAUUUGCAACUGCGUAGUAGUAUCGACAAAAAGGAAAAGGAGGAACUAUGGAUGAACUAAAGUUUAGUAUGCCCACUGCGGAUUAUGAAUCAGAACAGUGCUUGAUUUCUUCACAUCGUUUCAAUUUUCAAAGGAAGAUCUUUCAAACCAAAUAUAAACUGCAAGAUCACAAUCAGUUUUAGAAGGAAAAUAUUUAGACUGAAAACUGGUAGGGGCCGCGCGAACGCAGGCCCCCGCUGCAACAAAUUAUGACGUAGGCUCUUCCUCUUAGGGAAGACCUUAGAACAGCACCCCUCCAGUAUGUGCAAUGGAGAUCACUACUCUAGGCCAUGACUCUUCUUGGUCAGCCAUUGACCCCGUCCAGGUAAGUAUGUUUCGAUGUUGGAGAUUAGUUUCAUUUUAUUCCAGUGAAGGCUCCUACUUUCAUUGGUUUUUAGCAAUGUGGUUUGCAUCACUGAAGGCGAAAUUUACGAUACUAUUUUUCAAUCUAUCCUUGCCUUUCCAAGUGCAGUUCCUUGUCAAAAACCAAGCCUUUAAAUUGGGAUUUGGACUUUUAAAUUGGGUACGGGAAUCCCAAAUUCCCAUUAUCCAUCCCUUUACUAUCUCUGCUGUGUGCUUAUCCAACUGAGAGUCAGACAUCAUUACGACUCUAUUCCACAGUCCGACCGCCUCACAACUCCAGCCCGCCAACGACGAUGAUAAUUGACGGAUUCCACCGUAACUGCGCUCUCCAACGAUUGAAUAACUCUAAAUCAACUCUCCAUGCUCUCCCAAUCUUCCUUUUUGGAUCUUCCGGUCUUUCCACCGUUGUUCGCCGGAACUGAUAGAGAUACUUGCGCUGAAUUCCAUCCCUUCUUUGUUAAGUCAAGAUUCCAAUUUCCAAUUUUCCGCAUGAUGAUCAGAGGCGGUGACCAGCUCAAUGUCAACCAUUAUACAAGGAGUAACGGAGAACUGAGUCCUUUUUAACUUUAUUAGUAUCGGCCAUUACUUCAUUUUUUUACAAGUGACUGAGAUUUCUGUGGGUGGAGAAGAGAUUGAGAUUUCUUGUGAUGAGUGUAAUCAUUUGGGGAAAAAUUGUUAAUUCGGGAUCCCAAAUACCGUAUUCAAAUUUCCAUUCCCGAAUUAUAAUUACCGAAUUAAAUUUUGAGAAUUUGGGAUUCGGAAAUUCGGAAUACGGUAAUUUAAAUUUUCACAAAUUCGGGAACGGGGUCUCAUUCCCGUCCCCUUUUCCACCCCUACGUAGUUGGUCCCGGUUGCAUUUGAAUCUUUCUACUAGUUGCUUACCCUUGGAAGGAUCAUGCUGUAACUAACGUUAAUUGCAGGACCUCGCUCAAUCUGCAGCUAGGAAACAAGCUGAGCUGAACAGGAUGAUAGCGCUACUGAACUGAUCUUUCUGCUGCAAUCUUGGAGUUGGAUGAAAUAAGCAAAAUGAAAUCUCAGAUAUUCAUAGCCAGAACUAUGAUCAUGCAUGGAGAAGUAUAAUAACAUUUUGGAGCAGUCAGACAUUCUACAAUCUACGAGCCUAGAUAUAUUGUAGAUGAUAUAGGUUAACGGAUAGGUCUUAGCAUUUCUUGUAUUUUUCAUGCUGGAAAACUUCAAAAGCUAAUAGAUAUUGGAUGCUAAAUUGUCAUUAAUAUAAUGCCAAGUUUUCUGUUUGAAAAUGUUACAAGCAGAAAAUAACUAGUUACAAUACUCGACGAAAAGUUAUCUAACAAUCAGUGGGGAUUCGUCGAUCAACCAUCGAAAAUCACUAAUUUCAACUGGCCUAAAAUGAAGAAAAAUCAUUUAAUACCUAAACUACCUUCGGAGUAAAACGUAGUUUCUACUCGACAUGAAGAAUUAUUCAAUGCCUGAACUACUUUUUACUCAGAAAUGAAAAAUCUUUGAACCUAAUAUUUGAUUCCAUUGAUGAAAUCUUGACCAUUGGGGAGAAGUCACUUGAUCCAACGGUCAUCGCUUAUUCAGUUCAUGUAAAACUCAACCUCCGUAAACCCUAUUACCCAAGCCAAAAACCCCUCUCCUGGGAUUUGACUCAUCAGUCAUCUCGCCUUCUCUGGUAGCUUGAAAUUCAUCGGCACUCUCUCGACAACCCACCAUGGCUUGGCGCAGUGGAGCUUCUUCCUUUUCCCGCUCCUUCAUUUCUUCCGCCCGGUCAUCCUCUACGCGCUCCUCUUCAGCUCCGCUUCCCCGCCUCCGUCCACCAUCCACCUCCCCCCCUCGCAUCCAGUCGCGGCGAGUCUCCUUCUCUCCUUCCAGGUAUCGCUUCGUCACCGUGCCAGCUUCGAUCCGAUUGAUAUUAGGGUCUAGUAAUGAAUCUGAAUUACGUAGCUUCUGUACUGGUUUUCUCGAAGAACACUAUGAUCCAAUGUUGAAAUCUGACAUUGAUUUCAGUUUAAUAAGUAACCGCGAUACCAGCUUACUGUGGUUAGUAUAUUGGAUUCAAAUUCUUUGAUGUCAUUUUGAAAGAGGAACUGAAGUGGGGGGAUAGUGAAUGAAUUUCGAUUGCGUUGGGCGAUGGUGGGACUUUUUAGCAUGGCCGAGCUAGUUCUUGUGUGUUUGGCAGUAAAAGAGAGUGAACCUCAGUUAUGUUUCUGUUGAAACUUACAGUAAGAGUUUUGACAUUGUGGGCUCUGCAGGAACUUGGGAGAGCUAGGAUGCGUGCAGUCGUUGUUGCCUCUGCACAGUGUGGUUGCCAAUAGCCACCUCACUUCUCAUAUCAGUGCUAACCUGCGGGCUUUCUGCGAGCUGCCUCAUGGUACCUUCUGCCGCACUUGUCAGGAUCGCUAGUAUUUUCUUUGUGAGUUUUACCAAUUUCUAGGGAAUGUGAAGUUAACAGAGCAUGCUGUUGCUGCCAUAGAUAAAUGUAUGAUUUUGCAUGGACCUCUUAUUGUACUUGAUUGCUAGGGAUAGAUAAGCUUCAAUUUAGCUAGGUUUUGCAAUUUAAUAUUCGAAUUCGAAGCUGAACAUAUGCGUGUACAUAGUAGAAAAGACAAAGGAACGCACAUUCUCACGUAUACAUGCAUGCACGAUAUGUGGAAAUGGCUGAGUUUGUGGUUCUUGUUUCCUUGGGAAUCUGCUUGAUCUUAAGGUUCUGAUAACAGUGGUUUCACUUAGGUAGUCCAGUUCACCCAUAACAUAAACACAGGUAUUCACAUCAACGAUUCGUCAAACUCAAACUGAUGUCAGAUUGUUUGCUGUUCCUUUGCGGCAGGUACUUAAGUGGCCACUGGUUCUGCACACACACAGCUGAGUGCUGACAGAGUUGGAUUUACGUGCGGAAGAAACUUAGGCUGUUGAACUACGGUCUUGAGUGUGGAUGCUGUUGAUAAGGACGUCUCUUUUAUGAUUAACCAUGACAAUCAGCUUUGUUAUGACUUACGGUUCUGUGUUGUUGUUCUAGUAUCCAUUUUGAAGCGGGAAUAGAGUCAACGUGGAAGCUUGAAAAAUAAAAUUUCUGUUUAAUUGGGUAUCCUGGGAAUUUUGAGAAAUAGGACAUAGGAAUCUGUUUAAUUGGAUUUUCAAUAAGGGGAAAAGGUUAUUUGAACCGUGAAUAAUCUUUUUGUUGAAAUUUCAAAUUUGAGAUUACUUCAUGUUAGUCAAUUGCCAUAAUUUGGUAGAAACGUCUUUGUAUUAGCCUAAUUCUCUGAUUAUAUUCCUUAGCAAUGUUGUACAAGAAAAAAGACAAGAAAUCAAGUACAAAUUACAAUAAGUUAAUCAAUUGCCACAAUUUGGUGGAAACGUCUCUGUAUUACUGUUCUAAUUCUAUUCCUUACAAUGUUGUACAAGGAAAAACCAAGCAACCAAGGACAAAUUUCAAUAAGGUCAACGCUGGAAUCCAGUAUUCUGAGAGAUCUCGAGUGCGAAUCAUUUUGACUUCCAGUCUGAUAUCGUAUUGAGAGCUCAUCCAAUGCAGCAUUCUGAAUCCAAGGUUCGAGAGCGAUCACGAUAUCGAGUGGGGACAAUCGUUGACGUAUCACAAAACCCCGUUCUAUAGAUUAAUAUUAGUCCUAAUCUUCAUUACAUUAGCAUUUGAUGGAACCUAGCGUAUUGGCUCACUAAUCCAUAACUUAUAUUAGGUUUUAGGAGUGCACAAUGCCGCUUAGCUGUUAGUUGAUUUAUAGUGUGCAUUUGUUUACCUGUUAAUAAUGUAGACAAUCUGAAAUAUUAUAUUUUGGAAGUCUGGGUUCUACUCGAUCCUAUUUAAUACAGGAUAAUUUCGGUUCACCUGCCCGAGUCGAUCUAAACUAGACCGGGGUUUCCACUACUAAUAACUGAAACACAUCGUUGAAGUAUCUUGUGUCCGUUUUCCCCGGUCAUUAACCGACGGUUAAUAAUCGAAUUUACCGACUCCCGGGCCUAGUAAAACCCGAGUUAUCGGGUAUUUAAAGGGUAUGGGAAAACUCAAGAACCGUUACAUGCGGGUAUGGAUAGGGUAUGGAUAUUGAAGUAUUCAAGCCAAACUUGACCGGAUAAAUUAAAGUUUUUUAAUGAGAUGCUUUAUGUAUAUAAUGAUUAAUUAUUUUCAUUUCUACAACUAUUAUGUAUAAAAUAAUUAAAUGUUUGAGUUAUAUAAUUUUAUUUUAUUCUAUUAGUGAUAAAUGUUUGGAAAAUUAUAUAGUUUCUUGAUUUUUUGCUUUGAGUUUUGAAGUGUUUUUUUAUUACUAUUAUAAUCGAAUCCUGUUUGAAAACUGACGGGUAUGAGUACGGUAUGACAUUUACUACCCGAAAUGUUAUAUAGGGUGGGUAUUGCCUGAACCUGAAAUUGCAAUGGGUGAGGAACGGAUAUUAACUAUCCGAACCCAAAUUCAACCGUUGCUAAGCCUUAAGAGACAACUAAUCCAAAGUUCAAUUAGAAGAGAAAAAUCUCUUUAAUAAAUAAUAUAUGUAUUUAAUUAAUAUUCAAUUCGAUUGAAUAUAGUUAAGUUAAGAUUCAACUAAAUGGAUCAAACAAAAUUCAAUUAAAAAAAAUUUCUUAUCGAAUAGUAAAAUAUUUUUUGACUUUAUAUAAUUUUAAUUUAAGUUACCGAAUAAUAUUUGACAGAGCCAACAACAAGAGACUCUGUUUUCAGGGGACGACACGUGAGAAUUAUUAGUGGAAGGGAACAAGAAUGAUUGAGAAGAGGGCUAAAACCCAGAUGGUAGAAUCCUCGUCUUCUUGUAGAGUCAUUUCGGGACCCCUGUUUUGACGGUAACUAAGAAAGAAACAAAGAAGGUUGUGUUUGGUUUCGAAUGUCUUGUUCUGAUAAUGCUGUCUCUGUAGCUUGGCACUUUGAAAGUAGCAAGGCGACAUACAGAGUGCUCAAUUUCCCAAUUUCACAUCAAUGGUUCUUGUAGCUGCUUUGAACCCCCCUUUACCUACUUUUGGAACCACCCCCCCACUUUACAUUCGAACCAAUAGCAAACUAAAUACCUUCGUCCCUUCGAUUCUGCACUGAGCCACCAAACCUUCUUUUACCUCCACCAAUAAUAAUACAAGAUGAACAUCAUAAGUAUAUAGGCAUUCUCAUAAAACUUUAGUAUUAUUACACAUAUGAAUAAGUACACGAAUAAAUACAAUUGAAGUUUUGAUUUGCAUGAUCAGUGUGGAGAUGUAAGUUCACGAUAUUGUGUUACGCACAUUCAAUCGGUCAACUGAUCAUUCAUCCAACUUUGCAGAUUUCUCAUGUUGGGGUGAUUUCAAGUUGAGGCUCACCCUUUCAUCAUAUCCUAUGUUUGAAAUCGGUUAUAAAUUCAGUUUUCCAUUGUAUUCCGGUUCUAACCUUGGUUACCCUAUAUGUCUAACCAACAAGAAAACCAGUCAGGCAGUCACCGAGUCUUGCUGAUAUAUUGUUCUUUUAACGUUUGAUAUCCUCCUACUACGGCCAUGUUUGUUCCUACAACUCCUACCCUUAAGAUAUAAAAGCCUUGAAUAUCAUGAAGUAUCAAAAGACUGCAGUGACUGCAGAACUAAGGUAUCCUCUCUAAAGCUAGCUAUCACACAAAUGGGUUUAGAAGUUGAGGGGAAACGUGAAGUCAAUAGCCAAGUCACUUAAUUCCAUUUGCCAGAUUGCGUCAUCUAACAUUAUCUCUUCCUUUAUCUCCUCUUCCUAUACCUAAUUUCCAUCCAAGGAUUAGGAUUCUUAUUCCAUGAUCUCCACACAUAAUGUAAAGCAACCUAUGCCAACAUCUCAUUCUCUUUUCAUCUCGUCUUGUUGCAGCCAAAUCAACUCCCGCAGAAUAGAAAAGGUCAAGCAUUUGCACUUACAUGGCUAUUUCGCACUGCCAGCCGGCCAGCCAACGCAUCCUUUUGGUACACAAUGAUUCCUGAAGAUAACAAGUGACCUAAGCAAAGAGCAAUGAACUUGAAAGUAUUGAAUGACGAUAUAAAACAGAUAAGAUAGAAAGGAAAUAUGAUCAUUUUUGCAAAGUAACUACUUACUACGUGGCUUGGAGUUGUUCACUCUUUAAUCUUUAUGCAACAUAAUCUUCCACCCAGAACCUAAACCCAUAUCGGUAAAGGGAUGUUCUACCUUUUACCAUACAAUUAUGUCCAUGGACGACCAAAAACAAACAACAAGAUGGACGCUAGCACAGACAUGAAAGACUAAAGAAUCUUCAGAAAUUUACAACAAGCUAAGUAACUUCUUGUGUGGUGAGGGGAAUAGGACAUGAUCAAUUCUCUAUCAUGUGAAAACUAAGCAAACUUCCAAAUUCUAUCAGUUUUUGUUUUGUAAAUUUUGAAGUACAGCUUACAAGUGGAGCAUAAUGCAUAAUGUCUUGAGAAAAUGGCAAAACAGUGAAUGAAAAGCCACAACAAGACCCACAUAGAUAGAUACUCUUGUUUCACAACCUAACAUUACAGCAUCAAAAAAUGGCAAGUCACAAAUUCAUUCAGUGAGUGCUAUUAUUGGGCAGGUCAUUCGUCCCAUCAUCAGACCUCCACUCAAUACUAUAACAAGACCCUACCACCUGUAUAUAUAUGCAUUCCACUUCAACAAAUAUAUAUCAUCAUGCUUCAACUAAAGCUUACAUAAUCCUUAAUAUGAUGCUGUGCAAAUUCGAUCUACAGUGUUACCUAGUUCACAUGAUAAGGCUUGCAAAAAAAUAAGAAUACUAAAAAGCUUUCUUUUUACUAGCCUCUCUGUUCACUCUGGUGGAGCUUUCUUCAGGCAUACCAUUAACUAGGAUCAAAAUGGAAGUAUAAAGAUUUAAGCCUCAGGACAGACAAAAAAAAGGGGGUAAUGAAAGUCGUUUCAAUGCAUGAAACAAACUUAUAUUAUUCAGUGGUUAAUGAAAGAUUCAAUCAUAUCUCGCCUGUUGAACAAGGACAGGCAUAUCCAAGAAUAGUCAGAAGAGAUAGAUAACCAAACAAACAACUUUGCUUAAGGAUAAGAAGCAAGUGGUUGAGAAACAAACAGUAUAGAUGCACUGGGAAAUUAUGAAGUUGACAAUCCAGGGACCUGUUAAAACUAAAGUAAGUUUCAUUUGAAAGAGAUGAGCAAAAGAAAGAUACGAAAUAUUAAAAAGUGGAGAAUCCCAACUCGACAAAUGGGAAAACAGCAAAAAGGAAACGUGAGCACUGUCCCCUGUAAGUCUGUAAACACUAAGCAUCACAAACUGUGGGGACACCCCCAACUGAAACCAUGAUAUGAUAUGAUUUAAAAACGGCCAGUAGUUGCAGUAGGUUCCUUUCCCAUACUGGAAUUCCCCUUCAUCUAUUUCCUUAAUCCCCCCACUUUGAUCCACCAUGAAUGAAAUACUAGACGCAAGCAACAAUCAAGACGUAUGGUUGAACCUGAGCCUAGGUGGGGGGAGUUUGCAUUCAGAAGCCACAGCGUGUGAAAAUUCACAAUCAAGACCCGUACCUGGCAAGGUUUUCUCAUGCAAUUUCUGCAGAAGAAAAUUCUAUAGUUCACAGGCACUGGGAGGUCACCAGAAUGCUCACAAGAGGGAAAGAGGCACUGUCAGAAGAUAUCAGUCGCAAAGGAUGAUGAUGAUGAUGGGUUUACCCAUGCAUACUCCUCCUCCUCCAAUAGGAAGAGACCCAUACCUGGAAAGGUUUUCUCAUGCAACUUCUGCAGAAGGAAAUUCUAUAGUUCACAGGCACUGGGAGGUCACCAGAAUGCUCACAAGAGGGAAAGAGGCACUGUCAGAAGAUAUCAGUCGCAAAGGAUGAUGAUGAUGAUGGGUUUACCCAUGCAUACUCCUCCUCCUCCAAUAGGAAGAUCACUUGGUGUCAGACCCCAUUCACUGGUUCACAAACCAAAUAGAGAUACAGCAAAAAUUAACGAGGUCAGUCGAGGGUUUGAAUCAUGCAAGCCGCCUUUCUCAGUUGAAGGUACAGUUGAGUUGAUGUGGCCAGGCAGCUUUCGCAUGGAUCCUCCACCACCGGAGUCGCUUGAUAUUGACUUGAACCUCAAACUCUGAUCACCUCCUUAAUUUCUCCCAACUUCUCAGCACUGUUCUUAGAAAAUAAUGUCAAUACACCAGAUAUAUAUAUAUACUAGGCAGGAUUUGUAUAGGUUUCCAGAGAUGGAGAUUACUAAUGAGUGCAGUUUCCAAAGGUAAAUUCUCACUAAUGCUUCACUAUUUAUCCUCUGUGCCGGUGGUAAAACGAGUACAGUAUCUUUCAUUUGACUCUAGUCCUUCUAUGCCAUGCUAUGCUACUGAGUGUUCUUUCUUUCAAUAUCAUCAAACAAGGUUCCUUUAUGUUUCUCUUUUGAAUCACUCUCUUCGAUCAUAAUGUCAUUAUCGAAUACACUGCAACUAUUCCACGCCCAUAAACUGACCGAAUAAAAACUUCUCCAUUAUAAAUUAUAGUUCGAUCAUCAUCCCUAAUUGACACGUUAUUUUUGAAACAUUUCCCUAUCUCUGCUUUAACCCAACAACCCUAAAUCUAAAAAUAAAGAAUGAACUAGGAAUCUACUCUAAUCACGUUCAGGAGUUUGAAAGCCAAAGAGGAACAUGGCUAAGCAGCAGCUAAUAAUAACUACAAUUGCUUUGGCUAAGUGAAACAUAAAAUUUUUGCAGAACUGUGCGCAAGGCCUGAUGUAUUGACAUUAAGUAGUUGAUCAGCGGCUUUCAGAACAAGUGAAGAGGAAUUUCCGAGGGAAGUGCCAUCGCCGAGACGCACCUAUACUGUAUAAAGAAUUAAAGAGAGGGUUAAUCAUGAAAUUCAUAGUGAUUUGCCUUGUAAAACAAUGUGGGUGAUCACAAUUAGGACCCAGUGGAAAAGAGGAGAGGAACUAGAGGGAUGUACCUUGGGCUUCUCGAACUUCUCUCUAACGCCUCGGAAGUCGCUUCUUUUUUUGUUUAUCGCGAAGCCAUGAAUGGAUAAAACGCAAUCCUUCAAGUCAGCUGGACUAUAACCAGAUUUUAGCUGCAAUGAUGUGCUCUGCAAAUAUAUGGAAGGAAGCUAUUAGUGGAGACACCCUUAAAAUUGGGCAUUUCUCAUUUUAAAUUAAUACUAAUCAAUGCUACUUUCCACUUUGUUCUUAAUUCUUACCCAAGGUUGCUGGUGUGGGGAGAUUAUGAAUCUUGCCAAGAAAACGGACGAUGCAGCAAUCAUCGAUGGCAAGAAGCGAACACACCCGUACUCCAACAAGCUUAGCUCACAAAGGUAACUACUUAAGAACUCAAGAUGCUUAUUGGGAUCCUGGAAAUUGUGAGCACACAUACAACUGUUAAAAGACAAAAGAAACUUGCGACAGAAAAGUGGAUGGAUGGUCAACAGCGGAACUAGGAUGUUGGAAAUUCUAGUUAGAAUUUUAAGUUUGAGGUGAGUUUAAAAGCACUUUGUGCAAUAUUAUAAAACACACUUAACAAAAAAAUUAAAUUCUGAAAAUUUUACAUAAUAUUUGGUUAGUUUGCAACCAAAGAACCCUUGAUGAUGUAAUGGCCUAAAUUCAUACAUCCUUAUUUUACAUAAUAUUUGGUUAGUUUGUAACCAAAAAAUUCUCAAUGAUGUAAUGACCUAAAUUCGUAUAUCCUUAUUUUACAUAAUAUUUAAUUAGUUUGCAACCAAAUAACCCUCGAUGUAAUGGUCUAAAUUCGUACAUCCUUAAUUAUAUAUCUUACAUUCAUUUCCUUUUUCUUUCUACAAGAGGAUAGGCUAACGCAUAGCUGAAAAAAGGUUAGCUUACCAGAGUAGUAUCAUUCUCCGCAACUCUAGUCAGAAUUCUGCAAAUACAACAUGGAAAUGUUACAGACUGAAAAUCAGGUUCUAAUCAAUUUCGUAAAAAGGUAGAGAUUGCGCAGCUCAAUCUUUAGAAACAACGAAACAUUACCUGAGGAAGUUUUUGGCAGUGGGAUUACUCAUUUCAUAGUUCAAGAAUUUUAGCACAUCUGCCUCCAUCUCCAGUAGCUGCAUUCCAAUUUCCAAACCCACAUAAAGCAAGCAAACAAGGAAACACUAAAACCGUCACUCAAUGGCGGCUAAGAAUAAUUAAUUCCACCUCCUCCUGAAGUUUCAGAAUCUCACCUCCUCUUUGGUGUAAGUGUUAUCAGUAAUGUGGCAAAAAUCGUCAGCAUGGCGAGGAUUUAUCUCUUCGUACUUCCUACAUCACGGAUCACAAAUGCAGAAACAAUAAGAAUUCGGAUUCCGACGAUUCAUUCGUUGCAUAGAAAAUUUGGAGAGACAAAAAAGAUUAAAUAAAGGGAAGAUCAGUGAGCAAAUUACGAAGCAAUAAGCAGGCAAGAGACACCAAGAAGCUGGAGCUUGUCUUUGUCGAUACAUCUAGAGGACAAGUAUCUGUCAAUAUAAGAUAUCGAGAGAAAUAGCGUAUCGGCGACGAGCUUAUACUCCUCAGCAACUUCCACAAGCCAGUCAACCAGAACUGUUCGCAUGCUCACUAGCAGAUUUUUCUGAACUGUUUCCAUGUAAUUCGCAAGGGGCCUCCUACUGUCCUCUACCUAAUUAACCAUCAAUUCAAUUAUUCGAUCGUUAAUACUUCAAUCUAGUAAUUGAAUUGAUUCGACGAGAUAAAUACAGCAAGAAAUUUCAAAAUGCAGAGCUACAAGCUGAAUUAGAUAUCAGUCAAUUCAUAGUUGGAUCAAUUGUUUAAUUGUCAUUUACCUCCAGUGACCGGAGAUGAUCGUAUAUGAAAGACGAGCCACUGCACUUCUUGGUCACCAAUCCCGAAGUCGAAUCAACGCUACUACCGGAGAUCUCUAUCGGAUCAUUUGGAUUCAAGCCGUGAACAUCAAUGUCCGUCUGAUGAACAUCAAAUGGCGGCGGAAGAAGAGGAGGAGGAGGAGGAGCGGCGUUCUCGUUGUGCGAAAGCUUGGGCUUUUUAUCGCACGGGUGAGCAAUGAUGUUGGUGAGUUCACCGAGCGGGACUCGCUUCUUGGUCAGUGGCAGAGGAUCAAACUGCGAAGACGAGUUCAUUUUGUUUUUGGUCUUCUUGGAAGAGGAUGAGCAAGACGAAUGGAUGCGGCGGUUCUGGGUGUUGCCCUCCAUGGAUAUGAUGAUCGGAGAUUUAGAAGAAAGAGGUCGGCGGUGGCGGUGAUUAAUUAGUUACUCCGAAGAGAAGAUCGAAGAAGAUAUAUUAUAAACAAGGAUUUUGGUGGGCAUGGGCGGGCACUAAGCCGCCAAUUUCAUCAUUUGAAAAUGCAUAUUUAGCGCCUAGUCAGUUAUUAGCACUGAAACUCUGAAAUAGUGAAAAUUCGCUCCUUUUCUUUUUUUUUUUUAAUUUUUACACGUCAAAACAAAACAAUCACUAAAAUAGACUAUUGCCAUAUCGCAAAAUUUAAUUUUAAUGGUUAACGUAAUUGGCUUGCAUUUAAAUUUAGGAUCGAACGAUAUUGAUUCCUAUAAUUUUUUAACAUGUAAGAGUUUAAGAUACUCAACUACAAUAGAAAACAAUUAAUAUGUGAUUGUAAUUGUUACGUUAUUAUCAUAACCGUUAUACAUAUAUUCGUUUUAUGAUAAAUUGUCAGAUAAAGACAUCAGAUAGCUCAAGUUUAGAUAGGCGACCCACUAAGAGUGACACGCAACUGGCUGAAAUAUAUUACAACAACAAUGAUGGAAACUAAUCAAACCAUAACAUUGUUAAUAAUUUACUCAAAACUUUUGCUAUGUGUUUUCAUGAUAUAUAUGAUUUUGUUAAGAUGAACAUGCUAUAAUAUUAUCGCCAAAAUAAAAUUUGCUAUAAUAUAUGAUUUUGUUGAAUUGCCCAACAGCCCAAGUGCAUAAAUAGAAGAAAGAAGACAAGAAAGAAGGUGGAGGUUGGGCCCUGUUGGUAGUAAUGGACCGAAACAAUGGAGGUAAAACCAAAAGGGGUGGGUAGUGGGUACUUUUAACAUGGACACUUAAGGAAAGGGUUAAGGUGUGGGCCAACCGUUGCAGCCCUACAUACCCAACAAGCCCAACUAAUUCAUGUCUUCUAACACGCACAUAUGCAGCCCAGACAAACGGUUAGGCAAAUGAAAGCAAGGCAUAAAUAAAUANNNNNNNNNNNNNUAUAUAUAUAAUUAGUGUUCAUGAUCAGCAACAUAAACAAUGUGGUUUGCUUCGUCAACCCCCACUCCCACUACCUUAUAGCAUUCUGCUUAAUUUGGCAACUAGUGUACUACUGUUCUGGUGGUAAUGUGUCAUGUCGUCCAACGUUAUUGUCCGUUACAGUCGAGUUAGUUUGAUAGUAAAGUUGUGUGUUGGUAAUUUUGUGAUAUAUAAUUUUAAUUUGAUUUUAUUUUAUACGCAUUCUCACUUUAUAUAUCACCUACAUAAUGUUUAUUUCUAUAUUCUACCUUUUGCAUCGAAUCUUUAAUAUCCUCACUUACAGUAUAAAAUUUUUUCACAAUAUUUUGUUUUUAAAACUAAGACUCGACAUAUUAUAAAAAAAAACUUGAAGAGUAUUUUUUGUUUACUCACCAUAUCGAGUAAUGCCGCUAUUAUAUAAAUUUCGGAGUUUACNNNNNNNNNNNNNNNNNNNNNNNNNNNNNNNNNNNNNNNNNNNNNNNNNNNNNNNNNNNNNNNNNNNNNNNNNNNNNNNNNNNNNNNNNNNNNNNNNNNNNNNNNNNNNNNNNNNNNNNNNNNNNNNNNNNNNNNNNNNNNNNNNNNNNNNNNNNNNNNNNNNNNNNNNNNNNNNNNNNNNNNNNNNNNNCGGUUCCAUUAUUCUAUCUAUCUAUCUAUCUAUCCAUCGUCUUUUAAGAGAAAUCAUUACACACUUUGAAUUUAUUUUGAGUUUGGCUUCCAAUAAUAAUAUCCAUCCAUCCAUCCUCAAGGGAUAAGGGACCAACAGCAAAGGGAGGAGACGACUUUUGCUGAUUCAUUCAUUAUAUGUGUUUCCAACGAAACGAAAGCCCACCAAUAAUUCUAUUCUGUGUUCAUUUCUCCACUCAAUCAAUGAAUGUGUCUCUUGACUUGUAGCUACCUGCACACGACGACGUGGACUGCCCGUCAUCCUAACACAUUCUAUCGUUUCUCUCGUCACUCCUUCCAACCACUCUCCACAGUUGAGAGUUGACACUUUUAUUUUUUAUUUUUUUUUGUAGUGGAAGUUUCUUUUGGGGUUUACACUUUUGCUUUAUCGCCAUUGGCUCCUGUGUAUACUUAGCUGCGGCUGUGCGACCUAACCGCUGCAUCGGCUCGAGAAUGUGGGUUCCACCGGCUAUCAUAAGAACUCGGGUGGACGUCUCAUUACUCACCUUUGGUAUUUAUCGUGUGUCCUAAGUCCUAACUUGUUAAUUGCACAAGAUAAGAAAGAUUAUUGUAUAGUACAAACAUAAUGGAGACUUAGACCACAGCGAGAGAACUUAGGAUAAGUAAAUUCUUUACAUACCACUAAAUAGGAAGUUCGAUUAUUCUAAUGAGGAAUGUAUAAUUAAAAGGAAGACAUCAGACAAUUUAUGCAACAAGGCCCGACAUUUCGGGAGUACAAUCCCUGGAUGAAUGUCAGAGCGGGGGGAGGGAGAGAAGAAGAUGAACAGCUUCAAACGAGUCAGAAUGUAUAUUAAAUCACUAUUCUCAGUGAGACAAAAAACAACGAAAUUUUACUUUCUCCUUCUUCAUAUUCAUACAAAACAGACUUUAAGGAGAGUGAGUGAGCCAUAUUAUCAACAUCUGAUGUAACAUACGUUUGACUUAAACACGUUACUUCUCGACUUUGAUCAUAUCCAAGCACCCGCCCUUAACUCUCUCGUUGAGCCUCCUUCCUCUGAUGGAAACUCAUCCAUUGUCAAUGUCGAUAGGAAAGUCUACUCUAUUCGUAAUUUUUAAAUCUAAUCCAGUUCAAUGCCCACCUCUAUUAAUUUGGGAUAAACUUUAUUUUAAUUUACUGUUGGAGGGAAAAAAAACAACAUCGAAUGGCAUUUGGGCAUAAACAACUGCCUAUUUCCUCAUAUAAUUGGCGUAUGUUGCUGUUUUUUCUUACAUUAAAUUGAUUCGUCGGUCGAUAAUAAUUCUAUCUCUGCUGUCUCUGUCCUUCCGUCCCCAGGAGUUGACCAGCUUAGAUUGUUUGGCAAGUACAGGUGUAUUUUCACUUUUUUUUUUAUUAUAAUUAGGGUCGGCAGUUUCCCUAUUUAGUUUCACACGCGAACACAUCAACAAAUUAAAGUUUUAAAAUAAUAUCUUGAAAGAAAUGACUUAUUAUUAUAUUGCAGCAUCUAUUUUCUAGCAUAAUUCUACUAUUAUAUAUCUACAGCAGAAUAACUUAAUUAUAUAAUUUUAUCUUGCCGGAAAUUAAUAACACUACGAAACAAAAAUCCCACCUCCUCGCAUGGUCGUGGUUUUAGAAAUACAUUUUGUAUUGAAGAAAUAGCCCUUCUAUAAAAAAAAAUANNNNNNNNNNNNNNNNNNNNNNNNNNNNNNNNNNNNNNNNNNNNNNNNNNNNNNNNNNNNNNNNNNNNNNNNNNNNNNNNNNNNNNNNNNNNNNNNNNNNNNNNNNNNNNNNNNNNNNNNNNNNNNNNNNNNNNNNNNNNNNNNNNNNNNNNNNNNNNNNNNNNNNNNNNNNNNNNNNNNNNNNNNNNNNNNNNNNNNNNNNNNNNNNNNNNNNNNNNNNNNNNNNNNNNNNNNNNNNNNNNNNNNNNNNNNNNNNNNNNNNNNNNNNNNNNNNNNNNNNNNNNNNNNNNNNNNNNNNNNNNNNNNNNNNNNNNNNNNNNNNNNNNNNNNNNNNNNNNNNNNNNNNNNNNNNNNNNNNNNNNNNNNNNNNNNNNNNNNNNNNNNNNNNNNNNNNNNNNNNNNNNNNNNNNNNNNNNNNNNNNNNNNNNNNNNNNNNNNNNNNNNNNNNNNNNNNNNNNNNNNNNNNNNNNNNNNNNNNNNNNNNNNNNNNNNNNNNNNNNNNNNNNNNNNNNNNNNNNNNNNNNNNNNNNNNNNNNNNNNNNNNNNNNNNNNNNNNNNNNNNNNNNNNNNNNNNNNNNNNNNNNNNNNNNNNNNNNNNNNNNNNNNNNNNNNNNNNNNNNNNNNNNNNNNNNNNNNNNNNNNNNNNNNNNNNNNNNNNNNNNNNNNNNNNNNNAUUCGCAGAAUUUUAUUUUCAUUGGAUCGAUAAAAUUUUGGAAUGAUGAUCAUCAUCAUGGGGAUCGAUGUGAUGCAGGAUUGGGAAACGCGGUUUUGAAUUAUAUUUUUGACAUGGUUUUGAUUCUAUUUUUUUAUGUAUAUAAAAGUUUAUAUUAUCAAAGAAUUGAUUAUUUGUGAGUUUGUCGAUAAAAAUACAAAUUCNNNNNNNNNNNNNNNNNNNNNNNNNNUCAUAACAUAACAAUAAAUCUAUAGAUAGAAUGGGUAGUUCAAUAUUUGAAUUUAGCUUGGUAGUUUGGGUAAUAGGGAUUGAGGAACAUUGUUAAAAUCCUCAUCUUAAAUCAUAAAGAAUCAAUCAAACCCCUAAAAUUGGUUAGAAUGUCGAAUGAGAUAAGACUAAUAAUUAUUAUAAUUUUGUAUUUUAUCUUAUGACAAGCUUUGUACCGGCCUCUUGGCCGGUCAAUAUGAGAAAUUGACGGGCACAGACAAACCUGGUCUCCGUUUAAAACGGGUAAUGAACAGGGCCGGAUUUCAUAAUAUCCGCCUGAUGGAUACCCAUUAUAUAUAUUGUGUCAUUUAAGUAUAAAUAUAUAAACCAAAAGUCAUUCAGACUUUACCCCGUUCUCUUUUCAUUUCACAUAAACCCAUUCAAAUUAUUUUAAUUUUUUUUUAUGUUGGACCUUUUUUUGUUAAUAUAAGCUACUGUAUUUCGAGCAUUCUACAAUAUAAAGAUUGGAAAAUGCUCUAUUAUGUUUAUUGAAUAAGUAGUUUAUUCUAGUACUUGGGGAUUGCCCAACUAAUAAACGGGUAAAUCCGGAACCUACAAACUAAUAUGCACAGUUUAGAAAUUCUAAAUGUUUAUGCAAACGGGUGAGUACGAGUAAAACUCUAUAACUAAAAUGGGCCGAUAAUGAAUAUACCAAACCCGUCCUCAUAUCCACUAAUUGUCAUCUUUGACUGUGUCGAUUAUAUGAGUUGGUGAAAGUUAAAUAACCAUUCAAAUUAAGUCCUUGCAUUGUCGAACCAAAUACAAUCUCAUUUUUACCGACCUGAUUAAGUCUCACUUUAGUUAAACUUAAAUUGGGGUCAAAUUAUAAUAUACUNNNNNNNNNNNNNNNNNNNNNNNNNNNNNNNNNNNNNNNNNNNNNNNNNNNNNNNNNNNNNNNNNNNNNNNNNNNNNNNNNNNNNNNNNNNNNNNNNNNNNNNNNNNNNNNNNNNNNNNNNNNNNNNNNNNNNNNNNNNNNNNNNNNNNNNNNNNNNNNNNNNNNNNNNNNNNNNNNNNNNNNNNNNNNNNNNNNNNNNNNNNNNNNNNNNNNNNNNNNNNNNNNNNNNNNNNNNNNNNNNNNNNNNNNNNNNNNNNNNNNNNNNNNNNNNNNNNNNNNNNNNNNNNNNNNNNNNNNNNNNNNNNNNNNNNNNNNNNNNNNNNNNNNNNNNNNNNNNNNNNNNNNNNNNNNNNNNNNNNNNNNNNNNNNNNNNNNNNNNNNNNNNNNNNNNNNNNNNNNNNNNNNNNNNNNNNNNNNNNNNNNNNNNNNNNNNNNNNNNNNNNNNNNNNNNNNNNNNNNNNNNNNNNNNNNNNNNNNNNNNNNNNNNNNNNNNNNNNNNNNNNNNNNNNNNNNNNNNNNNNNNNNNNNNNNNNNNNNNNNNNNNNNNNNNNNNNNNNNNNNNNNNNNNNNNNNUCUUGUUUAUUGUAUUAGCCAUUUGGCCGGGGUUGCUCUCUCCAUUUAUUCUCCAAAUAAACGAGAGUGUCCACGUUCAUCAUAGCACACAAUCCCCAUCACCAAUGAGAUUCAACAAACCUACGCUUUAAAAUUUUAUUUAAAUGGAUGAAAUUAGCGGAUUGACUACAACGAUAAUUCAACAUCUUGAUGUUGAAAUAAGUAAACAUUUUCAAAUAAAGUGAUCAUUCUAAGUACUAGAUUAACUUUUGUUUCAGCUAACAUUGAAAGUGGAAAGUGAUACAAAUUCCAUCAUCUUGAUAUGUAAAUAAAAGCAUAUAAUCUCUUCUAGUCCCAAAUUUACAAAAAGAGUUCCCUGAACAGAGACUAUAUUACAAAAAAAUCUCUUGGAAAAUACAGAGAGAUUAAUAACGAAAAAAAAAAGAAGUUGACUAAAUUAAGAUAAUUUUCAUUCCCAUUCAGCCGCCGGGCGCGUAGGGCAGUUCCUUUCAGUUUCUUUUUGCAGGUUCACUUUUCUUUUUUUGUCUUAUUCAUACACCCCAUAAACCAUCCCCCCCUAACGACGUCGUUCCGGCGACCAAUGAGGAACCGACGGGCUAAAAUGUCUGGACACAACUCUCCCAUCCAGCAGCUCCAUUAUGGGCGUGUAACUCACGCACCUCGGCACUUUGUACUGAUUAAUCGACGCGCCUCUCGAGAUCGCGUAAUCCAUAAGCUCCUCAAACGUACCGUUUUGAACCACCCUGAUCUCCAGCGCCCCGAUCGACUCCAUCACCCUCCCUUGCCUGUAAACCGAAUUCAACGCCUCCUCCAUCGCCAAGCAACACUUCUCCAUCACCUCCUUUGUUGGCGCGUGGCGCGCGUCCUUCACCAGCAGCUCCCAAAAUAUCACGUAAUGGCCCGGAAUCCCUUUUGUAUCCGCGUAGCUCGUGUACUCCACCACGCUCGUCUUGUACUCCUUCAGAAAACUCGACGCUUCCUCGAUCGCCCGCUGCAGCUCCGACUCGUCGGUUUUAUCCGAGUCGAUACUCAGCAGCACGUUUUUCCUCCUUAUGAACCGGAAUUGCGGGGCCGCGUUGUGGAACCCGGUGACCCGGAGUAUGUCCCCGACCCGGUACCGGCAUAGACCCGCGUACGUAGUUAUGAUCAGCUCGUACUCCUUUCCAACCUCCACGUCAGCCAGGUCAACUAGUUGACUGGGCUGCAAUUCCUCCUCUUUUUCCUCUGCCUCCGAGUGUGGCAGAAACUCGUAGUAGCACAUGUUAGGCAUCAGCGUGUAGGAAACUUCAGACGGCUUGCACAUGGGGUUUAGAUUCAGUCCGAAGUAACUCUCCGACGAUGCGUACAUCGUGCAAGCCAUCGGAAGUCCGCCGGUGUAAUACUCCAGAGUCGGAAUGUACUGCGCCAUCGCUCCGGUGACAAUCACGUCGACGUACUUCGUAUUAGGCCAUAUCCUCCGUACGAUCCGUUCCCAGUUUGCGUCAGAGCACUCGGAGAUUAUAAAGUCAGCGAGGCUUGGGUUGGGAGUCAAAGUCUUCUUCAUGCACUCCCUUAUGGACGGAUCGUUGACUUUUUUGUUCAAGGUUCCGGUUCGGAUGUCGUGGGCCAGCUCCUCCCAGUUGAGCUGGAGGAAUCGGAUGGCUUUCAGAAGCCCAGAGGCGAAAACGGCGCCGAAUCGGAGGACUUGUUCGCGCAUGAUUAGGCCGCAGAGCAUUUGGGUGUACAUGCUCUGGAACGAGUCAACGCAGAGGAUGGCCUCGGUUGGACUUGUGAUGACGUUGUAUGGGUCGUACGGUCGGUUCUUGAAGUGGUCCGAUUUGUAGUAGCUGGUUAGAACCGGUCUGGCUAGUAACCCGCCCGGUGUUUUUGAUUCGGCCUUGAUGAAGUAGAAGUAGAGAGCCUUCCCUUUGUCUAGCCCCGGAACGUAGAGGUUCAUCACCGGCGUCAGCAAGCUGUAUAACAGCUGGCGACGGUCCAGAUCCUCCUGGAUCGCCGGCAUCAGUUUCCUUUCUCCGGCUGAAGUCCCCGAGCUAAUUAAAAAAAAGAGAGAAAUUUAAAUUAAUUUUUCAUCCCAAAAUUUAAAUUAAUUUCGUUAUAAAAAAGUUGAGAAUUAUUAAUUACCUUGUGAGGAAUUCGGAGAUUGGGUGGGAGGAGAGGAUGGGGGAGCGGUCGCCGUUGGCGAUGCGCUGAAUCUCCGGCAAGAGAUCUUCGUAGGUGACGACGGGGACUUUGGAUUUGAAAGUUUCCCUGUCGGUUGCGCCGUUGAGGUUGAACUUACGGAGAUACUCAGUGUCGGCGUUCCGCCUGAGUAUUUCGCCGAUGACUCGGCCUUGGGAGGCGUCAGGGUUUUUGGUCAUGUGCUCGAUGAAUUGGAGGGCCUUUGCGUCCUUUUGGCAUGCCGGAGGGCCAAGGGCGUUUGGGAGAGAAGAAUCGAUUGCCAUUUUUUAGUUGAUAAGAUGGAAUAGAAAACCUAGCAAUGGAAGGAGGAAGAAGAAGAGGAGUGUGGUUUUUGGUUUGUUUGUGAGUUUGAGUCGUGUACUUGAGUUGGUUAUGUGGGAAGAAGUUAGGGAGGGUAUUUAUAGUGGGGGGAAGAGAUCACACGUCAUUCUUCCACGUGGGCAGCGGGACAAGACCAACUGUUUGGAUGGAGUUUGACGGAGGAUGAAGAAGAAGAAGAAGAAGAAGAAGAAGAAGUAAUAAACUGAUACACUAGCGGAGUGAGGGUGUUGUUAGGGAGAGGGGGGACAAGGUGGGGGCCCAUAUCACGUAAGAUGUCUUAUUUAACGGACCAGACAGGUAGGCCCAUAGUUGUCGGCCAUGUCAGCGGCUGGGCUACUUGGAGGACACUUUCGUUUCGUUGGUUCCCUUUUGACAAGGAUGCCUGCCGCCUGGACCGUAAAUAAAUUACCAAAGAGUAGUAUAGUAAAUUACCAAAUAAUACUUCCCACAGUUUUUCCUGCAGUGGGACGGGCUAAAAACAAUUUUUAUUAUUAUUUAUUUAUUUAUUUAUGCCUUCUCUUUUGCCCCUCAUACAUUAUUAAUGUUUUCCGGGUUCUUUGCAUCUAUGGAAUGGAAGUCUUGACCGACGACCCAUUCUUUUCUCUCCUUUGCGCCUCUAUACGACAAUUAAGUGAUUCGGUCUAUAAACCCUAGACUCAGGUCCAGACUUGUUCAUCACACAUAUUAUAUUUAUUAUAUAGUCACAAUAAUCUCAUGGAUAUUCCCUCCAUAGGUACCAAACCUCCCCCUGCAAAUUUCCCACUCUCCAGUAUUUUAAUUUAUAUUUAAUAGCUCAUUUAAAUGUAUCUUGUAUUUGAAUAAUUUGUAAGAUUUUUUAGUUAAAAUGGACUGUGAAUACGAUAUGUUGUUACUAAAUAGAAAACCGAUAGUAUGCAUCUUAAUAAAUUAAAUUGUUGAGAAGUAUUCAUCUUCCAUCUAUGUAAACAUUCGUAAUUUGGAUUUUAAUUAUUAUUUAUCAUUCUCAUGUCGUUGUAAGAUUACGUAUUGAACAAGUUGACAAGAAAUAGUGACCACUUCCUUUCAUCGUCUAGCGACUGGAUACCAACCAGAGUGACUAUGUUGUACCACUAAACCAACCAACAUGUAGCAAUAUUAAAUUAAUUUUGUACAAGCCUCAUGGGUAGUUGUUUAUACAUAAUUCUAUUCUCUAUUAUGUCAUAUGGACAGUGAACUUGUAGAUAUCAAUUUGGCGGAAUAUGAUGUAUGGUAUAAGAGGCUCUCAUGUUUUGCUUGUAUUGCUCAAUCAAAAUUUUCAAGUUUGACGGAUAUUACAUUUAAUGAUGUCGCCAUCAAAUAAAUAUUGAAGUCGUCAGCCUUUAGUUUAGGCGAGACCGGCGAUGUCAUCACAAAGGCGCCACAAUAUAAUGAUUGUCUAUUUUUUAUUUCAAACCUAUGAUCUAUGAGAACUAAGUUAGUGCGGCAACCAUUCGACUACAACCUAUUUGGCAAGUAUUUGGAUUUAUUGGCGGGACAAUACUUAGCAAAUAUUGGAUACGAGAUAUUUUUUUUAUAUACGGUGUGUGAAGUUGUGUUAUCUGAUCCAUUACUUGUGUGUACUGGUGUAGUACUUGUGAUGUACUUGGUUAUGUGGUAGGAGGCACUUUUGAUUGUUACCGAAAGAAGGUAAAUAAUUGAUGUUUGCUUAUGAGUAGACCAAGAACAGUAAUUAUUGCUGCUGUAAAGGUUCAUCAUUAAUUAGUUAUGAUGCUGGUUAAUAUAUCUUUAAAGUCAGCUACGGCGAUUAUUGAACACCCGGCCGGCCGGUUAUCGAUAAACCAUUUUAAUAUCCACUGCUUGUCGCGCCAUCAGUCCAUACCUAGCUAGCUCGAAACUUUAGUGCUUGAUUGUUGUGUCCAGGAAUACGAUAAAAAAAAAGGAAGAAAAGAAACAGCAACAAGCUGACAUAUUAAUUGUCAUUGAAAUCAUGACUAAUCAGUAUACUAUACAAGCUAGCUACAUUCCCCAACCGAAUAACUACGUUUGAUUUCUAGCAACCUCGAAAGAGUAAACAUUAAUGGAUUAAACAAAGCUUUUAGAUAGGGGCAAUAAGGAUAGUCCCAAUCACUGUAUGAGAUUUUUAAAUAUAACAGUGUAACUCAUAUAAAAACUUGUUAUAAAUUUUGAUUUGAGAAUUGUCUAUAUAAUUUUAUCAUUUUCUGAUCAGGGGAUUCUAAAUGGAGAUUUAGAUUGACUCACGCUUAAUUCCACCAUUAAAUACAACUGAGGUUAGAAAUUAAUAGCGAAACAUAUGUUGAGAUAAAUGGGUUAAGAAUUUGCAAUAAUGGAAGGAGGAUGGUCGGAAACACUAUGCAUAUGCAUGCAGGAUUUUAAAUUUGUAGUGAAUUUAAAAUUACAUUCAAGAAAAAUUUUAAUUUUAAAAAUUCCCCGUAAAAAUUAAAAAUCGAUCAACCCUGAGUGAUAGUCUAAGUUCGCCCGCCAUACAUGAUUUUGCCAUUGAAAAGACUGGUAGUAAUAAUAAUCACACUAAACAAUGUCAUAAUGUGAGUGGCAUAUCAAUUAACUAUAUAAGCAAGUUGGAGGUAGUGUCCUAGAUCAUUCGAUUCUCAUUUAUUGAAAGCUUAAGAGAGAAAAAAAAAGGAUCCUUUUCAAAUAAUUGCAGAAAGGAGGAGUACGGCAACAGAAAUAAUAGCAGUUAAUUAUGCUGGAUUGAGUAUUAAUAAAGCAGUUUAGUAAGAGUAAUAAAUAAUAAUAAUAAUAAUAAUAAUAAAGUGGAGAUUAAUUAGUAGGGGGAGGAAGUGGAACAGGAAACCGCCAUAGAGAUUCACCGUUGAUACGGAAUUUCAAUAGUUGGGUAGUAUCAACAGUCACGUGUGCGUUCAGAGUCUGAGUUUCCUCUUCGCUUCCUUUGAUGAUCUGAUCAGUUGCAUGCCAAGUGGGUAAUUAAAACUGGAUAAACAAGAAACUAAUUAAGAAGCACCGUGAAUAAUUGGAUCAAUAAAAGAUUGGAUGUCACGUACGGCAUGCACUGCGACGCGGUUUUCCAGACACAUGCAUCGAUAAAUAAUUAGCGCCACCAUUCUCUACGUUCUUUCAAUUCUUCUUGUGCCUUCUAUUUCUGGCUUCCCGUCAACUGUAAUUAGUAACUCCCGCAAACCUGGCUAGCUUUGUCAAAACUAGUUGGUCAUGUUUGGUAACUGGAAUUCACGGAUGCAAGACAAUGUUAGAUACUUAGAUAUUCCACGUGUGUAUGGUGACGAUGGGAUAACACAUCAUGAUGACUAGCUUAUGUGACUAAUUUUGGGGACAUUAUAUUCGACUUGUCAAUUUUCUUCUUUUAGACUUAUCAAUUACAUGCCAUUUGGUACAUCGACCGACGACAUACUGAUUAACCAUCAUAGUGAGGCAAUAUGCUGUUUCUCUUGUAUGACUACAAGGCAAAAAGCUGGAGACUAUAUUCAAUGCACAUAUUUUUAGUGUGUGCCUUGCAUGCAAUCAAUUUCGGAUCAACUUUUGUCUUCAAAUAAUUCGUAACCCUUUUGUAUGAUCUUUUCGGUGGGCCGGUGGGUCAUCAUCUCGAUAAGUUGAAACAAUCCGUUUCAACCAAGAGUUCACUCUGAUUCAAACCACUAAGGUUUUAUCGGUUUAACAAAUCAUAUCACCAGUCCUUCAAAUCGAAACACUUAUUACGCUAUCGCAUCCAAAGGGAAGACUUGACAUGUUGUUGGUCAAGCAAUGUGUGAGUUGAAGUUGUUUCAUGGCAUCAACUUGAAGUUGUUUUCGUCUCAUAUGUUAUUUUGGUCUAUUUUUUUCUUCCUUUUGUGGUUGAUAUGGAAUGACUUACUGAUAACCAACUCUACCAAUUUCAGAUAUAUAAUUUAAAAGCUUCAUAUGUUUUAUUUCAGCACGUCACGAAAAUGGGUGGAAAAUUAAUAUUUCAAGGGAAAUAAAUAAAUAAAUAAAAAGCAGCCGGCUCAACUCAAUAAUGGAUAUUGAAAUUGAACGGCUAACAAUAUUAUUCCUUAUGAACAAACUUAUAACACCCUCUCGUGCCUGAUGCUAAAUAAAUACUCAGUUAUGUGUGAGUUAUUAUAUUCUUUGUAUAUGUGAACAAUCCCAAUCUUCUAUAUAUAUACUCUCUAUAAGACUAUAAUAUCUCUUGAAACAGUGGUAGGUACCAUGAACAACAGAAUACUAGUAGUCCACCACCUUAUCAUGGCGUGAACCGCAUAACGGGCGUCGAAUUGCAGUACUUGUACUCUUGGAUAUCCUUUCGCUACAUACUUAAAUGAAAGAACACAUACGCAUGCUAAUAAAAUAAGCAAGGAGACAGAUAUAAUUUCCCUCUAUAUCACAGAGCAAACUAAAACCUCAAACAAUUGCUUGCCCAGUUUCUAAAAUGAAAUAAAAUUAUAUUUUCAAAUUACCAACACAUAAUGCUACCAAUUCAACUAUUCUCCCCUGGAUAACCCUAACACAGUCAUUGGUACAAAAAUUUAGAGUGGAAUCCCAAAACUAGCCAUGGGGAACAUAGUCCAAUUAAAUAAAUAUAUAAUAAUGAGAGAAAUAGAAGGCGAAAAUUAGGAUGGGGGACAAGGAAAUGGUCAAUUUCACUAGUAGUUGUUGAGGCAUAUUAUAGGGGGUCUCCUCUCCCACUAUAGCUAGUAUUGACCAUUAUCAAUUUUCAUUUGUUUUUAUUUAUUUAUUUCACAUUCCAGGCACCUAAUAAUUUUGAGGUUUGUUUAAACUUUAUAAAAAUAAAAAAUGAGCUAGCUUUCUUACAUCACUCAAUUACAAGUUAGAAGAAAUGGGUGGUUUUGACUUUGUGUGUUGCCCUUCUUGUAUUCCAUUCGUCAGACAAUGCCCUCUUUUUGAAUGCCAAUAAUGAUGUGUUUUCUCAACAUCGGUUAGCUAAGAAUGACUUUUAUGGUUCAAGGCAUUGAAGAAAGAAAACAACUUACCNNNNNNNNNNNNNNNNNNNNNNNNNNNNNNNNNNNNNNNNNNNNNNNNNNNNNNNNNNNNNNNNNNNNNNNNNNNNNNNNNNNNNNNNNNNNNNNNNNNNNNNNNNNNNNNNNNNNNNNNNNNNNNNNNNNNNNNNNNNNNNNNNNNNNNNNNNNNNNNNNNNNNNNNNNNNNNNNNNNNNNNNNNNNNNNNNNNNNNNNNNNNNNNNNNNNNNNNNNNNNNNNNNNNNNNNNNNNNNNNNNNNNNNNNNNNNNNNNNNNNNNNNNNNNNNNNNNNNNNNNNNNNNNNNNNNNNNNNNNNNNNNNNNNNNNNNNNNNNNNNNNNNNNNNNNNNNNNNNNNNNNNNNNNNNNNNNNNNNNNNNNNNNNNNNNNNNNNNNNNNNNNNNNNNNNNNNNNNNNNNNNNNNNNNNNNNNNNNNNNNNNNNNNNNNNNNNNNNNNNNNNNNNNNNNNNNNNNNNNNNNNNNNNNNNNNNNNNNNNNNNNNNNNNNNNNNNNNNNNNNNNNNNNNNNNNNNNNNNNNNNNNNNNNNNNNNNNNNNNNNNNNNNNNNNNNNNNNNNNNNNNNNNNNNNNNNNNNNNNNNNNNNNNNNNNNNNNNNNNNNNNNNNNNNNNNNNNNNNNNNNNNNNNNNNNNNNNNNNNNNNNNNNNNNNNNNNNNNNNNNNNNNNNNNNNNNNNNNNNNNNNNNNNNNNNNNNNNNNNNNNNNNNNNNNNNNNNNNNNNNNNNNNNNNNNNNNNNNNNNNNNNNNNNNNNNNNNNNNNNNNNNNNNNNNNNNNNNNNNNNNNNNNNNNNNNNNNNNNNNNNNNNNNNNNNNNNNNNNNNNNNNNNNNNNNNNNNNNNNNNNNNNNNNNNNNNNNNNNNNNNNNNNNNNNNNNNNNNNNNNNNNNNNNNNNNNNNNNNNNNNNNNNNNNNNNNNNNNNNNNNNNNNNNNNNNNNNNNNNNNCAAAGGAUUUAAUCUAGUCAUAAUUUAUAAGGAUUGAAUGUUGCUAUACCAAUAUUCGGUCCAAAUAAAUUAAGUUUUCUUUUAUCAUAGAUAGUUACUUAGCAAAUUAAUUAUUUUUAUGUGCCAUGUUAUGGGUGGCUCCAUUACAUGAUCUUUGUACUGUCUAUAUUUUAGCAUUAUAUGUUAAUGAUCGAAAAGUAUUGAACUCAAAUUUAACGAAAUAAAUAUAAUUGAACAGGAUACGAAAAAAGAAAUAGAAGAUAUUAGAUAACUCUCUUAUACAUACAAUUUUAUAAAAAUAUCCAUAAUUCCAACCAAACUUUGUUAUGAAAUCGAGAAGUCCCGUCAUGAGUAGUGGUUUGGCUGACAAUAUCAGCGUACGAAUUAGGUCAAUAAUAUUCCUGUAGUCAUCGUCGAGUUUUGUUCUUCCCUAAAGCACUCCUUCACUUGGAAAGUUGUGUAAUUCCUUUUUGCCUUUUGUUGUACGUCGGCAUGUUUUAUUCUUCUCUUUAAUUUCGGCUUCAAAUAAUCAGGCUGGGACUUUGCUUCAUCAAUCAAAAGUCCGCCAGGGAGAGGGGAAGAGAAAAACAUGCAAAAUUAAUUACGCAUAAUAAAUACAUUAUAUUCCGUACACGUUAUUAUUGCGUAUAAUACUAACGGUAUGAUCAUGAUGACUCAUGGAUGGAUUGAUAAUGAUUUUGAAUAUUUAACACGUACGUACGGAAACCCCUUGAAAGAGAAGUUUCGUGGGUAAUGCAUGGUACGAACCAAGUGUUAGUUAGUACGUACGAAGUGGUUUGGUUUGACUGAGUGACUGGAUUAAACGUGGGGCGGCGUGGAUGUCAGAAAGUGAUCGAUCAGGAAGCUUGGUGGGAAAUUGACAACCGAUCAAUCUUUUGUUUUUCUUCUUCUUCUUAUUAUUUUUCCAUCCAGUUUUUGGCCUUUGCGUAAUGUUUCUUUGCAAUCCAUCUCCACACGCCAUAACUAAUUACAACAAUGUGAUUAUCGGGGCGUAAUCAAAAUUUAAAACAUUAUUAUCAGCCCAUUUCCCCAAGUAAGCUCAUAGGCGACUCAAUGAGACCAGAUCUACUAUUUUCCGUGUCCUGCUGGAUAUCAUGUAUACUUCAAAAUUAAAUAAAAAACGGUGGUAUUGUUUUUUUUUUUAAUUAGCCUUGAUGUUUGAACUCGUAACGUGGUGAAUUUUAUCAUUUCACUUUACCACUAAGUUAAUCUUUUGAGUGUGUGGUCGAGGCAAUUAAGGUGGAAAUAAAAAAGAUACAAUCAAAAUUCAGGCCGUCGGUAGAAUAAAUUUUUUGGGAGAUAUAGCAAUUGGUGGAAGUGAAUAUUGGCAGAACGAGAGAGUCGAAGUUUUCGUUUUGAAUUUUGAUAACUCCCAAUCGUUGCAUAUUAGUCAUUGAAGAUUGAAGUUGUGGAGAGCUCCUAACGGGUUGAAUUACUACAAAUUAAACAAAUAGAAACAGCUGGCAACAAGGAUGUUGAAUGAAGCAUGUUUAAGAGGGGAGAUUUUGGACCACAUAGUAAUUAAUGUGCAUGCGCACACAGCUUUAGCUGUUCCUCACUUUCCAUUCCAGUACUUGUAUACCAGUACCACUGUGUCUGCCGUCGUCAACUCUUUUGCUUUCGAUUUGACAAUUCUACCCAAUUUCACUUUUCUCGUCUGCUACCCAACAUGUGCCGAAAAAUCAAAUCCUCUUUCGUUUGCUGUUCUCAACAAACUGCGUCUACGUAUUUGGUCCUCACCCAUUGCCACCUUAGCCUCCCCUUACCCACUCGGUUGAACCGGAUAUCUAACCCUCUAUGUACUAGAACCGGAGACUCUUGCAAAAAGAUAAGAAGGAUCCCUAAAAGUAAAUACAUUGCACUGGCAUGAACACGAACAGCUGUCCACUCUGUCGUGAUGGUUUUCCUUUUCGGGUAGAGACAAGUAAGGUGGCCAUUACAGACACGAAAACCAAGUUUCCACCAAAAAAUAAACAAAGCAACACAGAUUUUUAUCUUCUCUAUAAAGGCCACACAGGCCUAACGUUAUAACUCUUUUGUCUUCCUGCCUUGUUUAGUUUCCUUUCCCAAAAUGAGAACGUAACGUAAGAUCCGAGAACGUAACGUUAGUUCUUGGUGUUUUUCUUAAUCAGACAGCACUAUGCUUGCAACAGUUGUGUUGCACACUGGUAUGCUUGGGUCCAACAGGGAAAUGUUUUUGGAUUUUGAGGAGACAUAUCACAUAUGUUCGUGCACCUUCAUUUAUAAAGAUGCUCACUCAACUACCUUCUUAUUUCGUAGACAAACGUAGUUGAGGAAUCACGCACCGUUGUCAUGCAUGCAUGUUCAUGUAUACAUUCUGAUUAAGAACCUUAACUAUGUAGCCAAAACGUGGUUGUAAAGUAUUAACUAUUAACUACUUCCCAUAAUUCUACGCAAGCCUAUCAGACAACGUAUUCAAUAUUAAAUAUGUAUGGAGUCGGAGUAAUUAAGCAGCGACGCGCCUAUAAGAAAAAUGUAGUUUUUAUAGACAGUAAUUAUGUGGCAAUUUCAUAAAAUGGCGACUAAAAGUUACUGAUGACCGUUUUGUCCUAUUAGCGACGACUGUUUUAUACACUCUUUGGUUUUUAUUUGAAAUUUAUAAUAUUUUAUUUCUUUAGGGAUCAUUUUAGGUUUAACCAGGGUGUUAAUUACGAAUAGUAAUAAUCGAUCAUUCUGUCAUAAUUGUUUGUACAAGCGGUAAACAUUUGGAGUACUCCAUUUUGAUGAGUAUAAAUUAAGCUUCUAACCUAACAAUUAAGAAAUAAUGUGAGCAACCAACAAUACUACACAACAUCAUUAUGAGUGAUGAUCAAAAGAGACGAAUUGAAGUUGUGAAAAAAGUGGAUGAUUGUUAUGAGGGCCCAGAUAUUCAUACACAGAAAUACCACGGCCCAUGUCCAAUAUAGUCCGAUACCAGUUUAGGCCGAUGUCCGGCCCAAUUAUUGGACGGGCUGUGGAGUCCGGAAGAAACAAACUUUCGUGAGAGAUCAUUUUCCCUCAAGCUGUGGCUGGUAGUUGUUACAGUUGUGAGAGAGAAGAGAACCAGCUGGGAACGAAGACGAAACAAGAGAAAUCAGAAAACAAUACAUAGACAUAGAGCUUUGUUUAAGAUCUCAAUCAAUCUCAUCCCAACAUGGCAACUUCCUCCGUUGCCACCUCUCGUCCUUCUCUUCCUCUGAUCCUCUCCUCUUCAUCAUCAUCAUCAUCAUCAUCGUAUUUGUCUGCAUCUUCUUCACGACUCCGCCAUAAUAGCCUUCCUUCUUUCUCUCUUUCCUUCUCUUCCCCUCCUCUCCGAAUCAUCAUCUCUGUAGCAAACCCUAGGAAAAUCCGAUCCUUAAUCCGAGUCUCAUCCAAUUCAGCUUCUUCCUCUUCUUCUUCUUCGUCUUUCCAGGAUGAUAUCGGCUCCAAUUCAAUACCUCCCGCUCCUGAUAAGGUUAGUCCUGUUGCUCUUUCUUAUUGAUUUUAUCAUUUUCAUUCUCUUUUAGUUCCCUCGAGAAUUGGUGUUGAUCAAUGAAUUUGUAUUUCACGAUGAGGUUUAGCUAAGAGAAAUGAGCUGGCUUGCUAAAUUUGCUAAAUUCGUUGGUUUUCUUCGAACCUAUAGCUGAUUGGUGUUCGCCCUUCAGUUUUUUGGGGCUAGAACACUACAUCCACGAUUGGAAUGAAUUAAACCAAUCUAGUAACACAUUAGUACUACACUACUACUGCAUGAUCACUGUUACAGUGUAUUGGAUUAGCCUCUCUUUCUCUUGAAUUUAAUAUUUAUAACAUUGGGUUGGUUCAAGCUUGUUUGGUGUGUUUUUAUCUAGUUCCUUUCGCUUCCUGAUUGCUUAGAUGUGUAUGUCUUGUGUUCCUCAGAAGUCAGUGCUCUCAGAGUUGAUAGAAGAGAUAGAACCAUUGGAUGUUAGCCUCAUCCAGAAAGAUGUCCCGCCUACUACCUUGGAUGCUAUGAAGCGGACUAUUUCAGGCAUGUUGGGCUUACUUCCAUCAGACCGUUUUCAAGUUUCUAUCGAGGCACUGUGGGAACCCCUGUCCAAGUUAUUAGUCUCCUCAAUGAUGACCGGGUAUGAUAAUGAUCGUUACCCAGUUCCGCCCAAUGAUCUUUUUAUUUGAAAUGGAGCAUGAGAUCACUUUUGAACUUUCUGGAUCAUCAAGGCCUAUGGAAAUGUUGAUUGCUUCUGCAACAAAUAAUUUUAUCAGUUAUAUUUUGAUGAUUUCUCCUCCUCCUCCUACAUUUAUGUUUUAUUAAGCAUGGUUAUUACUAUACAAGAAAAUGCUCUGUAUAACCUAUUGUCUUAAGCUACUGCCUAGGUCUGAGGUCUUAAGCUACUGCGUGGGUAUGUACGUAGUAUUUUUUGGAUGUCUUAACCUGUUUUCACUUGAAAUGAAGAACGUAGUUGAGGUGCUACGUUGCGAAAUGCUGAAUACUACUCAUUGAUGUGAAUACAUUUAUCUUUUAAGAAUUGACAUAUCGUGUGAAUACUACUCAUUAAUGAAUUUGACCAUUCUUCAAUGUAGAUACACAUUGCGAAAUGCUGAAUAUAGGCUUUGCCUUGAAAGAAACAUUGAUAUAGAAGAGGAAAAUGCUGACAAUUGUGAUACAGAAAGUUGCGAAGUAAAUGUGCCUGGAACAGUAAACAGUCCAAUAAAAAAUCAGAGUUCUGGAAAUGAUAUCCAGUCUGAGAAACUUACCGAUGAUUCAGCAGAUGAUAGCGCUGUGAAAGGCCUUGGUGAAAUUCCACUGGAGGCUCAGCAAUAUAUUCUUCAUUUGCAGUCCCGUUUAUCUUCUAUGAAAAAGGUACGAAAUGCUGAAAUCCUCCCCUUGAUAUAAGCCAACUUUAACUCUUCUGCUCGUCUCUUAAAGUGUUGGAUUAAUUUAGUUUUACGGGGCAGUUAUAGCUUCUUGCGUGGUUGUGAAAAUAAUUGUUUGAAAUCAAACGGAUAUCAGUUUGAGAUUCUUGUGUGGAAGCUGAAAUUGCUGAAAAUAGAACCUGCAUUGUUUGGCAGUCUGUUGUUGCUUCAUCCAAAUGGUAGCUGCCGCAACUCAUUUUUUAGACUGUAUGAUUAUGUUCUUACAAAAUGGUUUCCAUACUUAAAGGAACUUCAUGAAAUCAAACGGAGGAGUGGUGCUCUUCAAAUGCAACAGUUUGUUGGCGAAGAAAAGAAUGAUUUGUUGGACUACUUGCGAUCUUUGAAGCCAGAAAAGGUGAUAUUCUCUUAACAACUGUUUAAAACUAAUUUUUUUCCUUGAAGCCAAAAAAGCAUGCUAACCAUCGCUGUUAUGAGACAAAGCUUCUUUUUAUUUUGGCUUGUCUGAUUCCGUUGCUGCAUGAACAGGUAGCCGAGUUGUCUGAACCUACAACUGCCGAACUGAAAGAGACGAUUCACUCUGUAGUCCAUGGUCUUCUUGCAACCCUUUCUCCAAAGAUGCACUACAAGUCUCCACCUCAAUCAGAAACCACGCCAUCUACAACUGUAGACCUCGACAGUGAAGAUUUUGCAGAACUAGUUGGGAAUACUUCACCGCCUCAUUUCCAGGCCGAAAUCUCACUGACAAGGGACUAUCUGGCACGCCUACUAUUCUGGUUAGACCCUCAAGCUUCCCCCUAUUCUUGUGCAGUUAAUCUAUAGUUCUCUAAAAUUAUAACGAAUCGCGAUUGAAGUCUACAUUGCUGUUUAAUACCCAGAACUGUGUCCUCUCAUCUAUAAGGAAGUUUGAAUAAAAACAAUCUGAGGUAGAGAUGCAAGAAUUGUGCUUUGUAAAAAUCUCAUGAUUCCAAAAUUCUGUCUUGAAUAGGUGCAUGCUGUUGGGACACUACCUGCGGGGCCUCGAGUAUCGAAUGGAGCUGAUGGAACUUCUGUCCUUAACAAAUGAGUGAGAAAAUGACCGAAAAGUGGAUCGAGUCCGAGUCGGUUAGACAUGUUUAUAGUUGUAAAUAGAUGUCAAACCAUCAGUGUAUACAAGAUUCUUAUUCCAGCAACGAAAGGAAGAAAGGAAACAAAACAUUAUGCAAAACUGCUCAGCUUGAAUAAAACUAGUACUACUAGUUUAAACUAUAUCACCUCCUUCAGAAGUAAUCAUCUCAAUUUUCAACGUUAGAUCGGUUGGUUGAGCUUUAAUAGUACUUGUUAAUUUAGGUCUGCUCCAUUAAUCAGAGAUGAUUUAGCCAGAGUUCAAAAUGGCUGAUACAGAUCAUUCAACUCAAGCACACUGUAUUUAACAACGUAAUCAUAAUCCACAACAUUUGAGGGUAACUCGAUGUUCCACCUCUUUACAAACUCAGUCUUGCCAACCUUACAGCGUAAUCAUAGACACAAAGCUCCUACUAGUCUUCCUCGAAUCCAAGUCGGCAUCAUCAAUGACCUCUAACAUAAUGAUUCCUUCUUUUUUCUAAAGGCCUUCGAAUCCGGCGGAUGAUGCAGGUGAUAAUAACCUUACUAAAAAUGAAUAGAGUCAUACUGUCAGCCAGGCUGAGAGAGGCUGCAACCCAGUGAGGAUUUUCAUUCGGAAUCUGAGGAGUCGUGAGUUUCGCUUUGUCUGACGUUCCUCUUAGUCUGGUGGCUUGACCUCGCCACAGAUGAUUCAUCUUCGUAGAAGAUUACUUUAGCUUUGCCCAGCCUCUCCUCUAAUUCCUCGGUGCUAAAAUCAUCAGUCCCGCCAAGCUGAUCAAAACCAACCUGCAGGAGUUGUAUAGGACAACUUAGCAAGGGAAAGGUAGAAUCGAUGGGAGUACUUAGGAGAGGUUCAGUGUUAGCCUUGUCACCUACCACGUAGUCAUCGACUUUGGCAUUCUUAAUGAGGGCAAGAGUAGGAAGAACCACAAUCUUGAGUUUAUCGGCCAAAAAGGGGCUUUUCUCGGCAUUGAUUUUCACAAAUCGAGUCUCGAUGUGCUGUUUCGCCAAUAUAGCAAGAUGCUUGUCCACCACCUGCAAAUUAAAGGAAAGAUGGAUGAUUUCUCCAAUCUAUCACCAAAGCAGUAUCUUUUUGCUGCCUUCACCACAAUGUAACUCAAUAACAACAUAUUGAAACGAAAAAAAAAGGGGCAACUCAACCCAUUAAAUUCUCCGCAAUCCUCAAGGAAUUGGUUCAGUAAUCAACAACCAUACAGAUAAAAGAGGCAUCUAUGAUUAUACGGGUUCAUGAUGUUGAACUUGUGCAGAUGUAAGAAUCUAAUGGAGACACUCAUAUCACAUGGUAAUAGCAACACCUAAGCAGUUCAUUAUUGACAAAAACAGAGCUAAUCGAAUCCCCAAUCGGCAGAAAUAUCUUCAAGGAUUUAACGUUUUCCAGUUCCUCGAUGGAGAACAUAAAAGAAGCAAAUUGUGCAGCUAAAUUGUAACCAUAUUCGCAAAUGAAAAUUUCCAACAGCUCAAAUGAAUCAAAUCACCAUGACCAUAACAGCAGAGCACCAUAUCUAAUCGUACACACAUUAGAAAUGGAAAUGCUGCAACUUCAUUUGCCUGACUUAUGUUCAUAAUCAAUCAAAAUUCACAAGCUGAAGCACAAAUCAGGAAGCAAAAUUGUUAAUUCAGACGAAAAGCUGUAUGGACAUGCUCGUCCAAGGUUAUGAACUUACCUUGCAAGGCCAAUUCUCGCGAUAGAAAUGGCAAACGACGCGGUCGCUGGCUUUGACGACGGAGAAGAAGUCCUUCUCGGCGGGGAUCUCGGUGUAAUCGCCAUGGCCGAGGGAGAUCCAACGCCUACGCUUCUCGGCCAUUUUCUUCAUCUGCUGCAUCCGCCUCUCCCUCAACGCCUCCAGAUCGUGGGUGUGGUCUCCCUCAACGCCUCCAGAUCGUCGGUGUCGAGCCGAUCGAGUGCCGCAAUCUCAUCAUCGAUCUUAUCCUCCAUCGCCUUCACGACGGACAGCACUUGCUUCUCCAAAAUCUGGAACAACCAUUGGAGGAAAAUUUAUAAAAAGAGGAUACAAGAUCUUCGUAAGGAUUAUGUUGAGGGGGAUGGAUAUACAUCUUGAACUAUGGAGUCUGCCAUUGCAGGAUUUGGCGAAGAUCUUCAGCUGCUUAAGGUUAUUCCCUGUGUAUCUGGAGCAGUAAUUAGCCGUCGCGGUGGGUUAUGGCCGUCGCUGAGGGAGGAAAGAGAUGGUACAAACUUCCGCAGGCGGAGAUAAAACACUGUUUUAGAGGGUCCUAAUACGGCGCCGUUGUCGGGUUUGAAAUUUGAAGUUCUGAGGUUGAAAUUUGCUUUAAAUGGAAGAUUUUUCAGAUUCCAGAUCAUUUGUUUGUUUGUGGCCCAAGAAAGAAGCAUUAGAUUUUAAGCUUUGAUUUGGGCCAACACGGUGUAUACACCUGAGCCCAGAAACAUGGAGGCCCAUUCUAUCACUUGGGAAUUGGGUUUAGAAUAUAUAAAUUGGUAUUGGGCCAAGUUGAGCUGGAUAUCUCAUUGACUAUGGACGAGAUUGAUUAUUAUUGUUAGUGAUAAAACACUCUAGUUAAUAACUAUAUGAUUUAAUGAAAAAUGAUAAUUUUUCGAGAUAGCUAGCUAUUUUGAGUGCUAUAAAUAGCAAUAACAUGCAAUAACCAUCCCCGUACUCAAACAACUCUUAAUUAGAUAUAUCAAUUUUCAAUUGUUGUUCGACCUUACUUAAUAGAUCGUGUAUGUUCCAUUAAUGAGAGUUUUACGUCCCACAUCACUUAGAUAAGAAUUUUUUUUACAAUAAACUGCUCUUCUUAUUAACGAGAAUCAAUAUAAUAAGUGUUUGUUUGAUUGACAAAUAACCACUUUGGAAGAGCUACACAUAUAACAGUACUAGUCUCAAUAAAGGAUUGCCUAACAUUCACGUGAGCAACCCCAUUAGCAUCUCUCUUAACAAACGAUACUAAGAAACCAGGUUGAGACACUAAGAUAAACUUGCACUCAACAAUAAUGAUACCGAAAACCUCUCCUACUUAUUAUUGAAUAUAUAUGUUGAGUCGUCAUGAUUGGUAACGAUCUAUGGCUUUCUCGGAAGGAUUCAAGUCACCUAAUGGAUCCUUCUUGCUCCUUAUUGAGCAAGUUGCUCUUGACAAUGGCUUUCCGAAGUACCUUAGGAACGAAGGAACCACCAAGUUGCUUAGGUCGCUUUUACUAUAUAUGUAUUGAAAACGUAAUUGAACCAUUCACCUAUUUUCAGGUUGACAAUAAUGUCACCAAUUAUUAAAAUUGGUAGCCACAUUAAUUAAACAUGGGAUAUCAAUAUUAUACACUUCUUGUCUCUUUCACGUCUUAAUUGCAUCCCCAAACAAAACAACACCUCUCACAAAAGCAUAUGAAUGCCAGAUGCUCUAUGUACAAGAAUAGACAAUCUCUAUCUAAUUAUGUACAAUGAAAUGACAUUUACCAGAAAACAUCAACCUCCCAUUCUGUUGGACGGUCUGGGCAGGAAACUGCCACACUCUUCCUUUGGUUUCUCAGAUGAUGCUACUAAGCUCACCUGCAUCAUCUCAACCACAUGCCUUCAUCUCAGCAAUUUCCCUAAAAGAAGCAAGCAAUAUUUAAACAGAGACUAGCUGGCUAGGAUUUACCUUGACUAUCUCGGAUUUUGAGCUUGGUCUCAUGUAUGCAGCUAGGACGCUCAUGUUGAAAUCCUACAUUACAGCAUAACCGUCAUUAUGUACGGUCCAAUGUAGAAACUUCAUAUUAGAAAGAAAGAUUGUAUAGAUCUCUUUACCCUGAAAGGAUCGCCCCUCAAAGAUUGGACAUACAUGGAAGAUCCUAGACUUUCACCCUGCAUAACCAUUACACAACUUCAAAAUUCAAUCGGCAUUUUCAAGAGACAUGCGAAUUUUAUUUCAAGAGGGGUUGAAUUCGUCUAGCUCAAGUGCAACAAAAGGCAAAAACGGGUUAUUCUCAAGCAAAUUUCUCCGAAACUUGAGGUUUUUAACCCUCCUAGAUGAUUUUUCAUCAUACUCUGUUUUUGUAUGCCGUAUAUAUCUCAUAACUCCUUGAAGAACUCCAAAAGAACUUUAUUAAAAGUUAAAAGGAAGUUCUGUACCUCCAAGGAAAUGUCUCUUAGACGCCUCCCAGUUUGAGUGCAGCAAACACGGACCACUUGUUCAUCGCAACUCCCACUUAUGAUGUAAUCCCUACCAUUCAUGUAGUAGGAUCUAGUGUAAUUCUGCGCACUCCCAGUAGGUGGUAUUUCAAAAUUCAUAUGAAGCCUUCCAUCAACAGCCAAAAGUUGUCGAACCUGAUGUAGGCAUAUUCAGUCUUGCAUGUUAAUAUCUCAAGCUACAAAUUUCUCAGAAGUUCAAAUUCAGACAUUAAUUUUAGUACCUCAUUGUCAACAGCUGAGACAAGAAGGUAAUGAUCAUCUGGAGAAAAGCAAACCAUCACAUUUCCCUUGGUGCUUGAACUUGUAUAGCAAGGGCAAGUUGGUUUUUGUCUCAAGUCCCAAAGUUUGACAUCUUGAUCGAAUGACGAAGUAGCAAACACUGAUGGAUUAUGGUUUGAGAACUUCACAACAUUUAUAUGUUCCCUGUGCAUGUCAUUGAACACCUGUAUUCUCCUUCCGUAAUUGAUAUCGUAUAAAGCUACAUUCUUGGAGUAGCCACUUGCAAGAAAUAGUUCGUCCGUGGAGUUGACGUGGACAGAUGUCAAUUGUUCGAAAUCAUCAAAAGUGACGACACGGGCACUUGAAUACAUCCCAGUUGCAGUCGACGGCAUAUGCUCCAUGUCAUAUAACUUCAGUGAGCCAUUAUCCGAUCCCGCUAUAAGCUGGCAUUAACAUGUAAUAAACAGAAUGGAAUCAGGAUAUUAUCAUAAGGGUAUAGUUCACUCAGAAGAUACGACUAUAGUUCACUUAUAAGCACAAACACCAAUUUGAACAAAUGCUAGUAGAGGACAGUGCCAUGAUAUAUGCAAUCACCACAUACCUUUGAGGGAUACUUCUUUAGCCACGAGAGGCCCAAUACACUGUUCAUUGCUCCAAGGUAAGGAACAAAGCCAACAACUUUCUCAUUCUCAUGGUUGAUUACAACAACUUCACCAUCUAAAGUUCCGAAAACCAUGAGACUAGAGAUGGUUGGAUGGUACUCAAACUGCCUUGGGCGGAAACUUCUGCUUCUAUCUGCCGAAUCACAACUUGGUACAGAGAGUGGAUGCAAGGAAGGCAAAGCAGUAGACCCCACUUUGGCGGCACUAAGUGAACGUGUGUAGAAGUAUUGUGAACUCCCAUAUGGUGAAGAAGGCUUCUGCUGGUUAAUCUGUGGACAAGAACGAAUUGCUCUUGUCUCGCGCUUAUGCAGAAGACUAACAACGCUCUCCUUGACCUUUCGUCUAUAGGGUAAGUACUCGAAGGAUUGUGAAAAUAUAACCGAAGCGCUUUCCCUGUCAGUCUUCCUGAUAGAUAAAUUAUCUAGAACUUUCAGGUUAGGCAGUGAAGUUAUCAUGUAAUCUCUAUAGUGUUUCUCAUAGCAUAUCGGUGAAGAGUGGCAGGAAACAUAGGAAAAAGCCACAUCUCCAACAUAUCUUGUUAUAACACAAGGCUCUUCAUUCUGAUUCCACAACAUGCUAGCGGACCCCUGAAAACAAUAGUAGAAUUCUUAUAUUGAAGGAUUAACAGAACAAAAGUGAUAAGUAUGCCAGUCUUAAGUCUAUAAGCAGCAGUGGAGAUCUUUCAAGAAAGACUUAUAUUGUUGUAAGAAGGAAAUACAGUUGACUGUAUACAUCACACCUCAUAAAAGCAUAAGAUUUUCAUACUCUGCUCAAAGCGCUAUGAUACUGAUAUUUGACUCUUAGAUCAAGCAAGAGAAUAUAAACGACGAGAAAGAACGAUGAACUACCUCAGUCUGCAAAUUGGCUUGCCUAUUCGGCUCAAGAGGACUGUUAGAAAACAAUCCUGCAUAUUCAGCUUCUUGGUGAUGAAAUGGAAAGUCAGCUUCACUCCCAUCAGACAGAUCCUCCAUCAUGCUUUGGAGUUCUUCAAUUACACGUGUAUCAUUGAAUGGAAGAACGUUCCUAAGUGACUCUUCUGUGCCAGAGACAAGAUUUGAAGUCUCAACAUUUUCAAUUAGUUGUUUCCUACUGCUUGUAAGGAUAUUGGAUAUGUUGAGUUGGUCAUCUGAACUCCCAUCAGAUGACACCAAAGUAGAUGCAGUGUCAUUGCAGCUGACCCACCUCUGAAAACGAAGCUCUAUUAAAGAACAAAGCUUAGAAAGUGCCGCAACAGUUGUCCAGAGAUUUGAGACUCUCGUCUCACACAUCGAGAGGUAUGUUAGGUUUGGCAUAUGAGUAAAACAUUCCUCCUGGAAGCUGGUAAGCAAAGUGCUAAAGUCAAGAUUGAGUGUAUGCAUCUUUGUGAAUUCCCCUACCAUGUUAAGCUUCCUGAUCCGUGAAGACCUCAGAUUCAAGACUUGACAUGGGGUACCUCUGCGAAAGAUUUCCCUAAGAAUAGAGUUUCCCAGCAGUAAAAACAAAAUCAGUUAACAGCUUAAGCCAAAUACAUGGCAAUACACGUAUGAAACAGGACCUUAUGGAUGAUUUAGAAUAAUAGAUGGCAACUCUUACACAAAAGAAAACAAAGAUAACGAUUUUAAAUAGUAUAGGAUUCACAGAAGUUGAAAAAUAAUGAACUGCAUUGCCAACAAUGACAUACCUAAAGAGGUCGUCCUUUCCAUUUGUUGAAUCUUGAAGAUCAACACUCCUAAGCUUUUGAUUAAAAGCACGCAUCAAUGCUAAAGCAUACUCUACGUUUAAUGGACAAGAGGAACCAUUAUGUAUAUCAACAGCUUCAAUAUCAGAUGCUUCAAUGGCCAUAGAUAUGUCAAGAAGAGGUUGAAAAUCCAUAUCAGUGAGAUCAUCAAAGAAUAUGUCCAGACUGCAAGGAUCACUGGAGGACUUCCUAUUGUCGGCCUGGAUUAACGAUGCACACAAAAAAAAAAUUGUAAAAUACAAUCUCUAAUAUAAAGGAUAACUGCAAUAUAUCAUAUUCAAAUGGAUAUAUGAACAACCUCUAAGAAACAGGAUAGAAUGGUGGCGUUAGGUAAGACCCAAUGUUUUCUACAGGAGUCAAUAUAUCUGAAACCAAAAUCAUGUGAGCAAUAUAGUCAAAAAUGAAAAAUUAGAAGGCAGGGGUGAGGAAUUCAAAGAGGGGAACUCACAUUUGUUCCAAGCUGGAAACUUUUACUGACGUUGUAAUUCCCGGAGCAGCCAUAAUCCAGACCGGAAGUCGUCCCGGAAAGUAAACCCCUCCCCAAGCUUUUCAACAACGGAAAACAGGAACGAGCAACAAUUGAGGCAUAAACAACGGCAACAAGAGAGAUCAGGUUUAUGAUUAUGGCGUAAGAAGGGUGAAAUUGGGAUGCAAAAUAUAGGAAAUGAUUGGCCAGAAAAGAGGAUGAAGGCAGAAGGGAGCGAGCGAGUGGCCGGAAUCGGUGGUUAACGUAAGAGCAGGGCUUCUUCCUCUCUGCAAAUUCUGUCUUUUUUCCUUUUAUUAUUAUUAUUAUUACAGUUUCCCUGUGGAUUAGGGUUUUUAUUUAUGGGAUUUUGCAUUUCUCAGGUGGGUUUUCAAUUUUUGUGCCCUUUUCUCUUACCUGGUAUUAAAAAGGGUUAAUAUCAAUGAAAGGCUCGAAGUUUGUGACAUUGUUAAAUAAGACUUCAAAUUUUCUUUGUUGAUGAUUUGUGACAAGACAUAUUUUUCAACCAAAUAUUUUAUCCAGUUCGCUGAAGCCUUGGUAUUGUUUGAUAUUGCUAAUUAAUAGAUUAAUGAGUGUGUAGUGUGUACUCAACAUUAAUUUGUAUAUAUUUAUUUAUUGCCUUUUCAUAAUAAAAUUUUAAGAAGAUACUUUAAUAUAACAACUAUCGGCUCAAAUAAUCUUAUCUUAUUUUAAUUAUUUUUGUCUUGGGAACAAAUAUACACUAAUUGGUCUUAAUAUGAGCAAAAGAAUAAUCAAAUAUAUUAAUAGUUGUGAAACAUAAACUAUCAAACGAAAAUUUGUUAAAUGCAAUGUUGAUAGUUGUAGUAUCAUGCAUAUUGAACUCAUUUAUAUAUUAUUUAGAUUACAAAUACAUUUUCUUAAUGAUGCUACAAGGUUUUAAAUUCGAUGGUAGGUAGAGAAAAUUGAUCAAGAAAUUGAAAUUAGAAUAAUUAAGAAAAAUGAGUUUCAACAAUAACCAUUUGAAAAAAAAAAUUAUCUACAAAUAAAUAUGUGGGAAACAAUGCUCAGACGAUGUCAAAUGAAAUGUCCAUAUUUUAAAAAAUCAAGUACACAAUAAAAUAAAAUAAUGGACAUUGUUUUAGUGGUCNNNNNNNNNNNNNNNNNNNNNNNNNNNNNNNNNNNNNNNNNNNNNNNNNNNNNNNNNNNNNNNNNNNNNNNNNNNNNNNNNNNNNNNNNNNNNNNNNNNNNNNNNNNNNNNNNNNNNNNNNNNNNNNNNNNNNNNNNNNNNNNNNNNNNNNNNNNNNNNNNNNNNNNNNNNNNNNNNNNNNNNNNNNNNNNNNNNNNNNNNNNNNNNNNNNNNNNNNNNNNNNNNNNNNNNNNNNNNNNNNNNNNNNNNNNNNNNNNNNNNNNNNNNNNNNNNNNNNNNNNNNNNNNNNNNGAAAAAAAAAGUAAAAUUAAAAAACAUAUACAUACAAUUAGAGCGAAGGUGGUAGUUGAGAAAGUGACAUAUAUAACUUAAGAAUCUUGAAUGAAGAAUAUUUCAAUCAUAUACCAAUGAAUUAUUCUCGUUAUGAGCUUAAGCCAAUCAAACAUCAAAUAUUUUUUAAAUUGCAAAGGGAAUAGGACUUCAAGGCAAGUUCCCCUCACCUACCGAAACCAACGACAGCUUAAAAUACAUCAAUAAUUCCAGAUUUAUUUCGAAUGAAAUGAUUAGUUUAAAUUCAAAUUAAACCCAACCAUCUAAUUUUAGAAGGCCUAUUUAGAGGAUCAUAACUAUCAAGAUAAUGUUGAUAAAAAUAAACUAUCGAGAGAAUAUGAUCCAGUUCAUUUGUUAUUGUUUAUUACACUAAUCAGGACUGUUUAUGUGGUGCAAUUCAAUGGGUUUGCUUUUCUUUAAAUCCAACUCUAACAACCUUUUCCGUGUGCAAAAUAUAUAUUAACAUUUAUUAAAUUUUACUAUUUUUUAUGUUAUCCUUAUAACUCUAGUAUCUUUAUUUUUAAUCGUUAUAUUAUUCUCGUAUAGUUAAUUAUUUAUUUUGUCCAUUUUAUAAAAUUUAAGGAGUUUAUUUAAUGUUUUUCAAUUAUAAAAAUGAGUUUGUAUGUAUACCCUUCCCGGUCCCUCCCUGUUCCUGAGCCCCACACUAAAAGACCAGCUUCGGAUCACAGUUUCUGGUCUAUUGGGGCCAGGCCGGCCUGGCGGUAAUUGAGGCCCAGUUUGUUCCAGGCCCGAUUAAAGGCAAGGCCUUUGUUUUCACGUAGUCAAUAAUCAUGGGUGUGUGUCCAAUUUACAGUGGGAAACAUGGAAUAGGCCAUGGAUUGAUGGAUACGUAGAAACUAUGUCUACUUAUCCUGAAAUAAUUUAUUUUUAAUGAGUUGGUUAAUUUUAUUUAUUAAUAAGUACCGAACUCGAUGAAUAAUCGAAAUAUUUAGUUUACCCAUUCUAGAAUACUCUUCAUGAAAAAAGGGAUGAAGUAAGUAAAUGAUUCGACCAGUUAUUGAACUGACUAAAGUGCACUUUAUAGUAGUAAUAAUAUAAGAGAGAGUCGAUUAACUUGGCAAAGUGGGGGGAGACAUCGUUUUCUGAAUAAAAUAACUCAACUUGUUAUNNNNNNNNNNNNNNNNNNNNNNNNNNNNNNNNNNNNNNNNNNNNNNNNNNNNNNNNNNNNNNNNNNNNNNNNNNNNNNNNNNNNNNNNNNNNNNNNNNNNNNNNNNNNNNNNNNNNNNNNNNNNNNNNNNNNNNNNNNNNNNNNNNNNNNNNNNNNNNNNNNNNNNNNNNNNUUACUGAUAACUUUUAUUUUUUCAUUUACCUUACCAUAUUAUCCUUUUCUGUGUGUGGGUAGUCAUGAUUAAUUUGGCCUCAUUUUAUUAAAACAGAUUGCAUUGCGUGUGCUUUUUUUAUAUUGAAGGAGAAGCAUGUUCUUGCUCUGUCUCCAUAACUACAGCAACAAACAAACAACUAGCUACUAUCAUUAUGGGCUUUUACUUAAAAGGGCCCAUAAUCAAGUAAUACCAAAUUACUUUCAUUCCACUUUGAUGUUCUUUUAAUAAAUUUGUUAAUGGUAUUGUAUGAUGUUUAUUUGGAAGUGUUAGAUUUGAAUAUAAUCCUAUAGUAUAAUUAAAAACUAACAUAAUGUUUAUUUUCAUAUUUUUAGCCAUCUCAUUGACUUGUCUAGCUUUAAGGAAAAAAUUAGUUUUUUUUUAAAAGGGCCCAUAAAGUUUGUGUCGUCGUUCAUCAUCACAUGAAAUGCACGUACCCUUUAAUUUUAUUAUGUAAUUAGUUUUUUUGUUCUUGAUGUUUUUUGGAUUCCCCGUCAUAUCUCUAAAUUUGGUUGUAAUCCCUAUGGUUUUAGUGAAUUUAUGGGCUAAACUUCCCCCUCUCGAGACUCCAUAAAUUUAGGUCUUUUAUAUCCAAACUGCAUUAUUAAUUUUUUGUGUUCUUGCUUUCGCUUUUGUUCGUUUUCACUUAAAUUAAGAUUCCGAUCGCGUAACUUAUUACGAAAACAUUCAACUAUCACUGAAUUUGGAAUGAACUUAUGUACACAGUAGACCAUAGUUAAGGAUGUUAUUGAGGUAAAAUGAACAAUGGUCUAUAAAAGGAAUGAUGAAAAUCAUAGCUAAUGAUGAAAAAAACAAAAGACAAAAGAAAACAUGGAAGCGGCAGGUGGGUGUGUUUUCAGUCUAGACUAGACAUCUACGUACCGUUUCACGUGAUGCAAAUUUGCAGGAAUACAAAUUACAAACAUGUAAAGUUAAAACAAAUAAGGAAAAAUUAUCAAAUAAAACAUAACAUAUAAGGUCCGAUUUGACUCAUCUUAUUCAAAAUAUAAAAUAUAAAAUUCUGUUAAUUUUAUUGUUGACCGUUCUACUUAACUACAGAUUCGGCCAUGAGAAUAGUGAGUAAAAAAUCGAAGUCCAAGUGGGAUUCCACGUAUGUUUGGGUUGCCACAUCACCUUGUGUAAGAUAAAAAAAAAUUUCACCACAAUUAGUUCCGACGCUACUUUAACCGAGUCACUACAGCUCACAACUCGUUCUCCAAACCGAGCCGACUCGCUCCCCUGUAAAGCACUUCUCCUACUCCUCCCCCACGGCAGCAUCAACCUCCCUUCGCCGUCGCCACCGCCGCCGGAUUUCUCCUCCGCAGCUUCCAAUCUCCGCCGUCAACAAGAAAUCCUCACCCAGCAAGCCCACAAUCUCCGCCGUCAACAAAUUCCCCUUCAAAUGCAGAGACUCUGGCUUCUUCCCAAUCUCCUCAAUUAACCCGUCGCCGACCCCAUAUUCGAAUCUGGGAAAUUAGGUCAUACUCGACGAUUUCGCAGUCCAUUCCUCCGGCUAUUCCUCAGUCCAAUUAUCACUUGCCACUUCUCUUCCAUAUUCUCCUUCUCCAUAUCCAUCCAGCUGCAGCUUCGAUUUCACCAACUUAGGUACCUGGGUUUCUUGAGGCUUCAAUCCACAACAUACUACUUACUCUGCUGUAAUGUUUAUCAUAGUUUGAAGAAGAUUCAAUCUGCGUGUAGAUAGAGAAAGAAGAAGAAGAAGAAGAAGAAGAAGAAGAAGAAGAAGAAAGGCUCGUUUUUGGAGUGGGAAGUGAGAGGUACUUCGAAUUUUUUCUUCGAGUUAUUACAUUGCUGUCUGUUAUGUGAUUGCUGUAGUUGGGUUGCGCGACGGUCUUUGGUGGUUUGGAGGCGGUCCAUGAGGGAUUCGAUUGCAGCGGCGGCGGUGGCGCCUGAGCCGUCGCCGACGGAGGAGAGGAGCAUGGCUAAGUGCUUCGGGUUUGGCGGGUUGAAGGGUGAGAUUUAAUCCACACUGUACAAAAUUUUCACCGUGCUGACAUUAUAAUUCAUUACUUACUUGUGGCCGCCAGCAAAUCAUUCCACGUCAGCCCCCGUUAGUCCAGUCACCUUCUCGACGAAUUCUGUCAGUCAGAUUUGAAAAUCGUGCUAUUUUUUAUAUUCCUAAUAAUAAGAUAAAAUGGUGGGUUUUAUACGUCGUACUUAUUUGAUAAUUUUUCCAAAAAAUAAUAAUAAUAACCUAUCUUUAAUAUUGUUCUUUGCCCUUUUGAAUGAUUUUUAACAAGUGGAUGUGGUGACUAGUGACUCAAGAAACAGUUCAACAAUACGGGUCAGUUGCCUUUGUCUGUAAGGAACACCAAUUUGAGUAAAAACUGUUAUGGUUUGUUAUUAUGAUAAAUAAUUAAACAAGGAACUGUUUCUAAUUCACUUGGCAAUUUUAGGUACACUAAUGAUGUGACUGUUAUAAUAAAGAUCAUCGGUGAACGUUUUCGUCAAUUAGUAAUCGUUUUACGGGUUUCAAAACUGUCCCUGAAACUACACUUUUUUGUAGUGAUGGUGGAUGGUGAAGAAUGUAAUUAUUAGCAUAUAUUAUAUAGUAGGGGUAGAUUAAUCUUUUCCUUAUUAAUCUUUUUCGUUUAUCUAUUUUAUUUUUUCAUUCAGUAUUGUAAGAAUAUUAUCUACGAUCUAAGAAAUUUCUAAUCUCUCAAAAUCUUUUCUCUUUUUUCCCUCUCCAUCUCUAUGCAUGAUCAACUUCAACAAUAAUGAAUAAUGACCAUAUUGUAACAAUAAGGUCGAAGGGAGACAGGUGGUAUUUUUUUAAUUUUUCUGCAUGAACCGUUAAAUUAAAAUGAUUAAAUGUAAUGGCUCAUAUUUGAACUGAUGACAUGCAAAAAGUUUGUAUUUGAUGUGAAUCCAGAAUCCUGGUUUACAGGCCCCAAAGCCCUAAUUAACCAAUGAACAAACUGAUUUAAACCAAUUAGUAACAUACAGAAAUGAGAGUGCCUUUAAUUUUUCCUUAGUAAAGAAUGGCAUUGUCAAGUGCCCUAGCUCACCCCACAUCCGAUUUACAACUAUGCAGCAGACAUUAAAUUAGAUUCUUGAGUGAGAGUGAUUGAGUGGCGGACAUGCGACGAGGAUAAUAUAUAAUUCAUUGAUAUUUUGGCCACACUACUCACUCCCAACUUUUGGUAGCUGCUAAUUAAGAAGAAUCUUAUUAUUAGGGGACACGAAGUCUUCAAACCUGUACAUUAAUGCUUGCUCAACUACACUUUAAGUGAUCAACAAGCCAUCUCUCUCUCUUACAUAUAUCCUUUUUAAAGUUCAACAUGCAUGGGACCUUAUGUAUUAAUCAAGCAGGGUCAUCACUAGCUUAGUUUGUUUUCAAACUGGGCAUAGUCUCAGUACUCUUAUCAUUCAUUCCCAGUCAAAAUAACUUUCAAGUCAGUCGAGAAUCAUAAAGCCCAAUCUGCAGCUAAAUGCCUGUUAAGUAUUUGUUCUGAAGACGUACUACUCAUCACUGGGUUCAUAUUAAUUAAUUAAGAGGUACUUAAUUAGUGGAAGUGUGCACACGUACGAAAGAACAAAAAUAGUGUUGAGUGUGCUUAAUUAAAAUUCACUGUUGGUGAUUACUUAGAAACACACACACACACACAGCUGUAGCGCUGUAAUGUAUAGUACGGUAGUGUGGGAAAGCGCAAAACCGCGUUUAAAGUUGGCGGAGCGGAGCGGAGCCCGCUCCCAAAGAACGGCAGACUUUUCGGUUUCCACUCAGUCUCCACUUUUGACCCCUUUGUUUUCAUACCUGAAUUAGUAACUAAACAAACCAUAAUUCAUUCUUAAAUAGUUAAUUGCACCUAUUAGCAAUUAAUCCCAUAUAUUUCAAUGUUUGCUUGUAUUAACAAAAAAAGACAAUUUGGUUGCUUGCAGGGACAGUGUUACUGUGUUGGAGUUUAAUGUAUGAACGGAAUAAUAUGAUAAUUAAUAUAUUUAUUAUUUUGAACAAAAAUAAUUAAUACUUUAUUAUACAUCAUAGAGAUGUAGUAAAACUUCAAAUACUCUUUUGCGACAUACCUUUCACUAACAAGAUUUUUCGGUUGGGUUUUCUUAACGAUUUUGUUAUAUGGACGAUGAUUAGAAGACGUUUUUUUUCCUGGUGUGGAGAACUUUCUUGUUCAAAAUAUUAGGCGGAGGAAAACGUCGACUAAAGUUCAAGGAUUUCUUUGGUUAGUUUUUCAUGAUAGUAUCCUUAUUUGGGACAACUUACAGAGAAGAGGUGUUAUUUGGCCGUACUUAUGCCCGUUGUGUUGCCGACAGGCAGAGUCUGUGAACCACAUUUUUUUUUCGGGUACAGUUUCUCCCGGCCGAUAUGGGUUAUAUUCAGUUCUACUCUUUCCAUUGUUGGGUCCUUUCACUAUCAGAUGAAUGAGGUAAUUUUGGGGUGGAAAUCUAUGAACUGUGCUUCCGAGUUUGAAUCUGUCAUGAGGGUUUUGCUUCACGUCUUUUGUUGGUAGAUUUGGUUAUAACGCAAUAGUUGGGUGUUUCGUGAUGUUAGGUGUUCCGAGGUGCAGAUUGCGUAUAAGAUUACUAGUGUUGUCGGGUCUUGGUUGAAGCGACCAACGUAUUCUCAAAUCAUAUGUUGUCGAGAUGGACGAGCUUUUGUGGUUUUGCGAGAGAACCUAAUUACAGAUCGAAUUGGUUGUAUGAGGUAGCCACCGGUUAGUUUGUUAACAGAGACAACGUUUGGGUUUGCUUAUUGUUUUCUUUUUAAUUUUUCUCUGGGCAAUAUUGUUUAUAAGGUGCCUUCUUUGUACAACUUGGUUUUUGCUGACAACUACUUUGCUGAAUAUGCUAUUUUUAUAUAUACGUAAAUACCAUUGAUAUAAUCUCAAUAAUAAAUGUGGAUUUGAUAUACUUGAAUUCUACUAACACACUACAAAAAAUAUCAGUUUAAUCACGGAUUUUUAACCGGGAACAAAGCAACAAGUUAAAUCCGAUGUUAAAUUCAACACUGGACCAGAUAAAUAUGUUGUUUAACUAUUCUAAACAGGCCCUUUUCAUUGUUACAAUAUUUUAGAAUCGGACAGUUCAACAACCGAGUAUAUCAACUGUUAAAAUAAUAAUUCGAUAAAUCAUGAAUGAAAUAUAUUAUAUAGAUACGCUACUCAUCUACUAUGGCAAAUAUAUGAGUGGAAUAUUAAUUAGAUAACUGGAGCGAUGAGGGAUGCAUCAUUAUGGUUGAAAUAGUUUUGGCUAGCCCUAAUUGGGAAUAAAUUUGACCUAAACUCUAAUCCUAGCUUACCUUUACGAAAUAUUCANNNNNNNNNNNNNNNNNNNNNNNNNNNNNNNNNNNNNNNNNNNNNNNNNNNNNNNNNNNNNNNNNNNNNNNNNNNNNNNNNNNNNNNNNNNNNNNNNNNNNNNNNNNNNNNNNNNNNNNNNNNNNNNNNNNNNNNNNNNNNNNNNNNNNNNNNNNNNNNNNNNNNNNNNNNNNNNNNNNNNNNNNNNNNNNNNNNNNNNNNNNNNNNNNNNNNNNNNNNNNNNNNNNNNNNNNNNNNNNNNNNNNNNNNNNNNNNNNNNNNNNNNNNNNNNNNNNNNNNNNNNNNNNNNNNNNNNNNNNNNNNNNNNNNNNNNNNNNNNNNNNNNNNNNNNNNNNNNNNNNNNNNNNNNNNNNNNNNNNNNNNNNNNNNNNNNNNNNNNNNNNNNNNNNNNNNNNNNNNNNNNNNNNNNNNNNNNNNNNNNNNNNNNNNNNNNNNNNNNNNNNNNNNNNNNNNNNNNNNNNNNNNNNNNNNNNNNNNNNNNNNNNNNNNNNNNNNNNNNNNNNNNNNNNNNNNNNNNNNNNNNNNNNNNNNNNNNNNNNNNNNNNNNNNNNNNNNNNNNNNNNNNNNNNNNNNNNNNNNNNNNNNNNNNNNNNNNNNNNNNNNNNNNNNNNNNNNNNNNNNNNNNNNNNNNNNNNNNNNNNNNNNNNNNNNNNNNNNNNNNNNNNNNNNNNNNNNNNNNNNNNNNNNNNNCGUCAUUAAUAAGAUAUAUAUAAUUAAUCAUAAAGGAGCUAGGGUGGUUAGUGAGUUUAGUUAAGUUAGUUGGUGGUCUGAUAUUUUCUUUUUCCUCUGCUUGCACCACCGUUGGUACAAGGGAAAACAUCGCAUCAAUGAACAGCGUCAUGUUCUUUAUUGAACUACUGCAACUUAUUUGGUUUCUUCUUUGAAAACUACAACUAGGAAAAAAAAAANNNNNNNNNNNNNNNNNNNNNNNNNNNNNNNNNNNNNNNNNNNNNNNNNNNNNNNNNNNNNNNNNNNNNNNNNNNNNNNNNNNNNNNNNNNNNNNNNNNNNNNNNNNNNNNNNNNNNNNNNNNNNNNNNNNNNNNNNNNNNNNNNNNNNNNNNNNNNNNNNNNNNNNNNNNNNNNNNNNNNNNNNNNNNNNNNNNNNNNNNNCUCAGGAACUAGUGACAUGAAAUCGGACGUCACUAUCGCAAAAGGGGAGAUGGGGAGAACAAAAAAAAUUGCAUUCAUAUGUUCAAUCAUAUUAUACAAUUGUAAGGUUUGACAUCCGCAAUAAUGUUUCCAAGGAAAAUCGUAUAUGAGGAUAGUUGAUGAAAGUUGAGAUGAGGUUAGAAAAAGUUGUAAGAAAAAGGUUGAAUUGAAUUGAAUUUUUGAAACUAUUCAGAUGGAAAUUAAACUUAGAUAUAAAUUCUUGUUUCAACAAACCUUCUCAACCUCAACUCAUCUUAUUACUACUAAUCUCAAUUUCAUAUUCUUAGGAAACAUGAUUAUAAAUACCAAACUAUACUCUUACUACUAAUCUGAAUUCAAUACUAAUAGAAAACAUGAUCUAUAUAGAUACCAAACUGCACGUACUAGAGAGAGAUCCUUGAUUAGAAGUUCUGUUUUUUUUUACAAGACCAUAGGUACAAUUACAUGCAUAUUCUUCAAUAUUUUUAAUCAGAAACGGGUACAAAACACCACUAACUCGGAUUAUUAAUACGACUAAAUAGUAUUAUUCUUCAUUCACAAUGAAACAGUACUAAAAACAUAUACCCGCCGUUCUAAUCGAUUUAAAACAAAUGCAACAGUUUUCUUGUUCUGGGAGUUGGCAGUUGGAGCUUCAUUUUAUAAAAUCUGGUUAGAUAGCCAACCAAAUAUAAAAUUUGAGGAUGAUUUGUGAGUGGGUUAUUUAAUUUCUUUGAAAGGAAACCUGGAUGGAUUACUUAUGCUGCAAGCAAGUUCCCACACAGCUCCAAGGGCUAUAAGCCAAGAAUUUCAGCUGUGCCUACUUAUAACUGCUUCCCCUUAUUUACUACUGCAAUCCGCAUCUUCAUGUAGUCUGUAUAAUUAUGAAGUACAAUCCAUAUUUUUACUAACAUACCAUCCGUAUCAAACAAUAUUGGUUGUAUUAAUGGAGGAGGUGAUGUGGGUCGAGUCUAGAACAAUCAUGUCCUAGAUCAAUGUUCUUCUUAGCCUGUUAGCUGCUAAGGUCAUCACCAUUCAUGCAAUUCAUCUUUAUUUUAAGAAGUGUCCGUACUUUUUUUAAAAUGCCCCUACUGUUACAUCAUUUUUAAUGGCAAUUUUUUACACUUUAUUAUCAUACUACUCUCAUCCAUGCAACUCAAAAAGCAUUUGCAAAUAUGGGACCCAAAUAUAUUUUAAUUCUAUCAUUUAUAUUAGCUUACAACGUAAUAUCGACUUUACAAAUACGAGACGAGUUUGCGAAAUCGUUGGUAUGGAUACACUCUAAUAUCGACUUGUUCAAUGUAUAUAAUAAUAUAUUAUAAGUUAAUCUAAUAUUAUAAUUAUUAUGUUUGUUAAAUUUACUGUUAAUUUAAUACAAAUUAAAUAAGAAAAUAUUGAUAUUUUAUGUUUUACUAAUUACCUUACAUACAUUAAUUAUUAUAUACUAUUAUUUAUUUUGGAGACGAUUAAGGAAAAUGUUAGAUAUUUUAUGUUUCACUAAUUACCUUACAUACAUUAAUUAUUAUAUAUCAUUAUUUAAUUUGGAGACCAUUAAAUAUGUUAUAUUUAUAUUUUAUUAAUUCGUUUAAGAAGGUAGGUCCUUUUUGCAAUUGCUUUAUGUAAUUGCAAAAGAUAUAAAUUUAUACAAAAAUUGAGAGUUUCUCAUGCCUCCAUGCAAGGCAUAUUUGCAUGAAAUGGGGUUAUCGGGUCGGGCUGUUGGGGUUGUGUGGAUCGUCAGUUCACCAACCCAUUCGAUUAGUAUGAUAAUAUAUAUUUUGGAUCAAUCCUACAAUAAUUUAUUUANNNNNNNNNNNNNNNNUUAUUUAUUUAUAUUUCUUCUAAAAACUUUAUACUAAUUUAAUUGGUGAAUUGUUUUAAGUUAGACAAAUUUCUUCUAAUUAUGAUUGUGGCCACUAUCACCGUCACGGGUUGUACACACUCCAUCGAUAGCUUUAACCACAUACCAAUUACCAACCACGUAACCCUGUCCAAAAACGAUAUAUAUACAUGAUGGUAAUUUAUUAGCAAUGCAUGCGAAUCUCCCCCAUCAUAUAUAAAACAAUAUCUACCAAUUGUUUAAAUUCAUUAUUUCAAAUUGAUUUGUCAAAAUUUGUUAAUUACACACUGAAACUCUUUAUAUAAUAUAUAACCCUUAUUAUGUUGGCAAGAAAGUCCCACCGCCGCAAUUCAUCACUGUCGAAACCGAUAGUUAACUAUUUAACCUUCUUUACAACCUUAAACAAACGAGUUAACUAUUUUCGUAAAUCUUGUACAUUAAUUGAGUAGACUUGUGUUUCUUAUUAAAUAAUAUUACGUACAUGAUGGAAUCUACAACCCAAAAAUAGUUGGUACACAAAAAAUCACGCAAAUAUUAAAAUUUAAUUCACAAAUCUUUUUUUUUAUAGAACAAUUCACAAAUCUUAUGCUAAAUUAAUUAUUGAUCACGAAUUAUGAUACGUAUUUUGAAGAAUAAUCAUAAAAAAUAAAAUUCACACUGAGAUUGAGCCAGUAAAUAGCUGUCUUCAGUGGUCGCCUCAGUACACUGACCAAAUGGGGAAAAUGAUCCAGUGCAUCCGUUUCUUUUUCCUCCUCUCAAUCCUACGGGCCCCACUUCUCCCCCCUCCAUUUUUUUUAUUUCUUUAUGUUGUUUUCUUUAUAUCACACACGCAGACUCACACACUUGCUAGCUAGCUGCCUUUUACUCUUCUUCUUCUUCCUCUCAUUUCUCCCUCAGUCCUCCGCCGCACUCCGCCGAUCACAUUUCCAUCUCUCUCUAUGUCGGUCCCACUGCCUUCAUUUUCAGCUGCUCAUCUCCGACUUCUCCUCUGAAACACCCUUCACUCUCUUCUCAUUCUCAAACCAAAAAAAAAAGAAAUUACCCUUCCGAUUCUCUUAAUUGGCCGCUAAAUGGAGAAAAAACAAGGCUUCUUUUCCGCUCUCAAGGGCGAAGUGGUCAGAGGACUUUCCCCUUCCCGCUCUCGCUCCCGCUCCUGCAGUCCGGCCCGCUCCGCUUCCCCCUUCUCAGGUCUCCUCCGCCGCAAGAAAGGCGGCGGCGGGAAGACCUACGUUUACCAGCCGGAACCGUUGAUCGGGAGAUCCGGUAGCUUGAGGCCGGUGGUAGGUGAAACCUUGACGCCGUUGAUGGAAGGUCCCGAUCCUGACGGAGAAUGCGACCCGAAACCGUCCGGGUCGGGUUUGGGUCAUUGGAUGAAAGGUCAGCUCUCCAGAACGCCUUCAGUCGCCGGCUCCGCCGCCGCGGCCUACAAGAGGUCUGAUCUGAGGCUGCUACUUGGUGUCAUGGGUGCUCCGUUGGCUCCGGUGCACGUUAGCACCAUGGACCCUUUGCCUCUGCUCAGCAUUAAAGACACUCCAAUUGUAAAAAUUCCAAACUUACAACUUGCUCUUCUUCCUUCUUUACUUUACUGUCCCUUUUCUGUGUGCUUCAUUCUGGGUAAUUUAAAAAACAAAUUUGCAGCCGGAUUAUAAGUUUGUUUCUUCAUAUUUUUGCCGUGUUCAGAUUUGCUUCAAUUCUGUCCAUUCUUCCCCCUUGUUGGAUUUUUAAUUGGAAGAAAGUUUGAAUUUGGGGAGGUAUUUAAGACUGAAAAGAGUCAAAUCACUUGGGUUGAAUACCAGAUCCAUGCAACAAUUUUGUCCUUACUUUUUUGGCCCCCUCUUUUCAUUUCGUUGUUUGGUUGGUGGGGAAAACUGUAAGGAAGAGUGCGCUGUAGAAUAUGAAGGGGAUAUAGCCUUUUUGACUUGUUUACUAUUUGAUACUCCAGAUCGGCUUAGCCGAGCAACUGUUGUUGUUUUGCUGUCCAUAUUAUUAAGAAAUGUAUUUUCCCUAUUCAAUUUCUUUUGUUCUUUACGCUACAGUUUCUCACGCUAAUAGAUCCAAACUAGACUGGAAAUAAUGUGAAAGUUUGUUGUUUUGCAUAAGCUGAUGCUUAGAGGACUUGUUUAUACAGGAAACUUCAUCUGCACAGUACAUAUUGCAGCAGUACACAGCUGCAUCUGGAGGGCAGAAGCUGCAGAACUCCAUCCGGAAUGCUUACGUGAUGGGGAAGAUUAAGAUGAUAACCUCCGAGUUCGAGACAGCCACAACAGUGGUGAAGAAUCGCAACGGUGCUAGGGGUGCUGAGACGGGUGGAUUUGUUCUUUGGCAGAUGAAUCCAGACAUGUGGUAUGUUGAGCUUGCUGUGGGUGGUAGCAAGGUUCAUGCUGGCUGCAAUGGGAAGCUUGUUUGGCGCCACACACCUUGGCUUGGCGCCCACACUGCCAAAGGACCGGUUCGACCCCUUCGUCGUGCUCUUCAGGUGCCCAUAUAUGCUAGAUAUCUGAACAUUUGUUAUUUUCUUCAUCUUGUUGCAAAGGUGUGAACUUGUUUUUCUUGUGCAAAUUCAGGGUCUUGAUCCAAGAACCACAGCUAGCUUAUUUGCUGAUGCAAGGUGCAUAGGGGAGAAGAAGAUCAACGGGGAAGAUUGCUUUAUCCUGAAGCUGGGUGCUGAUCCCGGGACAUUGAAGGCAAGGAGUGAAGGUCCAGCUGAGAUUAUAAGGCACGUUCUGUUCGGCUACUUCAGUCAAAGGACUGGACUUCUUGUUCACAUGGAGGACUCACAUUUGACCCGAAUCCAAUCCAAUGGCGGCGAUACAGUCUACUGGGAGACCACAAUCAAUUCGUUCCUCGAUGAUUACAGACCCGUGGAAGGAAUCAUGAUCGCUCAUUCAGGGCAUUCUGUGGUGACCCUGUACAGAUUUGGGGAGGUGGCUAUGAGCAAUACAAAGACGAAGAUGGAAGAAGCUUGGACCAUUGAGGAAGUGGCUUUCAAUGUUCCAGGUCUCUCAGUUGACUGUUUCAUCCCUCCUGGAGAUCUGAGGUCGGGUUCCGUCAGUGAAACCUGCGAAAGUUGUGGCGAUAGAGAAAUCUCAAGAUAUGUGCAUGGACAACAUGUGGAAGAUGGAGCUGCAAAAGGCUAACCAAAAGGGUAGGAAUCAAAAGAUUAAGAUGACUAACCCAUUUAGAAGGUCAUGAAACGUUAUUACUUAUUAGGGUGGGGGGGGGGGGGGGGGGGGGUACGAUUUUGUUUUGUGUUUUUUUUUCUUAGGGUCCUGGGACUUUGGGUAAGAAAUGCCUCUGUUAAUCUGUAAAUAAGAGUAUAAUCAUUCACAGGUUCUCAAGUUUAAAGUGGGGUCUGGAUGAAUCGUUAUUCUCUUGAGGUGCAGAAUCCAACCAAUGGGAGUUGGAUGCUCAAAUUUUCCAGUUAGGGAUUUGUGAGCAAACGGAGGUGAAAUAUAUAGUGUUGUUUUUUUUUCUUUAUUUGAUAUAGAUUUGUGAGCAAUUUAACCUUAGUUUGAAGGAGGGUAGGUAGCGAUUACAGUGAUUAUAUGUUUUGAUGAUAGACAGCAGUGGCUGGGACAAAGGGAAAGAAAUCUCUGCUGCGCUGCUGCUGCUGCUGAUAUAUGCCAUCAUGCUGUUCUUUGAUGUUUUGUUCAUGCUUUGAACAAUGUGUAAUAGCUGUUCCUCCCUGAAAGGGAAUGCAAUUAAGUAGUUUCAAAUAAUGAGACUAAGCAAUGUGGUGUGAGUAAAUAACAAGAAGUUAGGAGCCUAAACUGCUAAUUGCAGCAGUUUUGAAUUCAACAAUCACUGAUAUUACAUCAAAGUGAAUUUGUUUAGGUUGGUACGCUGACUAUUUGUACAAGUAAUGUUUGGUGAGCUCUUCAAGAGGUUUGUUGAAUGUUUUCACUUGAACUUGGGUAACUUUCAGAAUUUUCACUUUGAUUACUCGAGUUUCGACCGACUGAUGGUACGGUACUUGGGUUGCUGACCGGAAUUCAAUCAUUCCUGAGUUGGCAAAAUCUCAUAGAAGUUGUAGGUGUAAGUUGAUGGGGGUUAAUGUAAUAAUGUUGGUGGGGUUGAAAAGCUGUAUUGUUGUCGUUGGUACUGUGUGCCUUCCUUUAGUCCUUUCUCUACUUGUGCUAUUGCUUUCUCCCUUCUCGAUCGGGUGGGUUUGAUAGGCCGAAUCUUGGUCGGAGAUUCUGCGUAGAAUUUCGCCCGUCUGAUUCGAUUGGGUCGAUUCUGCAUUUCCUUCAUCCUAGAGCUUUGUUCUCCGGGUCAUACCAUAUUGUACCCAUCGAGAUGACUAGAAUACUAUAGUUAGAAAAAUGAUUUAAAAUUGUAAGAACAAAUAUUUUAUAAACUGAUAAUUAUGUUAUUUUACAGUGGUCAGUGACUGAGAUUGAAAGAAUCAAAGGUAAGGGUGAGACCGUUAGGAGGAAGAAACCAAAACAGUAAAAACAAAUUGGUUAAAGAAUUGAGGAUGAUGAUUACAGCUAAGGCACGGGCUGUGGUUAAUAAUGAAAAUAAAACCAACAAAGGAGGAAGCAGAGUGGCCAUGUGAUUUCUAACUUUCUUUUUUCCAGUAACUUCUUCUUCUUCUUCUGCAGUGCAAAACUUGUUUCAUUUCUUAUUUUUCUUGGGGAUUGGCUGGUUAGAUAUUGGUGGGUUCCUUUGUUUUCUGUAACUUCGCCUUUUGCAGACAUUGUCUCGCAUGUUAUCUCUAUCCCUUUUUAACCCUUUACCACCCUUUUCUUCUACAGUUGUCCUGAUGUCAUGCAUAUGCUAGGUGUUGUGUUCUUCACGUUUCUUGUUUACAGUGUUUUAACUUAACUGUCAAUCACCUGAUUGCUAACUGGCAAUUCGUCCAAGGAUGAGCCUUACAAGAAAGACAGUAUAACUCAGUGUGGGUAUGAGCUGAGAAAUAGAGAAGUAUUGAGGGGUGUGUUUUUUGAUUAGGCGAAAGUACUUGGAUGACAGUCAAUAUGUGUUGUCAUAUUCUGAAUGGAGACCUUCAACUUUUGUUUAUAGUGCCUCAGGAUCUGAGCUGGUGACCUAGGUUAAGUUUGCCGACUUCCCCUUAGGUUAACGGCGGUUGCAUGUUCCGUGUGUUACUACUAGUCUAUUACGGUCCUGACCCUCUCGAGUCUAUGUUUCCUGCCCAACACAAUUGCUUGGGCCCAUCAAAUAUUCUCAUAGUUGUUCCUCAGUGAAAGGUCGAUAUAAUGGAUGGGAUGAUGUGCAUUGCAUUGUAUUUGCGACUCUUCGACAUGGAAAAGGUAAAAAUAUAUAGGGCUCAUUUGGUACGUGAAAUUUCGAACAACUAACUAUUCGAGAUAUCACGAUAUUAGAUGAGAUUGAUAUUAAAUUUUAAAAGUAUAAAUAUUCUUAUUUAGGGUAAGAUAUUGAGUGGUAGGAUUUGAGAAUGAUUAGAUGUGGUGUGAGUCAUGAUUUAUAAUAAUGAGGGCAGAAAAAAUUUAAUUGUAACCCUCAAUUGCAUAUACCUAUUAAAUUUUUUUGGGGACAAUUAUGUUAAUCAAAUGAAUAUUAUUUUAUUUAGGUGAUAUUCAAUAUUAUUGAAUAAUUAUUUAUUCAUCCUUUAUAAAACAAAAAUAUCUUAAAUAACUAGAUAUUGAAUGCCAAUAUCAAAUAUGCCCAUAGUGAACAAAAGAAAGCUAGUGGGAUGCAAUUUCUAUACCGACAGGGAAACAACUAGAGAAAGCUACUUCUGUUUUUUGUUCUUNNNNNCUACUUCUGUUUUUUGUUCUUUUACUAAUAAAUAAAAAUUGUAUUUACAUAAUGAAUCCUAUUAUAAUUUUCUUUAAACAGACUCGUCCAAUUCAGUCUUAAUAUGUGAUUUUGUUAAUAAAAAUUAUGUUGAGUGAGUGUUUUUUUAAACUACUUUGAAGUCUAUUUGUGUUUUCUAACAAAGCGUUUAAGGACGUUAAUUUAAAUUGUUCGAAGGGAUGAUUCAAGCAAGAAUAAGGAGAAAUGUUGAACGGUAUAUGAAUUUAAGGCAUUUUCAGGCAAUAGAGUGUUUGAGCCUUAGAUAAUUUGGGAUAGAUAACUGUUUUUAUCAUUUUAUAAAUGAGAGGAUCUUUCCUUUCAUAAUUCUUUAGGGAUUCGAGCUGUAAUGUCGCAUCAUACCCGCAUGAAAAUUUAAAUUAUCGGAAAAAGUCUAAGGUUAGUUGUCUUUUUAUUAUUCGUUAGCACGUUCUCUCGGAUAAAAAGUUAUCGAAAGAGUGAAUAAGUUUAUACGGUUUUGACAUGACUUGGUAAUGAAUUGAGGACUAUGGAAUUUCGAAACUGAAAUCUAUGGUCUUAAAAGCUCUGAAAAAUAAAAUGGCUGCUUGUAAAUGAGCCAUGAAUGUUAGGAGCUAAGCAAGUAAGGUAGGUACCUCCAAAUCACAAGUAAUGACUCAUGAAUUAACAAUGUUGGUGUACACUACACACACACACACGUGUGUUUCUAGGUAACUGGGUUUUCAUUGAAGAGAUGGAAGACCCAAUUAUCCAGGGAGUCAAAGAUCAUCUGCGUUUCAAGGAUGCCCCUUAACUUAAUUUAUUUUAGUAUCUUGGGAAUAAGAGCUCCCACUGAUCUUUUUAAUGUAAGGUUAAAAUAUUAAAUUAAUUCUACAAAAUUCUUAUUCUAUAUAUGCGUGGCGUUUGUGUCUGUAAAUACUAUAAUAUCUCAGGUACAAUUAACCAUGUAGCAUGUGCUGAGGUAAAGAAGUAGCUACUAAUACGCAAUUAAUUAAUUAUAUAAAUGUGGAUUAAUAAUACUAAGUACUUAUUAACCAUAUAGCUAGGUUCACCGCAAAUUCGGCUCCCUUAAUUGCAGCUCAUGAGGGUCAGAGAUGGGCUAGCUCAACUGCUCAAGCUGUUGUAUGAUACCCACUUAGCAGAUAAAUAUUAGUAUUAAUUAGUGAUCGUAUGUUAAUAUUUGUAACUCAUAUUUUAACCACUGGCUUAAAUCCUCCUUCAUUUUAUAUGUGGGAUUUUAUGAAUUAUCGCGGUCUACUUAUUUGAUGAUUGGGAGAUUUUUGACUAAUUUUUUUUAACCACACUUCUAAAUGGGAUAGUUUUGUGGGUAGAGCUGUGUGUUGGUAGUUUGAAAAUUUCGAGUUAAAUUCCGGUCACAUCAUACAACAUAUAAAAAUUGGAAAACUCAAGGUGCCUUCUUGGCUCUAAGUCAUUUUAUAUAAUAUUCUAAAUCAAACUAAAUCAACUCCCUAUUUUAUAGAUCUCGAUUAGACUAUAGAAUUGCAAAAACUACCAAAAUGAGAAAACUAAAUCAAAGACAAUAAUCGAAAUACAAGAAAAGAGAGUGUGGAAGAUAAGUGCAAAAUUUGUGUCAUUGAUUUUGAUAUUUAUCACAACAGAUACCUAUUUAUAAUGUUUAAUUGUUUCUCUCUUAUUAAAUAUUUAUUAAUUUUGUGCUAUCUCGAAUUAUUCCAUAUGAAAUUAUCCCGAUUAGUGUGACCCAUGUUGGCCAGCUCUACUCUAGAUUUGCCUGGUUGCUUAUUAGUAUUGGAAGUGUAUUGGAAUUGUUUGACAAUGCUUAUUAGUAUUUCGCAAUAAAAAAAGUAUAAUAAUGUUAUUAUUCAAAGCGGUGGAAGAAGACCCCGGGAAUUUAUUGAAGUUCGAGAGAUAUACGAAGCAAGAAAUAAUAAGAAUUCAAAUGGAAAAAAAUUUGUCGGCAAAACCUGUCUUCACUCCCAUGAGUAGACAGACAGUAAAAAAAACGUACCUAAAUUUAUCAGAGGAUAGGAAAGUAAGACCAUCUUCAUCGGAUUUUAGUACUUUUUAAUAGUAAUUUUAAAAUUACUAUGUAUAUUAAGCAAUGCCUUUCUUAGAAAAAUCCAAUAUACAUGUAUGAUAUUGUUGAUAAUAUUUUUAAUUUAGCAAAUUAGCAAUUACUCUAAUAUUUUGUUUAGUAAUUAUUGGUGUAUUUAUAAUAAUUACUAAAUAAAGUAUCACAUCAUCCUCCACUUUAUUUGAUAAUUGAUAAAAUAUAAGAUAAACAUGCUUUUAAAGUAGAUAGAUAUAUUCAUGGAUAUAUAACUGAAUUUAAAUUUAAUAUCUUCAGAUCACCAACAAUCCUCAACGUUCUCAAUUGCACUCCUUCACAGAACGUACUUAUUCUUACUAACGUUGUCCUCUCAAAGUAUUGAAAGAAAAAAUAAAGAAAUAUUGGUGGUAUCCAGCUGCAGUGGGGGUAGAAUUGAAGUGAGGGAAGCAGAGAGCAUUUAUAAAGGGACAUGUAACGUAUGCACACUUGUGGUUUUCUUCUUCUUCUUCUUCUGUUCAGAAACAUGGAUGAAAAGGUGCCUUGAUGCUGAGUACUGUCCCUAGUAUUUACUACUACUCGCAGCCGCCGCCCAUACCAACAACCGAAGGUACGUAACUGGUUUCUUUUCAAGAUACCCUUAAUCAUUACCCAAUGAAUUAUGGGUUAUAUCACCUUUUUUUAAUGAGAAAACUCAAUAAAAUCCGUAUAAUUGAUUAAAGUCUAAGCCAGUGAUAAUAUACGAAAUCUCUUCUUGGACGAAAAUGAUUCGGUUGCCUUAGAGCUCCUUCACGGCGAACUAACUUGUUCAAAUGAUAUAUAAUGUAAAUGUAUGAGGCUAGAAUCCAAAAACAAAAGAUAAUAUAAAAAUGAUUUCAAGGUAAUUAUAAAGAUUUUGACGGAUUAAGUGACGGUGUGAAGAAAAUUAAGGAAAAAUAAUAAACUGGACAAAAAGAGAUGAAAGUAGGACCAAAAAAAGAGAGUCCACUUCCUUAUCAAUUGGCGAGUUGGGCCUUCCAAAAGAAUAGCUCACGGAGUUGAUAACGGUUGUCAUAAAGGCUCUUGAAAGUAACGGCCCUAAUAGUUAAACCGUUAUUUUCUUUAAGCCCAUGGAAAUACUCGUCGUUUCAUUAUCAAUGUUCAUUCGGCCCAAACAAUAACUUCCCCGCUCCAGUUAGUUCACACUAUAACAACCUGGGCCGGACUUUGAAAAGCUGUCUAAAGUCUCGCCAUGCACAUUUGGUUCACUCCAGCCCACAUAUUCUAAUAGUCCACAAGCCCAAUUGAACAGUAAUAACCUACCUCGUAUGUCUGGGGACUAUGACAAGACUUCAAUUUGACUUCAAUCUGAAAUAGGUUUUGAGAACUUCGGAUAACAAUGAUAAUGGAUGAAUGAUCGGGGGAUGAUUGUAAGUGAUGUGUUUAGAGAAUAUGAUUUAGGAUUUAUGUAUUCGAUAGAUAAAAAGACAAUUACCCCAUUUAUAAUAAUAAAAGCGUUUCUUUCAAAAAUCAUGAAGCGAUAAAUAACGCUUUCCUUUCACCUAUUCAUGGCUAUUCUUUAAAUCGCAUAGAAACGAAGGUGAGAAGAGAAUCACUAUUACCCUUUCGAUCAUAUUUUAUGCUCGUCUGCCACACCUUUAAAUAGUUGUUUGCCACACCACUAAACUUCCCCCCUCUGUUGAUAUGUGUUGACAAAGUGUGAAUAAUUGGAAGAAAUCUCAAUACCAUAUCGGGUUCGGUAUGCCUACGUGUUAACCUUCACAUAUGCAACGUGCCAUAGUAGUUCUUGUGUUUUUCCCUUCCCAAUGCAACUGUAAAAUAUGACUAAAGCCGACUGAGAAAUCCCCUUUUCAUGUGUAGAAAUAGCAGCUGAAAUUCUCGUAAGCAUCCACUCAGCUGUGAGAUAUAGUAAAUAAUGAAGAUAGAAUAGUAAUCAUAAUCUCAUAAGCAGAGUAUUCAGUAUCAACAAUACCCUCUUCAUGACAGAGAGGAACAAAAUUAAAACAACACAACCAGAUCCAUCCAGAGACAAAAGAAUCAAAAAAAACAAAAGAAAGAAACUGAUGCAAAGUAGUCGCGAACAAAAAGUCUGUCUGUCUGUCUCCCUGAUCUCUCUCUCUCUCUCUCUCUAAAGUAACAGCCACAAGAAAGAUGCACAUCCAAGUCCCAUCAUCCCAACCAUCGUCUUCUCUACUCCACUCUGCAACAAAUUAACCACCCGUCAGCACAUUCGAUAUUACAUUAUUACCAUUACCAGAUGUUGGGCUGUGCCAGCCCAACGGGCUCAUAUUCGGAAUGUUUGUUCAAAGCCCACUGAUGGCAUAUGCAACUUUAUCCAACGUUUCACCACUCAAUUUUUUUUUCUUCUCAAAUUUUCCGCAGAUCUAACAAAAUUUAAUUGUUCUGAUUAGCCCUUUAAUUUAAUAAUAAAAUAAAUAAAGUAGUAACACUCCUUGGAUUCUACGUCUCUUACUCACUGUAUCUCAAAACCUAAAGGAAUUUUUUAAUGUAAAAACGUGACAGCUCUACCUAGUGUGUCACGUGCAGCUUACAGAAAUGAAAAGCCACUUUCCGAUUUUCCUUAGUCCCCUAAACCAUCUGACAUCCACGCGCUGGAUUCAUCUAUUACGACAACACGCGCCGCUUUAGAAUGAGAUCCAAGAUCAGGUCAAACUUAUGAUACAAGAUCUGUUUUACUGUUUGUUCUCUAAUUAGGACCGACCAAACUAAUUAACAUUCACAUUUCCUUACUCUAAUUAGGUCUUUAAUCUCAAUUACUAAUGGUAAAUAGUAAGGAUAAAGAAAACGACGACGUACCAUAUCAGAACCGGUGCCGGCUGGUCCAGGAGCAGAAGCGCCCAAGCUAGGGGAAGGAGCUCCGGUGGGAGGAGCGGGCGGGCUUGAUCCCAGAGGCGAAGGAGCGGAAGCCGGAGACUUCACCUUCUUGGACGGAGCCGGAGCUGGGACCGAAGCAGGUGGAGAUGCCAGGGGAGCUGGUGGCGGGGUUGCCGGAGGAGGAGUGGCUGGCGGUGGGGUUGCCGGAGGAGGAGUUGCAGGUGGUGGAGUGGCGACCGGAGGUGGAGUUGAUGGUGGAGGGGAAGCAGGUGGGGGAGUAGCAGCAACCGGCGGAGGUGUGCUGACUGGAGGAGGAGUUGAUGGAGGUGGGGCGGAGACUGGAGGAGGAGAGGCCGCCGGAGGAGGGGAGGAAGUCGGGGGAGGAGUGGUGCUCACCGGAGGAGCGGCGGUCGGGGUGGUGGGAGUGGGUGGAGCCGGGGUGGCGGUAGGAGAAGCAGCCGGAGAUUGAGCGCCGACGCCGGCGAUGACAAUGCAGAUGAGAGAGAGGACGACCAAAGCUGAUGGACUCUUCAUCUUGCGCCGAUCUAGUUUCCUCUCUCUUCUUUCUUUUCUUCUCGUAAAACUACAAACAGAGAAAGAUAGAGAGAGAGAGAGAGAGAGAGAGAGGAGUGAGGGGGGAAAGAGAGUGAGAAAUCAAACGGGAAUAAAUAGUGGUGGAUAAAUUAAGAACGACGACGUUUCGUAUAAAAAAGAAACGUUUCUGGAUAAAUUGCGAAUGGAAGUGGCGACCAGGUGAUGGGACCAGGUGGCUACCGAACUGAUUGGCGAGCGUCCGAUUUGGAAGCUGGUGAAGGAAGGGAGGGGGAGGGUGGGUCCCCUGACAUGAACCAUGUGAUCGAGAUGUAAGAUCUGGUGCGACACGUUGCAUCCCGCUAUAGGGUUUCAUAUAUUGGAUUAGUGAUAUUAUUUGAAGGGUUAAUUUUGAGGUUUUUGUUUAACAUAAACAAGGGAAAAGUCAAAAGUGAGGCUUGGCUAGCUGGCUGGGUCCUUGCAAGGGGAAGGGGAUGAUUAAGGGUUUAAGUGCGUCUUACGGUUCAUUAUGAGAAAUGAUGGUUCCAGUUAGAUAUCCAUCAAUUUUGGUUUUAGAUCUGGGCUGUUCCUUUAGUUCGAGACCAUGAUCAGUAAUUAAUAUUAAUAUUAAUUACUGUAGUAGGAUUAUGAAUCUGUAACAAAACAAAGAUAAUUAAUUCACCUAAUAAAACAAAGAUGGUUAUAUUGGAUAUACGUAGUAUGACAUGAUGGAUAUAGUAAAUAUUAUAUUGUUUCAAGUGGUGGGAGAUUGUUUGACGAAAAUUUAUGUUGUCCCAACACAUUUGUUAUGGGAUUUGGUUAUUAGCAUGUGUGCGAUCGAUCCUCAAGAGACAAGAUGAUCUGGGCUGUUCCUUUAGUCGAGAUUGAAGCUUAAUUGUUGACAACAUUCAAGAAGAUAAUGAUGUCUAAGAGCAUUUGGAAGUCCUAAUCGUUCCAAGAUGCUUUAAUUUGAUUAUUCAAAAUAAGAAUGUACGUCUUUGUUACAUAGUUUUAUAGAAUAGGUUUGUUCUUUUAAGUAAGUAUUGUUCUUAGUCGAAUAAAUUUGUUUAUGUUUUGAUUUAGCUGCGAGGUUAAUUAAGAUUUUUGACAAAUUUAAUAUUUAAUUUUUGAUCAUAAAGUAAUGUACUUCAUAUCUGUUUUGAAUAAAAGAGUGGCUUUCUUAAUUAUAUCAGGGGUACAAUCACAUAUGUAGAUGUGUAUACCAUAAUCAAUACCAUUUUUAUAAUGCUUCAGAUUAGUAGGCAGUAAUUCUGUAUUUACAAAAAUGCAACAUUUGUAAUUGUGUAUGCAUUAAUUUGCAAAUUACUUUUGUAUUUUUAAAUUAUAAUGAAGGAAAAGAAGCAGCAGAGAGAUAGAUAUUUAUUGAUCACUCUGUGUUGUUAUUUUUGUAUUCUUCAUAUGCAGUCUGUAGACAUCCAACAUGGGGAUGGAUUAUUAUGAUGACAUGAUGAGUCUUGCACGUGGACCGUUUGGGACCCUUUUUGGGGUGGCAAGGCAAACGAUGGAAAAUGUGUAAUUUGCAAGCUAAGUUCCAAUAUCUCCAUACAGAUGGUGAUAUUGGACGGGUGCUUAUAUCCAUCUCCAUAUCUAUUCAUAAAAUUCAUCUCUAUUCAUGUCCCUAUCCGAAUAUCAAUAUUCAUACCCAUUCCAAAUUUGUGAAUUUCAAAUAUUAGUGGAUAUCCUCAUCCCCACAUAACUUAUUAAUUAAACAUUUAAAUAUAAGGCUACCACAUAUUCCAACUUCAAAAGACUUUAAAACAUAAAACAUAAUUUUAAAGUAAAACACAUAACAAAAUAAUCUCACACUUUUAAGACAUAAAACAUCAUUUUAAAGUAAAACACAUAACAAAAUAAUCUCACAAACAUUGUCAUUAUCUUCAUUAGGAAUUGAGAUUUAUAAGAAUAAUAUAAUAAUAAACCUUUUUAUUCACCAAAUGUCACAUAUGAAUUAACAUAUUAUUUUAAUUUAGCCAAAUAAGUUAAGUUUCAUAUAACAGAUUUUUUAUACUGCACAAACACAAUAUUCUCAAAUAAUCUAUUAUUUUAAUCCAAAAUAGCAUAUUCUCAAAAUACCUCAUCCAAACCAUUUAUAUUAUUGUUUGGGUCAAGGUACAUCCGUCGUGUACUACUUAGGAGUAUUCUCAGUACGAGAUACAUAUAUGAGCCUAAUGAGAUCGGUUAUUAUAAGUCUUUAGCUUAUUAAGGCUUUUCCUACUGAGACGGGGCAACUUAAUAAAGUUGGAAAACUAUGAUUCAUGCAUGAACGUUGAUAUAAAUAAGAAAAAUUGGUGUACACGGUGAGGAGAAUGGGAAAAGCAAUGGGUUUCGGUUGGGUCGUAGAGAGUGGAUAAGUUGAAGCGUCCAUGUCGAAUCGGUUAGAUAAAAUUAAAAGAAAGUAGCAAAUGGGGCAAGUACCGAUUGCUUCUACAUCAAUAGCUUGUGAUUUUUAGAAGCUCUUUUUUCUGUGUUUUUAAUUCUAUAGGUAGAUUGCUGUGACUACAAGUUAAAGUAAUUAUUUGCACUCGAUUAUAUAUAUAUGGCAAAAUGAAGAAUAGAGUGGGACAGGUCUUGCAUGUGAAGGAGCUAGAAAAUUAAACGGAUGAUAAUUAAGAAACUGAAAUCAUAACCACCUGCUGCAACUACUCAUAAUUCAUUCUCGCAAUAGUAAUUAGUUUACUACUAUUUUCCCAUUAGGAUUCUGUCUGUCCGAUUAACAUCUUUAAUUAGUGCUUAUAAGUUUGUCUGCCACUGAGUACAGUUGAUAGCUUGAUUUCCCCUUGGUGGAAGUAGAACUAAAUAUAGGACCUUAGUUCGGCAAUUGGCCACAUGUCGCUUCCAACUUACUCAAUAUCAUAUUUUUUUAUCAAGUGUGUCCUUCAUAUCAACACAUCAAAAUGUGAGAAAUCGGGUGUGUGCAAAAAGAAUAAACAGUGAGACGAUGAUAUACAAGAGGGUUAUCAUAACUGUUCCGUUCGGAUGGUUAGUGGAGCAAUAGUUGGCAAUUCGAUUCAAGGGUCGGGUUAGAGUGAGGACGCCUAAUAAUUUUCGACAAAAUGGUCCCUAAAAAAAUGUAUAAAGGAAGAGUAGUAAGAAAGUUGAUACAAGUGACGUAGAGCAUAGUGUGGACACAUAUGUGGGGGCUUAUGAGAGUUUUAUGGUAGCUGAUGUCAUAAAUAUAAUAUUUGAGGACCAUUAUAUAGGGUCAUGAUGGCAUGGGCCUGAAUGCCAUGUGUUAGCGGGCGAAUCGUAACUAGGUUUGGCGCCUCUGUCAAAUCUGGACCGUUGAUGAUGAACGAAAAAAGAUUGCCUAGGCUUGAGGCUGCUGCAUGACAUGCGUUGACUCACUCUCUAUAAUGGCGUGCGCCGUUCAGUUGAUGACAUGAGCAACCUACGGACAAAUUUGAUUGAGGGACCUAUCACAUGUCACAUAAGAAUAAUCAAUUAUCAAAUAACAUAUGACUUGUUGUGUGAUUGGAUCGUCUGGAUUGAUAUGUUAAUUCGAUAAUUUGAAGUCUGAACUACUGAAUUUGACCCCAAAAGAUGGGUUGUCGGACAUGCUGGUACCUCCUAGGAGCGAACCACUAACCCUGCACUCAUCGAUAACAUAUGAAUGAUGUAGCCGAUGCUUGCUUUAUCAUGAUGUAACAAUACGUAUGACUUUAAUGUUCUAAAAUAAUAAUUUUCUUUUUCUUUUUCGGGUUACAUUUUGAACGAAUCCAAGGACAUAUUACCCGACAGCCCAAACUUAUCCAAGGCCCGGAAAGUUAAAUUGGGCUGGACUUCCCGCCUCCGCUUCUUAUUUAUUGGAUUUUAUCCAAUAUCCACCAUCCCGCCUUCUACUUGUUUCCUGAUCCUUCCUCAAUUCCCAGCUCCGCCAAUCCUAAAACCUCGAACGCAAACAAUCAACAAUUAACUCCUCCUGCCCCCUGCAAAUUCCCUAAUCGCCGACGGCGACCCUCGUCAUAAUCAAUUCAACCCAAACUCACGGUGGCUCUACCUCCACCCCUUUUUUUGUCGAUAAUCAAUUGAUUAUCCAUGUCGGUUUCAAGCAAAAUCGUUGUUCCCCAACCCUACGCCCCCAUCUGCUUCCCAUCUCUUCCUCUUCGACGACUUCCUCCGUCUUCCCUUUCAUUUGUCCCUGGGAAUCAGGCCAAAUCGAUUGCUUCUUUGAAAUUCGCGUAUAAAACCUUGUUCGCACGCGGCAGAUUCGCCACUAAGAACUCCGCAGCCUCACCAUCCCCUGUGGUUUGUUGUUUGCUUGCUGGAGAAGGCAAACCUGAUCGAGACAAUCUGGUGAGUCUUCCAUUACAAUGAUCAUCGUUGAUUGGUUUCCGUUCGUCUUUCCCUUACAACCAUGCAGGAUUUCUCAUGUUAGGUUGUCUGGUCGUUCUUAUUUGUAUCACAAUGUCGAUUUGGUUGCGAGUAUAAUCCAAUUUUGUGCGUUGAAUGUGGGGCAAAUUAAAUUUGGUUGAGAAAUGAAGUAGCAAUAUCGAAUAAAAAUAAAAUGAACGAAAUACAGUGAUUUUUUAUGUGGAAAAUUUAAAUCGAAAAAAAUUAUGAGACCGUAGUCCAAACAACAACUCUAAUUUACUUUGAUGGGAUUACAAAAUACCUCAAGAACAAUUUUUUUAAAUUACCAAUACACCAUAAUACAUACUUACUAACACGACGAAUAACAAAAGUAAAUCGACAAGAUAAAAAGAAAAUUUCAAAGACCAAACAGAUUCGUAGACCCUCUGUUCAGCAGUGAUUUUCGCAAAUCAGAUAUCAAAACAACGAUCCUUUCAGCCAAAUUGAAGCUCGAAAAAUUCUGAACAUACAUACCAAAUUUCAAGACGAUUUAACCGUGCAUUUUUUUCUUAAAUAGGAUGACCUUCUGAAAAAUAAAAACUUUCAGCAACCUUAUCUUUUUUUCUCUCUCACUUGCGUUUGUCAUUGGGUCGGAUACGGGGCGGAUACCCUCUAUCCAUUGCCCGUGCAUAAUGUCCACGGGUUUUACCCGUCACCGACCCAUUAAGCUUGAUGGGUAAAAAAUUAUUACCAAGCCCAUAUUGGUACGGUUUUCGGGUAAACACAUGUUUGUCGGGUAUGCCCAAUGUGAAGUAAAAACUGUGAAAUUCCAUUAUUUAGAAUUCAGAAACUGAAAUGUAAAAAGUACCCAACAAAUAUGAAUCCAGAGCUAAGAACAUUUACCCAGAUUCCAGAACUCUAGGAAAUGAACUCGGAAAGAAAAGCACAAACCGUAGUCUGAAACCCAAAAAAUUGUUUAUAUAUCAUAGACAAAACGACGUCGUUUUGUUAUCGGAUCGGUGAUGGGUCGGAUAUCCCAUUAAGAUCGGUGAUGGGUCGGAUAUCUCAUUAACCAUGACCGCCCGUCUCGCCCGAAUUUGGCGGGUCGCGGGUGUGCCCGAAACCGACAAAAACCCACAAUUGAUGGGUACAAAUCAGCUCAAUUCGGACGGGCUCCAGCGAAUACCCGAAACCCACGGGCCUGCUGCCAAACCUACUCUCACUUACUUCUCUUUUUUCUCUAUAAUUCUAAACAAUUUCUCUAUUCAAUAAUAGAAACUUCUAAAAUACUAUUUUUAAAUUCUUUAAUAAAUUUAAAAUAACUCCACCAAACAAUUACAAUCAUUAUUUAAAAAUUGGUUAACCCAACCACUCUAGUGGACAAACCCAACAAAUUAGUACGUCUGCGCUACUAACUGUAGUCUUUGUUAGGGAUUUCGAUGGGAAUCUUUUGAGAGAGCUGCGGAUGGAUUCAGGCCGGAAGGACUCAAGCCGAAAAAGUCGGUAGAAGAGAUGUUGCAAGAGCAAAUUAGAAGAAGGCGAUUCUCUGCUGGAGGCAGUGGCCAAAAACUUCCAGGAGGCGGUGGUGGUCAAGGUGGCGGCCGCGGUGGUGGUGGUGAUGAUUCCGGAGGAGGAGGAGGAGUAGGAGAUGAAGGCUCUUUCGGAUUCUCUGAUGAAGCUCUGCAAGUGAUCUUAGCUACCAUUGGUUUCAUCUUUAUGGUAAUCUUAUCCCUGCCCUUCCAUAUCCUCUUUUUUCCUCGCCUCGUGAAAUCUUUCGAAAAAAAUUCAGGGAUUAGAGAUUCAAGUAUGUUUAGUUUAACUUGAAUAUUAAGUGACAAUGUUUUGUUCUUCGACUGACUGUUCUCUUGCAGUAUAUUUACGUGAUCCACGGAAUGGAGAUUAAUCGGCUGGGAAAAGACUGCGUGAAGUAUCUCCGAACUGGUACUAAAAGUGCUCGCUUGAAGAAAUUCAUGGGUAAGUGGGGGAGUUUCCUUCAGUUCCUGCUUGCUACGAUAGAGCAUUACAAGCCUCAAUUCGAAAGAGAGAUCGGCAAUGCUGCAAGCCGGUUCAGUGGCAUUACCAAGUACAAGCACAGAUUGAGGUUGCACCAGGCAUCACACGCGGAACAGUAGGUGGCCUUCUUCAUCUGCCAGCUUCUCAAGUUUCCAUCAGAUUUUCUGUAAAGUGAGCGAAUCACCGGGAAUGCCAUUGCAGAAGCAGAGUAGUUUGGUGGUAGCUCAAUUUGUAGUUGUGGUAGUUUAGGCCGAUCAACAGUGAUAUAUUAAUGUUGCAGACAUGUGGAUUUUAAGCUGUAUUCGUUGUAUUUAAGGGAAUCAAAGCUGCAGUAUCUAUUUCAUUUUCUGAACCAAUCUCAGUUCAUUUUCCAUGAACAACAUUUUAAAAAAUCCAGUGGAGCAAUGUUUUGAAUGUAGGAUGUGUUCAGCUGGAUAACUUAUAACAGAAAGGUGGAUGUGCUACGACCAUGCUAUAGAUGUUGCUAACGAGUUCAACAAAGAUGGCUUACAUUACAGCAAAAUUCACCAUGGAAAUUCAAGAAUCCAUAAGAUACCCAAAACCAAAAACUCCUACUACUAGUUGUUCUCCCACAUUACUAUCAGAACAACAAUCUGCGAGACUGCCCCACUAAUCUAUCGAGUCUCGACCCAGCAAAAACCAGCAUCUCCGAAUUUGAUUCAUGGUUUCACUUGAGAAAGUGUGGGGUAAUUAACCCGGCAAUCUCCAGGAAUCCAAUCUGAUCUUUUCCUGCGAAUAUCUUCUUCAGCUUGUCAUCACAUUUUAUGAUCUUCUUGUUCUCUGGGUCCUGCAAUAGAAAAAAGGAAAGACUUGUUAGGUUCGACUGGAUUAAUAAGUGUUGAAGGUGCCCAAAAAAGCACUAGCUAACCAGCAAAGUAAAACCUUAUGCAAUCCUAACUGCUCACUGCAACAAAAGCAAAACCUUAUCCAGAAUACGAGACAUAUUCACAUCACAGGCGUAAGAAACGCAGAACUAUCCUCCUACCGAAGUUAGUACUCAUUUUACUAUUAACUUGCACAGUAUCAGCAAACAAAAGCAAGCAUCAACAACGGACUACAUCAUCUCCAACUGUACGGAAACCCUAUGAGUGAAUAUUCAGUCCCGAAAUAAAAGAAGCUAUUAGAACGAAGAACGGAAAACAGUAAAGAAUUUAGACAUUUACAGAAAGAGAUUUACAGACCUGGAGAUUGUGCUCCUUGAUAUAGCUCCAAAUGGAUUUAAGAGCCUGGGUGCGGGAGAUUUCAGGGACGCCGACGAGCUCCGCCAUUUCGGGAGAAACGCGACGUGGAAUCAUGAUUCCACGAGGCUGGCUGGUUUUGGAGGACGCAGCGGCGCAGGUUACCUUGAGGCGGCCGUAUCUGAGGUUAUUGGGAGGAGGAGUCGGAGCGGCGACAAGUCGGAGAGAAGACGGAGAAGAGGUGGCGGAAGGCUUCAGAAAGGUAACCGAUUCGGCGGAGAAGAAGGUGGUGGUGGAGGAAGAAAUCGCCAUUGGAAGCUGCUCUGAAAGGAGGGGAAGGAGAGUGUUUGGGGUAAAGGUUUAUCCUUUCAAUUUUGGGGAUUGGUAUGAUAUUUGAAGUGAAAGAGAUAAGAAAACUGACCAGUGGGGGGUAUUUUGGGUAAUGUCCAUGUGACUCCCGUUUCGAAGUUUUCAGCGGGCUCGCUCAAUCCCGGCAUCAUCACUUACAUUACCCAAAAUGCCCCCCUCUUGCUUUUCCACACUAAACCCCAAAAUUAAAACUUGAAAGGAUAAUCUUCACAAAAACCCCUCUUCCUCUCCUCAGUCCUCUCUCAGAGCAGCUGCCAAUGGCGAUUUGUCCCUCAACCUUCUUCUCCCCCGAAUCGGUUACCUUUCUAAUGUCUUCCGCCACCUCUCCUCCCUCUCCUCUCCGUCUUCUUGCCCCGUCUCCUCUUAAUAACCUCCGCACGGUGACCUGCGCCGCUGCUUCUCCCAAAAUCAGCCAGACUCGUGGAACCAUGAAAGCUCCCGCGACGGCGGAGCGUGUUGGUGUCCAUGAAAUCUCCCGCACUCAGCCUCUUAAGUCCAAUUGGGUUUAUAUUAAGGACCAUAGUCUCCAGGUCUUCCUCUCGAACUCUCUGUAAAUGUCUUGACUGUUUGAUAUCCUCCCUUUGCUUUAUUUUUGCUGAAAUUGUGCCAAGUAAUACGAGUACAAAUUUCGAUUUUUCAUUUUUGUAUCUUUUGCUUGUGAUUUGAAUCUUACAUAUACAUGGUAGACUGGAUAAGGUUUUUCUUUUGUUGCAGUAAGCGGUAACAAUCCAGUUUGGCAGCUUCUUUUAGGAUUUUGAGUGUAUAAUUCGUGCUGUGUUAAGUUUUCCUCCGAGAAAAAAAAUUCAAUAGUAGCCUACCGAUUCGAUAAGGAGAAAACACUUCGUUAAAAUUCUGCUUUAACAUGUUUGCACUUUAUGCUUCCAUCUACAAUUUCACUACUUGACUGUUAUAGAGUGUGAAGCUCUUUAUGUUAGAUAUCUUGAGAAAUUGCCCUAGAGAGAAUUAUUAGUAACUAUCUUGGAUGCAUCUGCUUCUUCUACUAUACAAGUGGUGCGCGCAGUCUAAAGCUUGUUCACCAUUUCUCAACACCAUUAAAAGUCUUGGUCAUCCUUUGUGGCUUGUGUUUUAGAAAAGCUGUCUACUUUUCUGAUUAUAUCUGGCGGAUUGAUCAAUUGCUUAAAAUCAGACGACCAGGUGUUUUGACUUUUGAGCACUUCAGCACUUACUCGAGUCGGAUCUGACUAGUCUUUUUUUAUCCCUAUGAACAGGAGCCCGACGGAAAACCACGAGAAACUCAUUCAAGACGAGCAAAUUCUUCUUCCAAUUCGAAUUCCAGGAGCAGGACUCGGCUUGGCAAGCAUCGUGACCCCAACCGUGGGAAGCCAUGGGUACACCACCAGCUCUCUCCACUAGGUGACACAGUUCUUAAGUCAUUGAUCCACCCAUCACUCGAUGAAUCUGAAUUUGAAGGAAUCUUGAAUCGGUUGUUUCAGUCUUAUACACAUGGGUCGAGUUUGAGUAGUAGUGGUGAUAAUAAAGGUUUAUCUGAUGAUAUUCUGGGGAUAUUGAAAUUUUUGGGGUCCCAGGAGAAAUACGACCUGGCUGCGAAUGUGUUUGAGUGGGUGAGAAGCAGGAAAGAAUAUCAAUUGGUUCUCAAUAACGCCAUGGUCUCUUCACUUAUUAAAAUGUUUGGUAAAGCAGGGAAAGUUUCUGCAGCGGCUGCUAUCUUCACUAGUUUAAAUAAUGACGGGUUUGCUCUUGAUGUUUACGCUUACACAUCUUUGGUUACUGUUUAUGCUCGUAACGGGAAGUAUAAGGAGGCUUUGAUGUUGUUCGAUGAUAUGCUGGAAGCAGGUAUCAGGCCCACACUGAUAAGUUAUAAUAUCAUUCUUAAUGCAUAUGGGAAAGUGGGUAUGCCUUGGAGUAAGACUAUAGCUAUGCUGGAAAAAAUGAAAAGUGAUGGGAUUACUCCUGAUGAUUACACAUACAACACACUCAUCUCUUGUUGCCGUCAAGGAGGUUUACUUGAUAAAGCUGUUGAGGUUUUUGAAGACAUGAAAUCUGCUGGCUUUUCUCCUGAUAAGGUUACUUAUAAUGCCUUAUUGGAUGUUUUCGGGAAGUCUAGACGACCAAAGGAGGCUAUGAAGGUAUUGAGGGAAAUGGAGACUAAAGGGUUUUCUCCUAGCAUUGUGACUUACAAUUCGUUGAUAUCUGCUUAUGCAGUUGAUGGUUUGUUGGAUGAAGCUAUGGAGCUUAAAGCACAAAUGGAGAGCAAGGGAAUUAAGCCAGACGUGUAUACAUAUAGCUCUCUCUUCUCGGGAUUCGAGAUGGCCGGGAAAGAUGAGCAUGCGAUGAGGGUGUUUGAGGAAAUGAGGGAUGCAGGGUGCAAACCAAACACUUGUACUUUCAAUGCACUCAUCAAAAUGCAUGGAAACCGGGGAAAGUUUACCGAAAUGAUGAAGGUUUUCGAGGAGAUGGAAGUCUGCAAUUGUGCACCGGAUAUCGUUACUUGGAAUACACUUCUUACCGUGUUCGGGAACAACGGGUUGGACUCUGAAGUCUCGGGGGUGUUCAAGGAAAUGAAGAGAGCUGGGUUUGUCCCCGAGAGGGACACUUAUAAUUCGUUAAUUAGUGCGUUCAGUAAAUGUGGUGCUUAUGAACAAGCCAUGAUUGUUUACAAGAGAAUGCUCGAAGCCGGGGUUACUCCUAACCUAUCCUCCUACAAUGCUGUCUUAGCAGCACUUGCCAGGGGUGGGCUUUGGGAUCAAUCAGAGAAGAUUAUUUCCGAAAUGAAGGAGAGGGGUUGCAAACCGAAUGAAUUUACAUACAGUUCUUUGCUUCAUGCUUAUGCCAACGGGAAAGAGAUUGAUCGGAUGCAUUCUCUCGCGGAGCAGAUAUAUUCGGGAGUAAUCGAGCCUCAUGCUCUUCUCUUGAAGAGCCUUGUUCUGGUUAAUAGCAAAGCCGAUCAAUUAGUGGAAACUGAACAUGCAUUCUCGGAGCUUGUAAAUAGAGGAUUUUCACCGAGCACCAAUACAUUGAAUGCUAUGAUUUCGGUGUACGGGAGGAGACAGAUGGUUGCAAAAGCUGACGAGAUGUUGACCUUCAUGAACAAACACGGGUACGUUGCGAAUUUAUCAACAUACAAUACUGUAAUGUACAUGCACAGCCGCUCAGGAAGUUACGAGAAGUCGGAAGAAGUAUUGAGAGAGAUUAUCAAGAAGGGACUGAAGCCUGAUCGAAUCUCGUACAACACGGUUAUAUUUGCCUACUGUCGUAAUGGUUUGAUGAAGGAAGCUUCGCGGAUACUUUCAGAAAUGAAGGGUGCUGGGGUUGUUCCUGAUGCAGUCACGUAUAACACUUUUAUUUCAAGCUAUGCAGCCGAUUCAAUGUUUGAGAGCGCCAUUAGUGUUUUGCAGCAUAUGGUCAAGCAGGGCUGCCAGCCAAACGACAGUACUUACAAUGCAAUUGUCGAUGGAUACUGUAAACACGGUCGCCACUCCGAUGCCGCCAUGUUCAUUAGCAAUCUUCAGAAACUCGAUCCCCAUGCUACGCUGGAAGAAGAGGGGAGGCUAUCACAACGUGUAAUGAAGUUGUGGCCGUAACUAAGUAAUUGUCUCCUUCACAUGAGAUUUUGGCUUGCAUGGAUAGCUUUGUUCCCAUCCUGCUGGCUCUAGGGCCGUUAUAUACGUCAAAGACAUUAAGGUGAAGCUCUGGCUUCAAUAGAUACAUUGAGGUACUUUGGAUUGUCAUUGCUUCUUCUGUACUUCUGGUUGGAGUUUGAUACUACAUGUUGAUAGAUUAUUCAUACUGUUUCUGUAUUUUUACGGUCUGACUUCUGUUAGGCUGGCGAAGUGAGAGCUAAAGAAGGAAGAAACAGAGUGCAGAGAGACGGUAUUUCGCGUGGUACAGCAGAAACUGUACGGAUGGUGAAGGUGAAGUUCAAGCUCCUCCAUUUUGGGCAUGGAUUGAAGGAUAUAGGCUUUAUGAAGUAUUGAGUAAUACCCAGUUGAAAGAUGUUGUAUUCAAAUGUACUAUGUUGUAUAAAUAAAACUUGACCAGUUUUAUUCAUCGCAAAAAAACGAACUUGACCAGUUUUGUUUUCCGUCUCUUCUGCAAUCUGGAACAAAAGCAUGAUAUUCUAGAAGAUAAGAAGAAGCCUUUGUUAACAUUACGGUGAAAACAAAGUUAUUCAAGCUGUUUUUUGGCACUUAGAAUCAAGCUUAUAGCUUUACUCCAAAAGUUGCAGUCACUGCAAUCGGCUGCACACAAAAAAUGCCGUUUCCAGCCAUCGGAAUUGUCACCAAAGAAUAAAACAGCUUCAACUAUAUGUGGGAAUAAACGUCGGCAAAAGAUUAUAAAUUCAGCCCAUUUGCUGCUCUGUUUUCUUUGAACUCUAAAUUAAAAAAGAUAAUGGUGAUGUUGAUGAUGAUGAGUGCACUAACAGUACCAACAAUGAUCGUCUUUACAGUAUCAUUGUGGGUUAUGGCUUUUAUGAUGGCGUUUCUUUAUAAGAUGCUAAGGAUGCCGUUGCAGAUACAGAGGAAACUCAACUCUCAAGGGAUCAACGGACCUUCUUACAACUUCAUGCGUGGUAACAAUCGAGAGAUCUUGAAAAUGAGGCAACAAGUCCGAGCAAGUGGGCCUAUGAACGAUUCCGUCACACGCUGUGAAUCCCAGAAUACAGCCUCAUAUCUCCUCCUGGAUGAAAAUCUACGGUAAGAGAUUAGCCAAAGAACUAGUUACAUAAGAUUGUAACCAGUUACUGACGAUUAUAACCAGUUACUGACGAGUAUAACAUGUUAAUUGUGUAACUUGUUUCCAGCGAUUAUUGGAUAAAUUCUUUUGAUUGAUGUGCAGGUAAGGCUUUUGUGUUCUGGGUUGGACCUCAAGCAAACUUGGUUGUGUCAGAGCUGGAUCUGAUAAAGAAGUUGCUGCACAACAAAGAAAAAGUUUACGUCAAAGUGGAGACAUCAUUCUACAUCAGGAAGUUACUGGGAGAUGGACUUGCCUCCACUCCCGAUGGAGAAAAAUGGCAUCACAUGAGAAAGCUAGCCCAUUUCGCAUUCCAUGGAGAAAGCUUGAAAGUAAAUCAUAUAUACUGAAUUAAGCACCUUCAAAAACAUGUAUGCAUGCAUAUAUACUAAAGGCUUUGAUUCACUGUACAGAACAUGAUUCCAGCAAUGUUUUGGAGCGCAGAGAAGAUGAUAGAGAAAUGUUGGAGCUACAUAGGGAAAGAGAUAGACGUGGAUGCUGAAUUCAAGCUGUUGACAUCUGAAGUCAUAUCUAGGUCUGCUUUUGGGACUAAUUACAAUCAAGGACAGCUCUUCUCUCAGAUGUUGGGUGGAUUGACCAAGUUGAUCAAGGAAGACCAUCAAUUCAAGUUCAUACCCCCAGCAGUAAUCAGGUACAUCUUAUAUUUGAGCAUGUGGAGCUCAAACUGUUUAAUCAUUGUUAGUACCAUAUGCGUAAAUGGAAGUCGAGUUGGUAUCAUCGUGUAUUGACGACACGGAGGUAUCUCUAAAAAAAUAAUAAUAAAUGGAAUAAUGUGCAGUAAGAUGUACUGAACAAGAGAUGAGAUUGAAGCAGAAAGGCUGCAGCGUGGGAUAAAAGAUUUGGUCAUUGGAAUGGUUAAGGAAAGAGAAGAUGCAGCAUCAACGCAGGAGGUCGAGUUAGCGGUGAAGGCCGGUUACGAGCAUGGGACGGAUUUUCUGGGAUUAUUGGUGAAGUCAUGCCACGAUGCAUCGAAGGAGGUUUCAGUGGACAACGUCAUUGAUGAGUGCAAGACAUUCUACGUUGCGGGUCAACACCCGGCCAACUUCUUGCUCUCAUCGGCUGCCUACCUUUUAUAAGUUCAUACUGAUUGGCAGGAAGAGGCUAGAAACGAGAUUGUUUCUCGGUUUGGUCGCGACGGAAUCCCUGACGCAGAUGGCAUUUCGAAGCUCAAAGUUUUGAGCAUGAUAAUCAACGAGACGCUGCGUCUGUAUCCUCCGGUAGUUCAACUAAACCGAAAAGUUGGUAGGGUGACUCAGCUGGGAUACCUUAGUCUGCCCAAGGGUGUGAAUUUGGUGGUUCCAAUUUUAGCCAUUCACCAUGAUGAUGCAAUAUGGGGGGAAGGAUGUCGAGCUUUUCAAACCAGAAAGAUUUAAGGAUGGGAUUUCAGAGGCUACCAACCAAAAUCCAGCAGCAUUCAUGCCGUUCGGGUUGGGUCCACGAAACUACGUUGGAUCCAACUUUGUCACCGUAGAAGCCAAGAUAGUGCUUUCCAUGAUUCUCCAAGAUAGUGCUCUUUACAAAUGGCGGGAAAAUAGAAGUUUGACCAGUCUUGACUUUUGUUUACUACCUUGUUUUUUCUGCAAUCUAGAACAUUCCACAAGUGUCAGUUUUGAUUCACAUGAAACCAAGCAUGAUAUUCCAGUCAUCGAAAUAGUCACAACAUAUAUAUACACAUGGGAACAAAGUUAAGAAAGAUAAUUUAUUCCGUACGUAAGAGAUUAUAAAUUCACGCCAUGACUGCUCUGUUUUCUCAACUCAACUCAAAACUAAAAGAUAAUGAUGAUGAUGGUUAUGAGUACUGAAUUGACAGUGCCAACAAUGAUGGUGUUGACAUUAUCUUGUUGGGUUAUGACUUUGAUGAUGGCGUUCCUUUAUAGGAUGCUAUGGAUACCGCUGCAGAUACAGAUGAAGUUGGGCUCUCAAGGGAUCAACGGACCUUCUUACAGCUUCAUCCGUGGCAACAACAGAGAGAUCUUGAAAAUGAGGCAACAAGUCCGAGCAAGUGGACCCAUGAACAAUCUGUCACACGCUGUGAAUCCCAGAAUAGAGCCUCAUAUCUCCUCCUGGAUGAACAUCUAUGGUAAUUAAGCGCAAAUUAGCCAAACAACUCUCCAAUUAGCUAGUCAUAUCCUUAACUAUCGUUCAGCUAUUGCCAAAUGAUGUAACAGUCUGUCCCUUGGUCGCGGGUGCUCGUAUAUAUGGAUGACUCUUUUGUAUUGAUAUGCAGGUAAAUCUUUUGUGUUCUGGGCUGGAUCAACAGCAAACUUGGUAGUGCCAGAGUUAGAUCUGAUAAAGAAGUUGAUGCACAACAAAGAAAGAGUAUACCCCAAAGUGGAUACAUCAUUCGACUUCAGGAAGUUACUGGGAGAUGGGCUGGGCACUACUUCCCAUAGAGAAAAAUGGCUUCGCAUGAGAAAAUUAGCCCAUUGCGCUUUCCAUGGAGAAAGCUUAAAAGUAAUUUAAUUAAUUAGUCAUAUAUAACGGAGAUUUUAAUACAUUUAUGUAUACGGUACAUAAAUAAAAAAUGAAAUUUUACGAAUGUCUUGACCACGAUGCAUCAAUAUGGGGGGAAGAUGUCGAGCUAUUCAAAUCGGAGAGGUUUAAGGAAGGAAUUUCAGAGGCUACGAACCACAAUCCAACAGCAUUCAUCCCGUUCGGAUUGGGUCCACGAAACUGUGUUGGAUCAAGCUUCGUAACGGUAGAAGCCAAGGUAGUGCUUUGCAUGAUUCUUCAAUGAUAUUCUUUCACUCUUUCGCCAACCUGCCUUCACUCCAUAUACCCAGCCAUGGACAUCAGACCUCAGCAUGGAAUUCUCGUUAUCCUUCAGGCUAUAUAAUCGGUUCAGAGGCUCUCACUUGGUCCAAUCUAUCUAAAUAAAUAUGUAUCUGUGUUUUUUUUGGUACACGACCUUAUAUGUUUUUUUUUAAUCUUGAGCGCUACCUGGAAUAAUUCAUAUUUUAUAUGAAUUCAGUAAAUUGUUGUUUAGGAUCUAACAUUAUAGAGUUUUGUGUUACUACUUAUUAUAAGACAAUGAAACAGAAAUAACAAUAAAAACAAUUAAAUUGUUGUCUUAAAUAUCUGAAAAUAAUUAUUUGUUUGGAUUAACAUUGUUCACUUUUAUAAUCUUGUACUUCGAACCCACCAUAAAAAGGUAAAAAAAUGUGGAAAAGUUGAUCAAAUUCCUAACGAGGCCAAGAAUCCCUAACUAACUUGUCCUUUCUAAGGAUGUAGAGUUGUUAAUUUUGUCGGGGUAAAGUUAUGUGUCAAUGAUCCUAAAAUAUCAAGGUGGAGUCAAAUGCAAUUUAUAAAUGGACAUUGAUGGAAUAUUUUACGAUCACUUUUAAUUAUGCUCCUAUCUUAAGGUUUUAACUAUGAUAUGUAAUUCAUUGAUUGCAACUUGAAAACUGUCUAUAUUUACUGUUGUUGUAAUGAAUUGUAGUCAACCAACCUUAGUGCCACAGCCCUAGUUCAUAAUUCAUAUGUUGCAUCAUCUUGGAUGGUGAAUGUUGGUUGGUUGGUUGGUUGGCUGGUUGUUUGUAAAGCACCAGAGGUGGACAAAUUGCAGGUGACAAAUGUCUUAUGAUUGUCUUUAUUGUCACCAAAUCUUGUCUCCAUUUUCUCCAAAAUGGUGUGCCGCCCCCCUUACCAUACCAGACAACAAACACUCUCACUUGUUCAGGUGCAUUGUAACCCCACUAAUUAAAAUUAUCACUCACUAUAUACUUUGGGAAGCAUCUCUCAGUCCCCCACCACCACUACUACCAUUUAAUCCCAUUAUUACAGUUCAUAUCCCAACCAGAUUCGCAGAUCAUAAUUCACAUGGGAAUUAUAUUCCUUAUCUAGGAUUCUCAAUCAUGAACCCAAACACAUUCUGUUGUUUACACCAACUAGAAUUAUGUGUUUUUUUUUAAACCGACAUGAGAUUAAUGAAAUGAAUGAGAAUUUAUAUAAACCAAUUGUUAUAUUUCCAAGUCAAGCGAGCCGAUGAUGGAAAAUGACAAAAAUCGAGGCUUUAUCUAAGCAUUAUCAAGAAUGAAAGAAAAAUUCUCUAUCUUCACAUAACAGCCAAACUAAAACAACCGAUUAAAAAAAAAGUCUGAUAUUCCCCCACAAGGGCAAACAACUCUUUAAGCCAAAGUCUCUCUCGAACCCACUAAUCUUUUGCCCCAUACUCAUCAAUAGCUUUGAUUCUGUACACAUUUGCCACAGUUUCCCAUCUCAAAAUAAAUCCACAUUUUGCAAAGUGAGUGUCUUUUCUUGGUUAGAUGCCAAUAAGAUCAACUUGCAAUGCCUCAGUGUGGGGCGUUACGAGAGUAAAUGUCGAUGGGGGCAUACGUACAGCCGAUGGCGUCCUUCUUCAAUCUACCAUUUGAAGAAGACCUUCUCGGUUGAUCAAGAUAUAUCACAAUCACAGUGAUAUCAUCGUGAAUGUGCCGUCUUACUCCCUUUUGGACAUCUUUUAUGUCAUCGUAUCUUAAUUCCUUCUUCAUUGCUGCUUUGUUCAAGGCAGCUCUUACUAGUCUCUUGGCAAUCCCCUGUAUAUCAACCAGAGCAGGUUAAGACAACUUACAUCAACACAAACUCGAAAGAAGGUUCAUUUGUCAAAGACAGAAACUCACAGCUCUGGGGUUAUUGAACACAAUCUGUACUGCUUCUUCAUCACUCAAUUGAUCCCAAAGACCAUCUGAAGCAAAUAUAAGGAAUAUGUCAUCUGGCUUCAGCUUCCUAAUUAGGAUUGAAGGUUCUGCAGUCACUACAGCCCGUUUCAAGGGGAUUGGAUUUCCAAAUUGCUGGAAAAAGGGAUCUCUAUUGAUUUCAGGUUUCUUCAGGUACAUGUCUCCGAUAGAUCUUGAUACCUGCAGAGAAUAAAACAUGGGAAAUUAGAGCAAUGAUCUACUUGAGGCAACACAUAACGCAAUAAGGCUACCAUGAAACAAACACCCCACAAACAUGUCACCAUAGAGGACUUUCCUGAUAUGCAAGAAUUAGGAAAAAAAGUACUAGCCUUCCUGUAAUUAUAUAAGUAUUAUUCUUAUGAUUCAGGGGCGCCCUUCGUAUUCAUCUCAUGCAUGGUUCACUUUGUCGCAUGAGACGUUGACCAGGACGAGGGGAUAGCACCAGAAUCCUGGAAUAGCAUAUGAUGACCACCCUUAUUAGAAUAGAACACCACUUUAACUACAGAGAAACCACCUGGCAUAAACUCAAGACACAGAGAGGCUACAUCUUUCAAGGUAUUCUUGGUUGGGAAGAGAGUCAAUCAAUACGAAGAAAGGAAGGAAGAAACUUUACCGUUUGAAUUCUAAAUCACCUGAAACCAUAACUUCAUCAUUACGCUAAUACUAAGUAAAAACCCAUAUUUGAGCAUUUCACGAUCAAGGAGCAUAAAUAUAUAUGAAGUUUCACUAGAAAAAGAAACGGAUUGCAGCACCUGAAUGAUGCCCUUAAUCCUCCAACAUCCCCGAGCAUACACCACAAUCUGUGAAUCAUCAGGAUGAAGUGCCUGAACUUCCUUCCUCACCUCCUCAGCUUUAACAUUGUGGUCCGUUGAUAGUCUUUCUGAAAUUACCGGAUUUGACUUGUAUCCAUUCACCUUUCUGCCAAGCACUGCCCUCGAGUCUCCAAGAUUAGCAACAUAUAACACAUCGUUUGAAAUGGCACCAACUAGACAGCAAGACCCUACUGAAGCAAUUUGAGGCUUCACUUGGAGUGAUCGGUUCACUAAAUGACAGAACUCCUCUUCGGUUGCAUUGAAUGCCUUCUUUAUCACAUCCACUGACAAACCCCCUUGCUCAUUCGCGAAUUCUUCAAUAGACAGAGCAAAAAAAACACAGAAGCACAGAAAUCAGAAAACGUGGACUCCUUCUGCUUGCUCUCUGCAAUAUCGGAAUAAGCAUAAAACUACUGUAUGAUGGAGCAGCAAACAGUAAAACCCUGACCCACUAAACAACAAAACAAGAAUCCAAAACAAACAUUAGCAAUCAACCAAAGAAAAACAGAGCUGAAAGGUUCCUUCUUCUGUAAAGCCACCUUGAACAUUGUUGGUAGGGUUCAAUAUAGACAAAAUCAAACAGUGAAAAAACCUAGACUAAGAAAACAAACAUCAAAGCAUAAUGAAAGAGAAUUCCGGAUGAAGUAAUUAGGGUUUAGAAAUUUACUGUGCAUGAAGGGAAACAAGUGCUUGUUGACGAAUCUAGAAGCUUCGGGGCCACCAUGUCCAUCGUAAAUCCCAACAUAAGUAGCGGAGGGAGAGGUGAAAACCUGGCUCUGAUCCUCCAUAUUAGAAUUGGCCUGAACCGCAGCGAUGGAAUAGUCUCCAGACGCAUGAGGCUUCAAAUCAGAGUGCCACAACAACCCAUCACCGCCGCGGCGGACAAAGCACCUCUCCAACGGCCGGAAGCAAGAGCGCAUCACCAUCCCAAUCUCAGCACUUCGUGAUCGGAGGAUUUUGUUUUACCGUUUGUUGUAAUCUAAAGCUACUCUGUUUUUUGCACAAUCCUCUGUUCUCGUUCCCAGCACUUGCUACAGAAGCUGGUUAAAUCACCGGCGAGAAUGUAACAGAGAAGAAGGAGGAGAGUCGGCUAGGUCAAAACAAGGAGGAAAAGGAGGUGGGAAAUGGGAGAAAAAGGAGAAAGCAGAAGAAUUUGAAGGAAAAAGAUAGCGUGUGAGGAGAAAAAGGGAAGGCAGCGAGAAAAAAGAAGAGGGAAAAGCAAUCUCUACAAAUAAGAGAAGACAAGAUGCCGCGUGAGCGAGUUGGCAAACGAGUCGGGAUCGUUACGUGAAUCCAACAGUGCAGUGCUUCAAAAUCUCAUUCGCCUCACUGACUUCCCGUUUAUACUUAACGCGUUACUUUAUUAUCAUUUCCCAUCCUCAACAUUUUAGCCGAACUCGUUUAGAUAAGGUCAUGUUUGGUUGGACUUCAGUGUGAUAGAAGGGUUGUUCACGAAUCGAGUCGGGACGAAUAUUAUCAUACACAAACUUAAUUUGUUAAUUUUUAGCCAAGCUAACGCUGAAAAAUGUUGGAUUGUAUCGAGCUCGAGCCUAUUCGAACCCAACUCGUUAACCACCAUUUAAGAAUCAAACGCGAGCUCAAUUUAAACUUUACUAAUUAAAACUUACGAUGAGAAUCUAAUUUUCGAUAAAAUAUUACAUCUCAAGAUAAUCAAACAAAACCAAUUCAAAAAAGUAUAUUUAUGAUGUUCAAAUUUAACCUCAUCUUUUACCUGAUAAAUAUAUCUCAAAUUUUUUUUUUUUUGCAAAUAUGACUAAAUUUCCUCUAUAUCAAACUACUCUUAAAGCCUGAUGUGUAGUGUCGUGGGUUUUUCCUUAUUAUUUUUCUUAGGAUGGCUUUUCCAUUGCGAGAAAUUGUAGCAGUUUGUGGGUAUUUUCCUAUAUAAGAACAGCUUGCUAUUAUUGUUUAUCUUUUCUUCCCAUUUAAGUUUUCUGGAAAACGAGCUUAUAUUAUUAAAGAUAACAAAAUAAAACAAAAGAUUAAUUGAGUUUAUCUUUUCUUUCUUCGAAAUCUCUACCUCUCAAAUCAUCCACAAAAUUUUCUCUAGACCAACUAAAUAAUUUCAAAAUUUUCCCAAAUCUCAUUUCUUUUGCAUCCAAAAGUGUAAUUUGAAACAAUUUUAAAAAAAAUAUAAAUCACUUCAAAUCACUCAUUUAAAUUACCAACCUAAUGGACUCACUAUUUUUCAAACAAUGCAACCUAAAAGGAAUUAUAAGUAACUUUUGUUGACUUGUGUACUUUGUCAACGUCCCCCAAUAAAACAAAUGAAUAUAUGAUAAUAUCCCGUUCCAUUGACUUUCGCUUUUGAGUUAUUCUAAUCACGUGAAGCCUGCCAUGGGUACGCUUGUUUAAUUUGUGCUAAUCCGAAGAAGAUGAGCUGUGGCUCCAUCCUCUAUCUAUGCCAAUUAAACACUUCAAAGUCGGGUUUUACAUUUUUGUAGCUGGGCUUUUGCAUUAUUGAAUCAACUGUUCAUCAUUUAGUCAAUAACUUUAUCGUUGUUCAGGGUGAACGACGACAUUGGUCGUCGGUGUUAGGUUGGUGGUCAUGAUUAGAACAAAGUGCUUAUUAUGUCUAAUUGGGUGCCAAAUGGGUGUGGGUGUCUGUUUGGAUAUUCUUAUUUAAUUACACUAAUCUUUGGUUGCUGAUCAAGAAAAAAAGUAGGUUCACAGCAACAAAGCAAAUCCUAUACUCUUUCGUAUUAGGUAAACAUAUUAUUAUAAUAUGCUAAUCUCGCAAUUUGGAGCAAUAUUGUGGGUUUGAUGGAGGAAAAGACAACUACUGCGGCGGCCCCUGGUAGGUUAAUUCUGUAUGAUGUUUUACCUAACUCUUUUUUCAUUUUUAAACCUUUAUGUAUGUAAUGUGCUCAUUUGUCUAAUUUGAUCAAUUAGAUUCCUUUUACUCUCAUUAUUCGUUAGUUAGAUUUAGGUUUUUUGUCUUGAGGUAUCAAAACAUGAUGCACAAAAGUUAAAAGAAACCAUUUAAAAUUAUAAAAUACAGUAACGAAAUUUUAGUGGACGAACUGCAGAAAGAUAAUGUAGAGCCUCUCUUGUCACUAAAUGGGCGGCGAUAUUAUCCAUACACGGAACAUACACGAUGAAGAAAGAGUCGGAGCUGCGCACCAAAAGUCGACAAUCCUCCAAGAGCAAACCAGUGUGAACAUCUUGAACAACAGAGUUGACCAAGCGAACAGACUCUGAAGAAUCACAAUGAAAAACUGCAGGAGAGUCUCCGUGAAAGAUUGCAAACCGUAAGGAAUUCAGCAAAGCUAGCAUCUCCAGAGUGAACGGGUCCGAGAUAAAAGGGAGAACCUCCCCCUUACCAACUUCCAGAGAACCCGACUUAUAAAAAACAACCAAAGUUACAGCACCACAACCUUGUCGACCAUCAUUGGACUGCCUAAUUGUUGCAUCGGUGUAAUAGUUCCAAGAACAAGUAGGCAAAAAGAGCGCAUAGGACAAGGAAGAAGGCAAGCGUGAGUUAGCCAGAGACGACGUUGGAGACAGAGAUUGUGAUUCAUCCCAAUGAAGUUUGAACUGACGACCCAAUGAGGAAAUAGACGGAUGUACACCUGUAAAAACUACUGUAUUACAAAAUUUCCAAAGGCGCCACAAAAAAAUAGAUCAAACGAAUUGAACCCUGUUGAUUAGCAGCCUCAGUAAUCCGCCAAAACGUAACUGGAUGAUAGGAGGUACAAGAAAAAAUCUCACAGCCACAAGCCGCUACCAACUGAAUAGUAACUGGGCAAUAGAAAAAAAGACGAUGAAGUUCUUGAGCAAAUCCACAAACAGGGCAUAAAGGUGAGACAUCCAAAUUCAUUGAUCGAAGUGCCUCCAUAACCGGAAGUAUGUUAUGAACAGUUUCCAGGCGAAGAACUUUAGUUUGGGUUGCAUCGGCAAUGCCCAUUAUCGACCCCAGAGCUGGGAGUUAAACAACUGUGGUCCCUUCACCGGAGAAGGUUUCGGGUUACGAGAACACUGAGCAACCCUAUAACCCGAUUUAACAGAGAAAACAGAGAGAGGGGAGGGGGGGGGGG
rnacentral:lncRNA from 1 species